GGGGGGGGGGGUGCAAAUGAGGGCUCACCCUUGGAGAUGCCCUUAGAAGGGGCAACAAAUUUAUGUUUUGGCAGCCGAAUGUUCGUUUAUGAAUAUAGACAUUUGAUUAUUUUGUUGAGUAUGCCUAUUCUGAUUUUGCUGGUUUCCUGAAGGAGCUUAUCAAUAUUAGAUUAAAUCAAGCCUGAUUAAUAAACUGGCAGUGCACGUGUAAAUUAUUUUCCAAUUAUUUGCUCGAGUUGUUCGGCGGAUCUGGCUUCUGGACAGUUCAGACGACUUGACGUAGUUGGCCUCUCGACUAUCUGUCUGCUCGUAGUCCUAUCUCUGUGUGGCAGCUGGAGUCCGUCUUAUAUGGACGGCAAGUAUUAAAUGUGACAACUCGCCCGUGGAUAUCCAACCCAAAUGGGUAGGAUAUGGGUAGACAUUUAUGUCCAUGGGUACCCGGUGGCUCGCCCGAUUAGUCAUACGUAGGAUAUGGGUAUUGGUUUAUACCCAUGGAUACCGAUGGUCGUCCAGUUAAUAUUUUGAUUAAAUAAAUAUUAUUUUUAUUAUAUAAUAUGUGGACUCUUUGAUUUUUUUAGCGAAAUGUGGACUCUUUGAUGCAAUAAGGAUUAACAGAUGACCCUGCUGUAAAAUAAAUAAAGACCAAGUGCAAAAUUGGCCCAGUAGCCCGUGACUCGAUGACCCAUCAACUUGGCUUGUUUGGCCAUCUCUCUCGCUCAGUCAGGCUCACAGAAGAAAGUCAUCGAGGCGCCUUCUUCCGUCUCCCAUUCUACACUCGCCCAUCAUCUCUUGUUCUCUCUACUAUGCCCUAGGUGCCGCCACCAUUCUCUCUCGCAGUCUGUUUCAUCAGCUUCUUCUAACAAUUCGCGAGCUCCUCGUGUAAUUUGGCUUAGGAGGAGACGCCCCUGGCUGGGAAACGGAAGAGGGGACCAGCCGUGGCCGCGGCUGGGAGACAGAGGAGACAGUCGUGGCUUCGAUUCCUUGCCCGAUAGGUGCCCGAUCGGGUCUCAUCUUCUGACACCCGUAGUGUUUCGGCCAAGCGAUCUUUUUCUUGUUAGAUUCGGAGUUGUUGCCUGACUCUCGGAACGAUCCCGCUGGCGAUGGAUUCCCUCGCGGAGUUCCAGACCAAUUCGGUGCAAGUAACGGGCCAGUCGGCUUAGUAGGCCUAAUAUACAUGCAAUCUUAGGGGCCCACAAUUUUUUUGGAAAGUUUGACAGACGACGGUGAAGAGAACGGUCCGUAUUUUUUAGAUAGGUAUAGCGCUGGCGAUGGAUUCCCUCGCGGAGUUCCAAUCCGAUUCGGUGCAGGUAACGUGGCAGCUGGCUCAGUAAGCCCAUUAUACUCAAUCUUGGGGGCCCAUAAAUUUUUUGAAAGUCUGACAGAUGAAGGUGAAAGAAACGGUCCGUAUUUUGUAGAUAGGUAUAGAUUUCUACGUGCAAUUUCAUUAUGAAAGGUAUUGAAAUACUGAGAACUCAUGAAGAGACAUUUUUUUUUAUGUACAGACCUACUGGGAACUCACGUAGUCUAUUGUACUUACCUUAUCUGCAUGCUGAACUACGCAUUGUGAUUACUAGUAAGAUCUGAACGUGCACCUCUUUUCUUUUCUUGAUAACUCUUCACUGCAGACCUGAAUUUGCACAUUUGUUUUCUUGAAAACUCUUUACUGCAGAUCUCCUAGAGUAAAUUUUCUGACGCCCGCUAAUCCAUAUUUCUAAUCUAUUACCUCCAUGAAAGGCGGAAGAAUUGAGGCCUUGAAAAUGCAUCUACGUGCCUUUAUCUGAGUCGUUGGUUUUCCUGGCCGAUCUGCUACGCGGUACCUUGACAUCGAUCUCCGAACCAUCUCGAUGCCUCCCGAUUCUCCCCUCUCCCAAUCGCCCCAGCACCCCUCCCCCCCCCUCUCUCUCUCUCUCGCUGCCCCGCUUCUCUCCCUCCUGGCCAGGGUUUUCUCCACCGCCGGCGCCGGGCGCCGCCUUCCUACCUCCUCCACCGAUACAUAGCUUCCAUGGCCAGACGACCGCUCCGCGGGAUCCUGCCGCCGGCCGCCUCUCGCUUCCCUCGCUGCCUCUGCACGAACUUCCACCGCCAGCCACGGAGCCGCCGCUUCCCUAGAUCCCGCCGCCAUCCAUCGCUUGCCUCCCGAUCGCUAAAAAAAGUUUCCCUGAUCCCAUCCUUUCACGACGACGACCGUGGCGGCGGCGCGGACGAGAAGACGAGGGCGUCACCGGCCGGCCACGCGCCUCCGACCUAGCGGACAAGGGCAACAUCUCCUCCGCGCUCAUGCGGCCGCCGCACGUCUCAAUCCUCACCAUCUCCGCGCACGUCUUCCAAGAGCCCACCACGCCCCCAGCAUUUCCCGUGUGUUGCCGCCAAGCUGCUACAGCGCCAACUACAGCCAAUCCCCUCAGGUAAUGCCACCCUGCACAACUGCUGCACUGUCUCAGUAAUGUGUCAAUUUUCUUCCUGUUGUAAAUUAGAAGCUGUCUUGCGUGUAGUGUAUUACUUCUGUUUGAAUGUAGCUUGUUCGGCAAGUGCAAGUAUGCCACGAUCAUGUCCGAUUCAAGAGGUUCAUUCUCCCGUUUAAGUUUUCUUUUGAUAUUUAUUUUUCCUGCCCAGAAACAUCUGAAUAUAAAUUUGGCAAUGUAAAUAUUUGUAUAUAAUUUGGUCAGAGUAUUUGUUGUAUAUCAUUCAGUAUGUGUGCUAUUUAAUGUUCCCUGUUAUUUGAUUUAUUCUUAUUACAAUUUGGUCUGAGUAAACGUUAUACUAUAUUCUUUAUGCAGAAGCUGCACAAGCGCUAGACUUGGCUGUUAAUCUUUUUUUUUUGGAAAUUGGUACACUCAACUUAGCUGCAAGAUACUGAAGGUGAAUGUCCAUUUAAUUUUGUCUAAACUUAGUAUUUUGCUAUCUUCUUACAACAUGUGGUAAUUAACAAAUUACUACUUACAUAAUCAUUGAUCAUUUCUUCAAUCUGUAUGCCUGCACGAGGAUGUCUUUCAAAAGGAAAUACAUGCUUUCAGUUAUCGCAGGUGUCAUAAUUACCAUGAUGUUGAAUUUUAUGCAUUUUUUAGACAUUCGUGAGAUAUAUCUGCAAGAACAAAAUUUAGAGAAGGCUUCAGAUUACAUGGAAAGGGCUACUGAUCUUUUUGACAGUGAGGGGCAGACAUCUCAAUCAAACACCAUCAAGAAGAAAGUUAUAGAAAUUGCAAACAGAACAUGUUAUAGAGCUGCCUACGUAAUGAAGCUUGCACAAUCUUGCCGUUUUAUAUUUUGUUCUAACAACUAAGUAGGUUAUGGCUCAAAUAUCAGUACUGCUCUACUCUGCCGCCUCACCAACUCUACUGUGGGUCAUGGGAUUUGUUGGCCUGUGGUGGCCCCUGCUGGGUGUCGUGGCUUCGACCCUUACACUGAGAAGCCAGAGCUGUACCAGACUGACCCCUCCGGCACCUUCUCCGCCUGUUAGGCGAAUGCCACCGGCCCCGAAUCCAACUCCAUGCACGAGUUCCAGGAGAAGAAUCAUCAAGCUUACCAUCAGAGCCUUCCUCAAGGUACACUGUACUUAAUACUGUACACAACACUCAAUUAUUCUACCAACAUCUGCCUACUUAUGUGCAAAAUGUUAAUUGUCAGCCAGUAAUUUUGAACCAGAAUAAUGAUACCAGUAAUUGUCACAUAGAAAUAUGAAUUACUUAUCUGCAGAUAGACUCCUCUAAGAGAUGAAAAAAUGCUUUAUCUUUGACAGUAAGAGGUGACAAAUUUUCUUUUGAGAGGUACUAUGUCAAUUUACUAUUCAAAUUGCCGCACGAUGUGGUACCGAAAUGGAACGAUGCUUCCCUCCUGGCUCAAGAUUCCAAUGCGAUGCUAGCUCGCGUGCAUAUUCUGUUUGUUCAGUUUGAGUACAAAUACCAGCGUCAUGCUCAGUUAUAGAGCUCGCAUGUAUUGAUAUUGUUUUUAUGAUACUCUCAGAUACUUUGCAUACCUGCAAUUUUCUUUUUUUUUUAAUAGAGGAGUAAAUGUAUGUACGAUACUACGAUGCAUGUAUGCAGAGAAAAUAUUGUAUAUAGCAUGUAAGUUCUUCAAGUCUAUAUGCAUUGCAUAUUAGAGUGUUAAUUUUGUAUUCUUAUGUACAUGUAGAUGUAGGCAUGUUUUGAUUCGUUUCAAUGCAAGUUAGGUUUCAGAAGGUGCACUUUUCCCCUUAAUUUUUUGUUGAUUUUGCAGGUGUGGAUUUGAUGAAAACGCUCAUGUCACCGGAGUACAGUUCUGGUUCUUUUUACUUGCCAAAAGGGUAUGCUGAUCUAUUAUCUAUAUCAUUAAUACAUGACAGCCACAUGUAUACAGCAUACUCAAGAGCCUUUAUCUAAAAAAAAUAGAUAUUUAAUUUUUAUAAUAGGUUGCAAUAAGGCCUCCCUGCUAUUAGGUUCCAUUUCCAUAUCAUUUUCAUCAACUAAGGCUACAUUGCACAUGGUCAUGGUGAUAAGUCUCCGAUUCUCAUUACUGGUUUUGUUCUUCUAAAUAAGAUGUACACAACUUCUGUAAUUGCUCUGUAUGUUAGCUAAUGUUUUCUUCUUUGUUGUGUUGCAUCAGAUGGUAACUGAUGACGUAUCCAUACUAAGCAUUUGGAUUAUUCACUGCCAUUCUUCCAUGCAAAGAACGGAGUUAAUUUAAUUAGCUAUUUGUACUCUUCUACUUUGUUGCUUUCUUGAACAUAUAACUGUUAUUCUGGCUUUGCUGAAGAUGAAAUGGUAUAUUUGGGUAUAGAACCAGUGAUUAGAUGUAUGCAUAUUACAAUGUUUUCUUCAUAUACAUCCGUAAAAAGGGAAAGAAUAAGAGACUCUUUAAGAGUGGAAAAUACGGUGAGGUAACAGAAGGACGAAGUCCAUCCUGUUGGAAAAAUUGCUCCGGCUGUAUGCUACUUAUAUGAAUUUGUUUAAUGUGCCCAAUUCAUUCUCUGUGGUUCAAUGACAUGUUGCAGAAACGAUGAUGACAAUUUAUCGGCCCCUUUGUAUUUUGAAUGCACAUACUUAUUGUGCUAUCUGGAAAAAUGGAAUUUGAUUUCAUUUCUCAAAUAGUACGGUAAAGCAAAGCUGAUUUCGAACAGCACGAGCCAUACCCUCCUGGCCUCCUAGCAAUAUAGUCGCAAAUCAUGAGCCUGAUACGGCAAAGCGCGCUUAUCCAUCCAGUACGUUUUUAUGGUGCAUCUCUUGAAGUAAAAGGCAUAUAUAGUGUUACCUGAAAUUUUAGGCAACCACUUGGAUAUCUAAAUCAUUAGUAACCAGGUCUCAAAUGAAAAGGUAAUGAAUAGUUACUUACCUAGUAAAAUAAGAGUACACAAUGAAGAAGACCGUGGUGGUGCACUUGGAGUUCCUGGAGGCCUAAGACGGAUCGAAGAUCUGUUCUUGCAGGAGCAGAAGGAUCUUGGGGUCUUUUUCUCUUCACCUACAAUUCACUAUGCUUUCGUAGUUUUUGUUGAGUUUCUGAAUUUCUACAUGCUAAAUUUGGAUAUGGAUCCUGCAAUUUCUCCACCUUUGUAAAUUUGAUGACAUGGGAAACAACAUUCUAGACGAAGCAAGGAAAUUGUAGCACACUCUGCACAUUUGUUUCCUUGAAAACUCUUUACUGCAGCUAUCCUAGAGUAAUUCUUUUGACGCCUGCUGAUCCAACUUUCUAAUACUUUUUUUUUUAGAACUUACCACGAGCUCUUUUUCAUUAAAGUGGACAAGAAUGUAAACAUGAAUUGACAAAAAAACCAAGCCAAUUACAAGCAACUGGCUGGUUUCAAACUGAAAUAAACUACUCCCAACACUCCUCCAGCAGGAGGGCACAUUCAGAUCUAAUAACCGAAGCCACACUUUGCAGCGAUGAUCUUUCCAAAUAUGCCACACCACCAUGCUAGCCCACACAAUGUCAGGAUUUUUCUUCCUUGAGUUAAGUUUCAGCAGCGACUCCACCAACUAAUUAGCGAAGUACUUUGCUCAACGAUCCUACACAUCCUCGGCCUCUCUCUUAAGAAAGAUGCUCAGAUCUCUUUGGAGAAAGGGCAGUCAAGAAUCAGGUGCCACGCCGUCUCCAGAACCUGAUCGCAAAAGCAGCAAACGUCUCCGUGAGGCCAGCCCCUCGAAGCCAACCGAUCCCUAAUCCACAGCCUGUUCUGGAGCAAAAGCCACAGGAAAAUCACAGGUGAUUGCUCCCUGGCAAUUCCGUUUUUUUAAACUAGCCGUUGACAAUGAAAAGGCUAGCUACUACUAGAGGUGUGGCUCUGUUUUGGCUAGGCUGAAUGACUAGAUUUGCUACAGUGAACAGUACAUCAUUUUUAUGUUGAAAAUACAUUGUGUUUGAGGAUGAUGCAGUGGAUAGUGCCUAAUGGAUACAUCUAUGUCAAGUACUUUCUUGAAAGGGUUCUAAAUUCAACUUUAAAAAAACCAUCUUGAUCCUUGUCGUACCAGUGGCCCACGGGGUCCCACUGAUACGGGACGCGUGGGUCGCAAGUAACAAAACCCCGCCAGGUUGGCCUCCCGGGAAGGAUAGACCCGGGAAGCUCACCCCAAGGAGACGGUCAAUGGCGAAGACAAAACCAAGAACCGGAACGGUAGAAGCACCUGCUUCGGUGGGUACCCGGGAACUCUGGUCCCGGGAAGUGGAAGGCACGCUGCCCCGGCAUCUGGCUGGGUGCGCUUGUCGGGAAGGAGCUCCCCGCAACCUGCGCUCGGGCAUGUAGGUGGAGCCCGCAGAACAGUGAAGACAGGACGAGACAGCGGACGCAGUGCAUUUAAUGCACCGAUAGGGGUCACAUCGGCAGGGCUAGUCUUGCUCAAUAGGGCUAGUCUUGCUCAGCAAGACUAGAGCGGCUACCCUAUAAUCCAUUUUAUUUACCGUGUACAGUGGCCUAGGCGCUGCAUGGCGCCCAGCGUGGAUCAACAGCAGUACGAGUUUUGUGGCAAUGACACGCAGAUAGCUAACGUGUCGCGCUGCAUGCAUCGGCACCUGUGGUAUCCCCUUGCCUAUAAAAGGAGGAUCAAUGCCACCGGUCAAAGGGUUCGAACCCUAGUGAGUAACAAGCAGUUUUGCAUCCACCCUCAGCAGAGUUCCUUAGAGGGACAACUAGCCUACCCGGGAACCCCCCGGGCAAUCUGUAAAACAUACUAAUUCGUGAAUACAACCAAGAGCAAGACGUAGAGUGUUACACCUCCGGGUGGCCCGAACCUGGGUAAAUCCAAUUGUCCACACUUUGUGUCUUUCAUCACGCCGGCGAUCACGGGAGCGCUUGCCUCGCCCUCCACCGAACAACAAGGGGGCGUCCAGCAUCUCCGGUGCCAGAGACCCGUGCUCCGACAUCUAGCGCGCCAGGUAGGGGGGCGUGCAGAGAACUUCGGGUGACCGCCGGUGUCAUUGGCUUCAUCACCAAUGACAUCGUCCACACCAGCUCGCCAUGCCGCCCAAGAAGGCAGACGAGCCCCGGGUCGACUUGGGCGACACACUGGCCAUGCGCAUUCGAUCCCAUGACGCCGCACGUGCAUCACAAGGUCACGGGGACCAAGGAUCCCCCCAACGUCAGCAACCUCAGUAGCAACCGCAGCUGCCACCGCCACCUCCUCGGGCGUCGACGGACAACCGACCGAGGGAACCUACGGCGCCUGGCGCUGGAGCCAGCCGCACGGGAGACCUCAAAGUCGCACGUGCCAACCGGCGAGUUCACUCACGGACUGAGGACGCGCAGGAACAACUGCGUCACGACCACAGCGCGUUGCGUACGAUGCCAGUGGGAUCUCGGCCCUCUCAACCGAGGGCACUGGGCGACUGGGCGGACGGCAGCAGGUCUGAGAACUGGCAGCCUCCCGCCCAGAACCCGGCGGAAGCCAUCAUCGCCGCGCGUGUCAUGGUGCACUACGAAGCACCGCAAGGCACGCCGGCGCAUGACAUGUGGAGUGCAGAGCUGGACGCACUCCUCGCGCUUGCUGCCCAACAACCACAAGGUGAGGGUGGCCCGCCUGGUUCAUGCCGAGGACAGAACCCGGGGCGCGGAGACGCAUCCCGCGCCUCGGGACAGGGAGAGCAUCCUCCACCCUCGGGAGGACAAGACGACGAGGAUCCCGAAGAUUACUCAGACUCGUCACCAACCGUCACGCCAGGUGACACGCGGGGCGUCCUGAACGCUGCCAGCAAGAUCUCUGCCAGCACUUGCAGCAUCGGCGCCGGCACGAGAGAGAGCGCCAGCGUCCAGAAGAGCAGGAAGACGCUCCCAUGGGCGCCGAUGACGGCUGCGCCGCGUUCUCCCGCGAGGUGCGCCGGGUGACAUGGCCCCGCAAGUUCCAAGAGCCAACGCUCGGGACGUACGACGGGACCGUGAAGCCCAAGGAUUUCUCCCUGACCUACACGUUGGGCAUGCAUGCUAUCGGUGCCGACGACAAGGUCAGGGCCAACUGGUUCCCGAUGGUCCUGAAAGGAUCAGCGAGAACCUGGUUGCUCAACCUGCCCGCCGGGUCCAUUGCCUCCUGGGCCGACCUGCGCGAGCAGUUUGUGAACACGUUCCAGGGCUGCUACAAGCGCCCGGGAACCAUGGCGAAGCUGCACACGGUGGUACAGAAGCCGGGGGAGACGUUGCGGGACUUCACCAACAGGUUCUACAACAUCUCCUACUCCAUCCCACAGGCGGAAAUGGCCGCCAUCAUCAACACGUACGCCAUCAACGUCUGCGCCCCGAAGAUGCAUGAGAAGCUGAACACGCACCGGAUCCGGACUACCAGGGAUCUCUACGCUCUCGCGCACAAGUGCGCGAUGGCCGAGGAAGGGUGCCUAGCGCCCGAGCUUGCCGCCAAAACGGCGGCGAACCCACCCGAGGGCUCCGGGAAGAAGGGCUCCCGGAAACACGGCAGGAAGCAAGUGCUUGCCGCGGAACCGGGGACUCCCCAGAGGCCCACCAAGAAGGCGGCGUCGGCAGGAGCAUCGGGUAGCAAGCCAGCGAGCGGCCGCGUGCUGCCCUGCCCACACCAACGCCACCCACGACGCACAGGACUGCCGCACUCUCCAGACCGUCAAGGAGAAGCGCGAGCAGCGCCACGAGGAGCGUCGUGCUGCCAGAGCCUGCUUCAACUGCGGGGACAUCGGGCACCUCUCUCGUGACUGCCCGAACAACCCCCGCAACGGAGCGGCCGUGGCACGGCCAGCAGCCGCGCCAAGGGAGAACCCGCGGGGGGUCGCGGUCAGGGCCGUGGCAGCAAGGACCGGCUUCCCCGGGGACGGGACAAGCCUCGUGCUGAGCAGCGCGAGGACGACUGCAAUGACGACGUCGACGAGCCCAGCUUUCAGGAGCCCCGCGACGUCGCCUGCAUCCACGAGGGAGCAUACACUCUCAUGUCUCACGCCGCCGUGAAGCGGCUCACCCGUGAGGUGUGCGCCCUCCUCCCCAGCAUGGAGGCGCAACAGCCGUUGAGGUGGUCGCACGUGCCGAUCACCUUCAACUCGGACGAUCACCCAAUUCGUCCCUUGGGAUCAGGGGUACUACCCCUCGUGGUAUCACCGAUCAUAAACAAUGUGACGGUGACCAAAGUUCUGGUGGACAACGGGGCAAGCCUUAACCUCCUGUCCGCCAAGUUGAUGAAAAAGCUUCAGCUGCCUUUGGAGCAGAUGAAGCCCACCGACCCGUUCCGGGGGAUCAACCCCGGAGUGGUGCAGCCCAUGGGGCGAAUCACAUCCUGGUGACUUUCAGGUCCCGAGAAGCAUUUUGGACUGAGCACAUUGUCUUCGACAUGGCUCACACCCCGUUGCCCUACAACGGGAUUAUUGAUCGACCGACGCUGAUCAAGUUCAUGGGGGAAACUCAUUGCGCCUAUGACGUGAUGAAGAUGCUAUCAAUGUACGGUGUACUCUCCAUCAAGUGCGACCUGAAGGACGCUGCUUGGUGCGUGGUCAAGGUCGUGAAGACCUCCGCAGUGGCGGAUUCCGGUGACUACGAAGUUGCCGGGAACAAGGAUCCACUUGCGGGCGAGCAGCCCGCACAGAAGAAGGCGCGAGCCCCUCCCGGGCAGGAUGCCGGGGGAGGUACCAGUUCCAACCCGCGCGUCAGCAAGAGUGUGAAGCUGAAGGAGGAGAGUUCCAAGGUCAAGAACGUACCCCUGCAAGCCGGCAACGAGGCGCGCACCGCUUCCAUUGGUGCGAGCCUCGGUGACAAAUAGGAAAGCGCCCUCAUCACCUUCUUUCGGGGAAAUUCUGACGUGUUCACAUGGGAGCCGUCGGACCUUCCUGGAGUCCCCAGGGAGGUGAUCGAGCUUCGGUUGGCGGUGCGGCCAGACACUCGCCCCGUCAAGCAGAAGGUUCGCCGGCAAGGUCUAGAACGCAAGGACUUCAUCCAGCAAGAAGUGGAGAAGCUGAAGAAUGCCGGGGCAAUCAAGGAAGUGUUGUACCUUAUUUGGUUAGCAAAUCCUGUUGUAGUCCCUAAGGAUGGAAAUAAAUUACGCAUGUGCGCAGAUUUUACUGAUCUUAAUCGUACAUGCCCCCAAGGACCCCUUCCCUGUACCCCGUAUUGAUCAAAUAGUAGAUGCCUUCUCCGAUUACCAUCAGAUUAAGAUGGCAGUCGAAGAUGAGGAGAAAACAACGUUUAUCACCCUGGUUGGCUGCUACUGUUAUACAUGCAUGCCUUUCGGGUUGAAGAACGCGGGCUCGACAUUUUAGCGCGCUUUGCGCGAGUGUCUGGGACCCCAGCUAGGUCGUAAUAUUGAGGCCUACAUGGACGAUAUCGUUGUCAAGUCGCGGCGCAGGGACUCGCUCGUUGGCGACCUGCAGGAGACGUUCGACAAUCUCCGCAGAAUCAAGCUCAAGCUAAACCCCGAGAAAUGCACGUUCGGCAUGGACUCGGGGCACUUGCUGGGCUUCUUGGUAUCUCACCGGGGAAUCGAAGCCAACCCACAGAAGAUCGAGGCGAUCGAGAAGAUGGAGGCCCCCCGCAAGGUCAGAGAUGUCCAGCGCCUCAACGGUUGCGUUGCGGCGAUCGGGCGUUUCAUCUCAUGGUUGGGCGAACGAGCCUUGCCUUUCUUCAAGGUAAUGAAGAAGAAGGGCCCAGUCAACUAGACCCCCGAGGCAGAAGCGGCGAUCCAGGACUUGAAGCAGUACCUGAAAUCGCCGCCAAUCCUCAUCGCCCCAAGCCGGGCGAGCCGUUGCCGCUUUACUUGGCAGUGACAGAUCAGGUAGUGAGCUCCGUGCUCGUUGCUGAGAGGGAAGAGCAAGUCCCGGGGGCUGAGCAGUGGGGCAGGGGGCUCCAGGCGAUCCGGAAGAACCCCCGGCUACCUCCUCUGCCCCGCAAGCGGCUAGUACAGCACCCCGUGUACUUCGCCAGCAUGGUGUUGCACGAUGCCCGGGUACGGUACCCGCAGGUCCAGAAGCUUUUGCUUGGGAUCUUGCUCGCUUCACGGAAGAUGCGCCACUACUUUCAGGCGCACAGCAUCACGGUGGUGUCGGGUUUCUGCCUAGAGUGGGCCCUGACCAACCGUGAAGCCACCGGGAGGGUGGCCGAAUGAAGUAUGGAGCUAGCAGAAUUUGGGCUACGUUUCGCGAAUACCAAGAGCAUCAAGAGCGCCGCUCUCGCCGACUUCGUCGUGGAGUGGAUGUCUACAAGAAUAGAAGAAGAAGAGCCGGAAGCAAGCCUUCUCGGCAAAUUAGAUGAAGGGUACUGGGUCAUGUACUUCGACGGCGCCUUCAACCUGCAGGGUGCCUGUGCCGGAGUGGUGAUCGAGUCAUCCACUGGAGAUAAACUCAACUUUGUGAUACAGCUCGACUUCGCCAACUCCACCAACAACACAGCAGAGUACGAGGGGCUGCUAGCGGGGCUACGUGCGGCGAUCGCCCUCAACAUCAAGCGCAUGGUUGUUCGCGGGGAUUCUCAACUCGUGAUAAAUCAGGUAAAUAAGGACUACGAAUGCCCCCAGAUGGCAGUGUACGUGGAAGAAGUGCGAAAGCUGGAGUCCAAGUUCAAGGGACUUCGGUUUGAGCACGUGAAGCACAAGGACAACUUUGUUGCGGAUGAACUAUCCAAGUGGGCAGCGGAACGCUACAAGGUGCCUCCAGGGGUAUUCGUACAGAGGUAGUCAAAGCCCUAUGUCGAUCCGUAACGGUGCGGCCCCGUUAGCCGCCUCCCCGCCAGCUGCCGGGACGCUCCUGCCGGACGUCAUGGACCCUGCGGGGAACUCUGUGUCAGAAGACAAUGAAGAAAAUAAGUUAGAACAAGAAGUACUUGAGCUUUCGUGUACCUGCUGCCGGGCCGGUGCCCUACAAGCUCGGGUCGGGGACCCUUGUGUCCCCAGCGGCAGCUGCCGCCGCGGUAACAACCGCAUCGGCGGCGUCCUUGUCACCACCGUCCGACGCUGGGCGGGGGUUCUUGACCGGGGCCACUGGCGAAGUGCUGGGCUGCCCCCUCUUCCUCGAGGAGCUGGGAAAUGCAGAAGUAAGCUAGCAGAAUAUGUAAAAUUCAUGAAGACUAAAAUGGUUAAAGCAACGUCAAACUUAUCCCGCCGGGUUGAGCUUGAGCACCCUGUCCGCCAUGAUGGUCCUCGUCCGGGGGGCGCUUCGUACGGGAGGAACUGCUGGAGCCGCCGGGGUAGCCUGGACGGCUAUCGUAGCCGCCCCGCUGCCGGCGAAGGCCACAGUCCCCGCAUCGACGGGAGGCGCCUGAGGCUGCGGGCUGCCCCCCCCCCCCCCCCCCGCCUGCUUGCCCGCUCUGCCGCGGACCGCCUCACCAAGGGGACGUCGUCUUCGUCAUCGUCCCCCUCCGGCGCGACCCCGCCAACUUCUGAGGGAGCAUCGUCGUCGUCGUCUUCAUCGUAGUCUUCUCCGUCGCCCAGCAAGGAAUCGUCGGAGUCCGAGUCCUCCGGCCUGGCGGAGCCCCGGUCCUGGACACCCUCCCCCGACUUGGCAGCCGGCUCCUUGCCGAUGCGAGACCUGGGUUGCAGGAGGGAGAGCGGCGACGAGGGAUCUUCCACGAUCCCCCACUCAUCGCAGAGUGGGAGAUCCCGGGCUCCCAGGUUCGGGAUCCCGGUGUGGAGCGGCUGCGCUCCAAGUGGUGGCAAUCGGAAGGCUUCGUCCUCGCCGGUGAUGCCCUUCACCCAGAAUUGUAUAUCGUCUGGCGAGAGUUCUGUGCGCUACAGCCGUGUCCGGUCGCCCGGCCCGGUGUACAUCCAUGCCGGAUGUGAGCGCCGUUGCAGGGGAGCCACGUGCCUCCCAAUAAAGUGGCGCGCCACGUCCGUGUCCGUGAGCACAGCCUCGCGGAGUGCCUUGAUCUUGGCGCGGAUUGGGUCUAGCUCGUCGUCCUUCUGGUCGCGGAGUGUCCAGUCAUCGGAGCCCUUUGGGGGUCCAAGGGGGUCCUCGUAGAAAUCCUAGAGCUCGUUGGUGCGCACCCAGCACCAGUCGUGGCGCCCCUCGCUCUCAAUCUUCCUCUUCCCCGGCUGGAUGAACUACAACUUUAGCUUGUCGCGCAACCAGAACACUACUUCCGAGGACAGGAGAGCUUUCGCCUCCACCCUUGGGUAGUAGUAGUGGCAAAACAGAGCCACCGACGGCAUCACCCCCACGAAUGUUUCACAGAGGUGUUGGAAGACAGCCAAUGUGAAGAAUGACGUGGGGUGAAUUUGGGCCAUGAUGAGCCCAUAUGACUCCAUGAUGGCAGAAAGAAAGAAAGAAUGCGGCGGCACGAACCCGGCUAGGAUGAACCUCCUGAAAAUCCGGAAGUACUGCCGGUCGCGCUCUGCGCCGACGGGGAGAACUCGCGUCGACCCGUACUCAUUGUGCUUGGUGGCGAGCGCCAAGACCAGCUUCUCCACCCCCUCGCCGUUGUACGCAGGGGAGAAGAAGGCGAACUUGGCCCGCAUCUCUUCAUCCUUCCUUGCUCGCUCCAACAGCUCCUUCUUGCUGGCCUUCUCGCGCUUCUCUCCUUUCCUGGUGCUCCCCUUGGGUCGACUCUGGCCCUUGGAAGACAUCGGUGGGAGUGGGGAGUGAGUUUGGCUGGAGUUGGGGCACGGAGAGAAAGGGAGGCAAUGGCGGAAGCAGGAAACAGUGGGGGAUGCCUGCCGUCAGUCUUGGGUAUUUAGCGGGGCUGGCGGGCUGCAACGGACACCCCCACGAUCAGCAAUAAAGUGCCCUAAAGAAUCGGAAAUUAAGAAGGGGGUGCGCGGCAUGGCCUUAACUCUCUAUUGAUUAUGGGGAAUAAGGAAAUAGAUCGUGCGCCCGACCGUUUCGCUCGGAAGAGUGGAACUAGAAAUGCGGCCCACAGGGCCGGUUACCGAGAUACUCCUCCGGGACCCACACGUCGGAUAGGGCACCUCCGGGUGGCCCGAAUCUGGAUAAAUCCAAUUGUCCACACUUCUUGUCUUUCGUCACGCCGGCGAUCGCCGGAGCACUCGCCUCGCCCUCCACAGAACAACAAGGGGGUGUCGAGCAUCCCCGGUGCUGGAGACCCGUGCUCUGACAACCUUCGAGGUGAGGCUAUCAUACUUCAAAGCAUUAGUUCUCUACUUAGUCUAGAUGAAGCCAUGUUUCCUUUUACCACACCAACUUGACCAUAUAUGAAUUCAUCAAUUCCAUUGUGUCAUUUGUUCAAACACUAUCAAAUUAUGAAAACAUUCUGUUUGUCACCUGUUAUGUAAAUCCAAGUGUAUACAAAAGUAUUGUCAGAAGGAACAGCUCUUUUUGCUAGCUAUUUAUUGGGACUAAAACAAUUAGCCUAAACCAAAUUAGUAUACGUGCAGGCUUUCAUUCUUUAUUACAUUAGAACCAAACAAAGUUUUACAGUCAGAUAAUAGGAACUAGAAAGUAAAACAGAAAUGAUAAUAUGUCAAUUUAUCCACUUGCACACUUCAAAAAAUUGAAACUUACUCCCAAAACAACAAUGCAGUUAGAUUGUGUGGACAGAGCAUUACAACAACUGCUAGGGAGCCCAUGUGUAGCUACAUGAAAAUUUGAUGUCACCUUCUUCCUGAAUACAAGGGCACACCUCUGGCUUUGUGUUGUCAGAAGUGGCAAAUCCAGUCCUAUACAUUCAUAUGUAUGUUUAUUAUUAUCUACAAUACACGUACACAGUUCAGAUAUGUCCUGUAAUUUUGUCCCGCGAACACUGCUGGAGAUAGACCAUAACCGGUUGUUUUGGUCCAGCUCGGCUGAAGCGGGUAAAGUAAUGCUCCAAGAUAUAUCUGAAGGGUCAACGUCAACCCCGCCGGGUUUUGUUGGAGUAUGUAGAUGGCAUGUCGUGCAUUUCCGAGUAUUCAUAUACCAGUGUCUUGCCAAGGAACCGCGAGUGCUAUUACAACUGUGGACAUGAGGACAUUUCUUUGUUUCAAGCAUGUUACGAAUGUUUUACAACAUUAGCCAUGUAAAAAUUAUGCACCUGAGAUACAUUGUACCCCAUCAACAAGUAAGCAGGUAUAUCUUACAAUUUCCCACACCAGAUUGUAUGUACGGCAAUCUUUAAGAUGGACGAUUGCUCUGUUACUGCCAAUCCCCGGUUGGACAUAACCAAAACAUGCGAAUUAAUCAUCAUUUUGUUCCUUUAGUUGAUAAUUCAUUAUCAAUGCUAAACAAAACAGUUUUGUAACUCUGCAAGCUCUGUAGCAUUCAAAUCAGCUCAAAAUUUAAGCUAUGUGCCUGAGGCAUGGAAUAGGCAAUAGGCAUUAAGCUUUACUGAGCUCAGAACACUCCUCAGCAUCUCCUUAUUUUAUGCAACCAUAUGACAGGCCAAUACUAAAACAUAUAAUGCGUAAGGUGUGACAUCUCAAAGGACAGAGAAGUCCUCAAAUCCUGGGACUGGGAUCAGGUGCCUUGCCAGAGCCAGGGCACGGCUUGCCUUGCCCCCCUUUAUCCACCGUCCAUCUAUAUCGGACGGCCAGCACCGAAUUCAACCGUUUCAUCUUCUUACUCCUUAGUCUUCCUCUCGAGCAUAGACAGGUCGUUCCUCUCGGGGGAAAUCCUCCGCCCCAAUCCGACGGGCUGCUCCCUCAUCUCCCCAUCCCCUUUUUGUAUUCCUUCUGUGCUCGUAAUCUGGACUCUGGAGAUGGUGGCUGCUGCAAGCUCCUUCUUCGAUCGGGAGGACAGUGCAGGGGCGCAGCGCGACAUGGUGAGCGCCGGGCGGGUUACCGGAGACGGCGUGGUUCUCUGCGCGCUGCGUAUGGCUUCUGCAUUGCUCACAAAAAGCGAGCACACGAAGGGAGGCUCUCUUUUCUUUUUUUACGGAAAGCUUUAGGCCAUAAGGCCUAUUGCAUAUAUUAAAAUAAAAUGUUAUUUACAAGAAUAGAAGAAAAAAGUUAUCUAAAUCUCUCAAUCCAGACUUAAAGCCUCUCGUAUUUUUUUCUUUUGGCUCUAUGUAAGACUAGAUUAAGAUCUUUCUUGAAAGUUCUUCUGCAUCUAUAUAAUGAUGGGGUAAUUCCAUUAAAGAUGAAGUCGUUUCUAGCUUUCCAUAACCAGAGUAGUGAUCUCCAUGUGGAAUGGGACAUUCAACUCCUGUUUGAUAGAACAAAGAUUCUCAUGCACAUUGUCCCUUGGAGUGAAAUCUGGACAGAUGUAUCUCCAGCAUGAACGAGCGAAUUGACAGUGAAAAAGAUAUGAUCCCUUGUUUUCAUGUGGGAUUGAUUGCAAAGAACACAAAUGUAGUUUGGGAGGAAGAAUUGCAUCUUGAGUAACAAUCCCCUGGUAUUCAGCCUAUCAAUCACUGGAAGCCACGUGAACACCUUGUGUUUGAGUUGAUUGCAGGAUGUCCAGAUCCACUAGAAGCCACGUGAACCUGCUGCCCUUCUUAUUAUUCCCUAUUGGCGGCGGCGGCUGACAUCGACGGUCAUGCGCGCCUGAGAUCGAUCAAUCCUACCUUCAUGAAAAGGCAGCGACACGAGCUCGUCAACGGCCAACGGUGAUGUGUCGGGGACUGCACCUGACAAGAGCACCAGAGCAAGUUGUUUACCCCCAAAGAUUCCCCUGCCUGUGCUUGUUUCCUGACCGCAGGGGGCUGUGAAUUGAUGCUGGUCGUCGGAUUUAAAUGAACGAUGGAUACAUGGGCCACCGGAUCCCAGUCCCAAAUCCUGCCAUGCUUGAUGCAACUAAGUAUACAUAUGCCAUAUUUGAAAAGUACACAUGGACUACAUAGAAGGAUUCCAAGUGCAGUACUAACAACAUCCAUACUAUGGGACCUGAAAAAAAGUGGUAUUAAUUGUUGAACCAAUGUAUUAAAUAGUAAUAUGUAUAUCUCAUCCAAUAAAUAAUAAUAUCAACGCUCAUGUCUUUCCUAUGAUUCAGUUUCUCAAUCUUGAUACAUGGAUGCAGAUAAAGGCAACCCUUUUUUCUUUACAAAUUGUAAACAGAUGGAGAACUUCAUCUGAAAAAUAAUGUCUCAAUUAAACAUUAUUUGGCAACAAGGUUUUGUAAAAUCAGAAUUCCAACUAAUUUUACCAUGUUGAAAUCGAGGUUCAUACUAUUCCAAGUAAUCCGAAAGAAUAAUAUAUGUUCUGGCGAUAAAUUAAAGAGGAAAUUGCACGGGUUCCAUCAACUUGGCACGAAUGUUCACUUUAGUCCACUAACUUGUUAAUCGAUUAUUGUUAGCCCUAAACUUGAAUUUGUGUGCACCGUUAGUCCAUAAUCAAGCGUUAAAUGGCCAAGUGGCGCGUGAUGUGGCAUGGGGAGAGUUCAUACGUUCAUGUGGUUGCUUAACAAACACAAGCUACUAAGUAGAGAUAACUUGGAGAAAAGACAUAAAAUACAGGACAAAACUUGUGUCAUAUGUAACGAAAAUGAAUCUAUUUUGCAUUUCUUUUUUGACUAGUGGAAAUGCCCAUGCGUUGUCACGGCCCACGCACACGGUGGUCAGGAUGUUGCUUUCACGUUUGUUGAAUCCAUAUGUUUACUUGGAUAAUAAACACCUAAAUUCUCUGACCUCAACUUUGACCGCAACCGCCGUAUCGUAGGGUUGGCAAAGGACCGUCCGUGUGCCAUGAUGUCGAGCUGCACUACGCUGCUUCGGCCUAGAGGCACGAUGGUUGUCAUGAUCAUUUUGAAAGGUGAUUGUGUGCAUCACGUUGCUAAAUUCCGAUGAUUGCUUAGGAGGGCUCUCGUCGUUCCUUUUGUGUUGGCGGCGCCACCGUUUGUCUCUCUUCCAACAUCCCCCAGUCGCGCAUCUCCGUUCUUUGUCGCCCUUUUUAACUUGUUUAUUUGGUUUUGUCAUAUGCUUAUAUUUAAGUCGUCUAACUUUUGAUUAGAGAUAAGUUGAUUCCUCAGCAUUUUUAUAUGGUUUGUGCUCUAAGAUUUGACACGGACGAUUUAAAUUCGUUAGCUUAUAUUUAAGUUUUUUUUCCUUAAAGUAAAAAUUAGACAACUAAGAGUAUAUACUUAUAUGGCCACACCCUUAAUCAUUGUAGCCAAUGGUACUUGUCCACGGUCAAGGGCAAGUAGCUUCUUUUGUAUUCAUUAAAUUUAAAUCCUAGAAAUUUAAAAUUUAAAAUAUAUUAACACCGCAUCCAGUCUUUUUUACCUGAUUCAUGCAUAUCUAUCUAUCUCACUCUCUGAUCAUGUACUCCAGUCCAGUCUCCCCCGACCAUGCAUCCCGAUCCCCGCCGUCACUCCAGUCACCCCCGACCAUGCAUCCCCGCCGGCUAUGUCCAGUCGCGUGGGAGCUCUCCCCGCUUCGUCGGCUCCAGAUCUGGCGCCGUCGCCCAUCCCCUACACCAGCGCGCCGCCCCAUCCCCUGCUCCGGUGCCUCCCCGUCUCAUGAUUUGGCGUGCGGCCUGUUCGCCAUGCUCCAGCGCCACACACGGAGAUGGCCUCGCACCGCGUGAGGUCUAGCGCCUCCGGUCCUUCCAGUUCCUACGAUGUCACCUCCGGCGGCCGGGAUCUGUCACGGAACAAUAAAAUAAAAUGAUACACUCAAAACACAUGCAUCAAAACUUCCUCUUUUUGUCCUUCUAAAAUAAUAGCACAUAUAUAUCAGAAAUAGGUGUUUAUUCAUGGAAAAUGAAGUAUGAUCAUCCGAAAUAGGAGUAUGUACCGAACUGAAAGCGAUUUGUGCUGUUAUUAGCAAGUCAGCAGAGUACCAGCAGUAAAAAGGGAGUGCAAUUAUGCAGCAUCAUUUCAGAUUCUUUCGCAAAAAAAAACACAUCAUUUCAGAUUAAAUAUGAAGGACCACAUCUGCACCUGUGGGAUGGUAGUAAUAUGAUAGCGAGAAAGACAGUCAAAAUGCACGGAAAGCUUAAGUAGUAACUGAGAAUCAAACAGAAGAACCUGUAGCACUAUAGUAUAGUAUAUCACUUUAUUGUGGGAUGUGUAAUUUGUACAACGAAGCUAAAUCAAGAGAAAUGAGAAGAGAUGCAGCACCAUCACCUAGUAUGUGCCACUGAGGUACAAUUCAAUUGUUAGGUGAAUCAGAUCUCGGACCAGGCCCCGUCAAAAAUGAAGGAUCUUGGUCCAGCAGAAACAUAAGUGAACCAGGAAGAAAUCUCCACUAUUGAAUCAAGACAGCUGAUGUAUUCUGUAUUAGACAAAGCUGAAACCUGGGUAGCUUGUUUUCACAGGUGCUUAAUCAAAGUUGUUUUCCCUGUAGAAUAUUGACCAAAAAACAUAACCAUUGGUUUUGCAUCGAAGUCAUUGUUCGUCUGGAAAAUGGCAGAAUAAACAGAAUGACAUGUAAGUACUCUUUGCAACAUAAUUGAUCAUAUUUUUUUUUUCACUGCAAAUCUUAUCAAGAAUAUUUUUCCUCAAAAAAAAACAAUAAUAAGCUUCUAUAAAAACAAUCUCAGGCUCCAAAUGAUAGACAUCCUUUUCAUGAAUCCUAAACAUUUCUAAGCUAGAAACAAUGCGCUGAUUAUUUCUAGACUGAUAAAAAAUCUUAACCUGUCAUGAAAUGAGCGAGAGAAACCAGGACUAACCUCCUGCCAGAAACAGCGACCAAGCUUGACAUUAAGCUCUGUGCACUCUCCAAAAAACUUCUUGAAAGGGUUAUCCACACUUGUCAAGUUGAUCGAGAAAUAGAAUAACAAGUCCCCCUCUAGGAAUUAGCGAGCAGUUAACGAGUAUCCGGAAACAGCCACAAUCCACCAUAUUAUUGACUUGCAUCCUUUUUUCUUAACCAAUUUUUUGCCUAACAUAAGGUCAUCUACAAGAGAAUCAAAAUAGUUUCCCCUAGAAACUAACAUAAUUCUCCCUCAUCCUCCAACAAAGCUGAGUCUGCAUAAUCUAGAGCAGGGACAACCUACAGGGCCUGAUCUUAUGAACAAAGCAGGCUUGAAAAUAUUUCUAGUAGGAACAGAUUGGCACAUUUCCAAGACACAAAGCACAGCUAGCCCUUUUAUUUUAAACUUAAGUCCUUAACUGAAGCCAAGCAAAGAAGCUUGCACUGUUGCACAUACAUAUAGGUUGAUCGAAUAGCUAAACCUUAUAAUUAAAACACAAGCCCAAAAGUUUAGAGCCUUUUGGGUUGACCUAUCCAAAUGGCACAUUUGGAACUCUUCAAUAAUUUAGAAGUCCAGUGCAUUGCUCCAAUGUUGUAGCACUCUUGAGGGUUUAUAGAGUAUAUGUACUCUAAGCUCCUUUUGCAAUAUCUUUGAUUUCGAAGGUCAUAUUUUGUGGUAACUGGCAUAAUCUACCAAGUUCGACGUUUUGGCAUCCAAAUUGCAAUACCGUGGCUCCAAUUUGUACAAGUUCCAAUUAUCCUGAACCAAAAGAGAAGCAAUGAACAUUGGAGAGAAGAGAUGGAUACUCUGCACUACAAAAAGUUCACCCGCUGCAGCUGCCAUUACCAGGUGCCCACCAUGGCCGCCAAACUUUCUGAACAAAGGUUCUCCCGCUGCAUUACUUCUCUUCUCAACCAAACGUGCUCAAAUCGAGACACUAAAAAGCACAUAACGCUCGCUGAUGAAGAGGGAGAAAUCGAGCCACGUCUCACGUCGCGUGGAGAUGUGCCUGACGAACACCAACACCUCCCCGGUCACGCUGGGGAUGGCAUCUCCUUCGUCCGCCUCCUCCUCCCAGCAUCGAGAUGCCGCUCCUCACCCUCUGACCUAUCUCCGCCAGAUCACUCUGAUCCCCGCGGAUCCUCUUCCUCAUUUGCGUCCCCGUCGGUACCCUCCGCCUCUGCAGCGGUGAGCGGGGAGAAGGACUCCGGCAGGGGCGGUGGGGCGAGGAAGGACGCCACGUCCACUUCUUUCGCCAGGGGAACGACCCAUCGACGGCGGGGGUGCGGCGGCUGUCCCGCAGCGAGAGGUGGUGGCAGCUCGUGGGCGACGGCGUCUCGCGUGUUCGGAGGGAGGCGGCGGUUCGUGCGCUCGAGGGAGGAGGGAAGAAGGAUCUGGCUGUCAUUUUGCAGAGACCUGCUGUGGUCUCAUUUGAAUAUUUAGCUACACUGUGGUUGAGUGAAAAAAAAGAAUGUUGUUAUUAAUAUGAUAGCUUCUUCCAUGUUAUGGAAUAUCUGGAAAUUCAGAAAUGAUAUGGUAUUUUCUCUAUUGAAUUGGUCUUUAAUCUAGGUGCCCUGGCAGCCUGUUGCGGUUGUUAAAGCGCCGGCAACCACUGUGCAUCCAGAAGAAAAUUUAGAGGUCGGAAAGGCUGUUGGCAUGCCUGUAGGCCAAAGUGGUGGAGGCUCCCCAAAUCAAACGUCGCACCUCACAGGCGAUGGCUCCAAGAACACCCCGGGCCUUGGAGAUAAAAGUCCCUUUGCGCCUAUUUGUCAAUUGAGAAAAAUAUGAAGAGGGGGUGAAAACAGUCAGUUGCAUAUGGUUUGGCACUGUAACAGGAUAAACAAACUUUUGGUUUUCAAUUACUCGGUUGACCCUGUUAGGGGUAUGUAAUACCGAAUCUGGAUAUUGUUUCGUUCCAUAUGAAAUGGAACAGGGCGAGGAGCCUAUAUUUCUCUGAAAAUAAAUCCCCAGGACACGUAGGCGGGUUUAUUAGCUGAAAGAAACUACCUUGGUUGGUCGGCACGUGGGCUCCAAAUGAACCGUUGCGAUCGACUGGACGCGUGAUCGGACGAGCAAGAUACUCAAAUCGCUGAGGAGCCAGAAGUUACUUAUCCCUUCCUCGUCGCCUGCCCUGCCCUGCUCCCGCCACACAAAAAAUAUCCACCACGCGGAGCGAAACCUUUGCCCUCUCGCCUCGUCGCCGAACGCUAUGGCCUCCGAUGCGAGGCUCUCGCUGCCACGACGCCUCCCCUCACUCCUCCUUCGUCCAAUGCUCCGGGCGCCCUGCGCCUCCGCGUCCACCUCGCCGAGGUGCCGCAUCUUAACGGGGGUGCGACCGUCGACGCCCGCACCGAGCCGUGGCGGGAGUCGGCUGCGGCCUCGCGCCGCGGAGGCCGAGCGGCAGGGUCGGAUGCAGCGAGAAGACGAUGUGGUCGACAGCAACGUACUACCCUACUGCAACCUCGACCGGAAGGAGAAGAAGUCCAUAGGGGAGAUGGAGCAGGAGUUCCUCCAGGCGCUGCAGGCACGUUCGUGCUUCUUCUAUGUCACCGCUUGUUCUUUUCUACGUACUGUACCAAGUAUCAAUGUUUCGUGCAUCUCUACAAACGCUAAUGGUGGACGACCAUCAGUUGCGGAAACUUUACAAUUUGAACUAGUUAUUUACACAUCUUUACUUACUGGUUAAUCGGUUCAUAUUGUUCUUGCUAUUUAGUCGUUCUACUAUGACAAGAAGGCAAUCAUGUCGAAUGAGGAGUUUGAUAACCUUAAGGAAGAACUUAUGUGGGAAGGAAGCAGUGUUGUUAUGCUAAGUAAGGAAUUCCCGUUUGGUUUUUCUUACUUUGAUUUGAUUUUGCUGUCAUGGUUGAUACAAAUUUUCCAUUGUUCUUGUGUUAGGCCCGGAUGAGCAAAGGCUUUUGGAAGCCUCCAUGGCUUAUGUGGCUGGCAAACCCAUUAUGACAGAUAUCGAAUUUGAUGAACUAAAGCUCAGAUUGAAGGUCGGUUCUUAUUCUCUAGAAUAUUAUGUAUGUGUAGCUUGGCAACAAAAAAACGCACAUUCAUGGAACUAAAUAAGAUUCAGCCAAGUUUGGCCCACCCUUGUGUCUAAGACCAGAAACUUACUCUGAAAUAGCUUAAGAAGCAGCAAAAGCAAGAAUUGUAGCAUGAGACGCUUUGUGUUGCUACUUUGUUGCAUUAUACCUAGAUAUAAGCUAUCAGGCUUAGCAUAUGGGCUGUAGGCUACACUAAGUACUCCCUCCGAUCCAUAUUAAUUGUUGCAAUAUUACAUGUAUCUAGACGUUUUUUAGGCAUAGAUACAUCCAUAUUUGGGCAAAUUUGAGACAAUUAAUAUGGAUCGGAGGGAGUAGUUUAAUUAUUGUGACAUUUAGAUGUUAGCUUCAGUUCAUAUACUCAUAUGAGAAAUUUACAUUUGAAGCACACACACACACACACACACACACACACAUAUAUAUAUAUAUAUAUGCUUCAUCCUGCAUGCUUGCUUUAAUGGAUGAUACACCCGCUUCGGUGUAUUCUAGAAAAAAAAUCCUGCAUGCUUGCUUAGUUUUUCUUGAUAUUUGCCUUGCCUAGAAAGAAGGAAGUGAAAUCGUACAGGAAGGUCCAAGAUGCAGCUUACGGAGUCGAAAGGUAGGUAUUGACUUAUUGAUUUCUACUUUACUAGUCCCCUCAUUAGGAAUUCCAUGUAUUCUCUAGUUCCAAACAUGUAUAAUCUAUUUGAAAUGUUAAAGAAUAGACUCUUGCAGUUUGUUUUCUUUGCUGCUCAUGGUUGACUGGUAGGAUAUUUAAGGUUAUACUAGCAAUUAUUAGUUAUUUUUCUUUUAUGACAUUGAUAAUCUAGAAAGAAAAGCAUUCUUAUAUCUAUAUCAUUUAAUAAAGCUGUAUAUAUUUCAUAUGUAGUGAGGGUUGUUUGCCAAAUUUACAGAAUCUUCUUGCCAAUGUUUCCUUGGGUUGGGUUUGACAUCAAGAUUAUGUGUGCUGAAACUCAACCUCACACUCACGAAUUAUGCAAUUUUGCGCAGGUCUACAGUGACUUGACUGUUGACUACUUCAAGAUGUUCCUGCUAAAUGUUCCGGCGGCUGUUGUAGCUCUUACAUUGUGAGUGUUGAUAUGAAAUGGAAAAUCUAGCUGCAUGGCAUUCAGCAUGUGGUCUUCUCUGUUGACCGCUCUCCACGCAUUAGAUGUCACCGGAUUUCUCCUUUUUUCUCGUUUCAUCGAAGCAGUGAAACAGAUCGGACCACAAGCUAAGCUGCGAAAGUGAUAGGCAUGCAGACCAAAACCACAUGGGCCGCACUAGCAAAUAUUGGCACCAGCACAUCAACUGUGUUUACCACGACAACAGAGGUCGUGGUUAUGAUUCAAUCUGAUCCCAGAAUAUGUAGUCAGUUGCGUUAAAUUAUUAGCCUAUACCCCUGUGUGAGGUGUGUAUUAGCUCCCUGGUGCACCUAGACCGGGAAAACAAUAAAAUAAAAUAACUAAAAUCUGUAUAAAAUAACUGAUGUUUUGUGUAUACAUGUUUGAGUCCUUGACAUGCCUGUUAAGUUUCAUGUUAAAAGCACCAAUUUGUGUCCUGGACCAAAAAUAAAUUCACUGCUUCAAAAGGAGAACUUCUUCAGUACUAAAUUUGCCUCUCUUUUUUCACAGGGCAUAAAAAUUAUUGUCUUUGAAUGAGAACUACACGAACCUAGAUGACAUACACAAAAUUCUUUUUCAUCUGGGAACAUGUUCUCCUGGAUGCACCAUCGAAUUUCCCAUACCCUGGCUUGUCCGAAGCCCGUACCUUUUCUCAACCCUCUGAAUGGCCAUGAUUGUGCUUAACCUUUCAAUUCCAUGUGACAUGAUGCCAUUUUCUCUGGUAAACAGUUAUCUGUAUGCGCAGACAUGAGUGAAUAACAUAAUAGCUCCAAAGUUUGAUGUUUAUUGACUUGUCAAUACAAAAAUAUCAUGUCUUUGCUCAAGUAGGAGAAAAACACGAGACCCAAACGAAAGUUCAUAGCCACAAGAACUGAUUGCAAAAAAGUAUACCAAAAUAUAUUGAAGUGGGGUGUUGUAUUAAAAUUCUUGUCAGAAAAGAUUGCAAAACAAGCUCUCAUAAACCAAAGGAUAAAUACUUAUUGAAUUUCCUUUAUCCAUGGAUUCCAUACAUAAUGUCUUGCACUUUGAAUAUCCAUCUUGCAUGUAGCCAUGCCACAACCAGCCAAUAUCCCAUGUGAGCCGAGUCAACAUUAAUUUUAUUUUUGUUGUACUUCGUAUAAUCCUGCGGGUAUCAAUGGAAGGAAGAUAGAGGGGAAGCACUGGCUCAUUCUGAUGACGUGAGGUGAGCGCAACAAGCGCUAGCAUUUGUGUCGAGAAGUUCGCUGGUUAUGACUAAUAGUUGCGUACUAUAUGAAAAUGGUUAUAUGACAUGACAUCAAAGAGAUUUGUUUGGAUUCUUUCUGAAUUUACAGGGUUGCAUUAAACUAAAUGGAAAAAUGUUAUUGUUCUCGGCUGCUCAGUUACCGUCACUAACUAAUUUUGGAAUGUGUAAUCUACAUUUCUUUCCAGAUUCUUCUUCCUCGAUGAUUUUACAGGCUUUGAGAUUACAUAUCUUCUUGAGGUUAGUGUUCAUUGAACCACCAACAAGCUAAUGUGAGAUUCAGAAAAUUUCUAGGGCAUGUUCAGUUUUGAGAAAUAUAUCGUACACCAGAAAUAUGAGUAACAAAAGAAGGAUAGUGGAACCUUAUGUUUUUUGUCUUAUACUCCCUCUUUUUUACUAUAUCUUUACUUCUUAUAAAGAUCUAAGUUGGUGGUCGUCCGUUCACUCCAUUGAGGCUAUUAUCUAUAUUGUUAUGAAUUAAAUGUAAUUGAACCCAUUCCAUAUGGUACAUGUAUGUAUCAAUGUAAUUGAACCCAUUCAAUGUUCUUUUGACUACAAUUGACUGGAUUGAUGUAAUAUAUUGAAAUAAAUAUUAUUCAGCGCAAAAUUUAGGAAUAUAAGGAUAAAAGCGCAUUUAAACAACUUAUGAAUUAAUUCCUUAGCAAAGCAUGUGCAUAUAGCUAGUCUUUGCACAACCCACAAUGUGCCGAACCAUGGAAGCACAAAAUUUAAAAGACUAAUGAAAAAUGUGACAUAUUACAAAGUUACAACCACCUACCCUCUUUCUAUGCAUUUAAGUAAGGGUUGAUAUGAAUAUAUAUAGUAAUAACUCAACUCCUAGUUUCUUCAAUGGAACAUACUUUGAAAGGGAUUCUACCGUGGCCAAGGACAUAUAUGGUGAAACUUAUGGAGCAUAUGAAACGGAAUAAGGGUAAUUUAUGAAAUACCAGAACAACUUAGCUAAAAAUGGUGGAACAAUUUUCUAUUGUAUACAUAACUUACCUCUUAUAGCAUCAUAAGGAGUAGUACCUGACGUAUUAUUCCACUUCAUUUUAAUCAAUUAUUAUUCUUUACAUAAAUGAAUAUAAGUAUCGAGUAAGAUGAAUAGAAACUUCUUCAUGAGUACAUUAGUAUUUGAUAACACCAGGUUUUUUAUACCAAUUUAUUUUCAAAUGAAGUAAUAUUUGCUUUGAAAUACUAUUAUCUUGUGUCCGACAUCUGUUUUGGUGGUGUCUGCUUACAAAGUCCUCUUCAUCUAGACUCAUGUGGCCUUGUCAUUUUUGUAUCAUUACUUUUCUAAAGUUCAUUCAGAUUCUGUACUGAGACUGAAUGCAAUACACAGAGUUUACAAUAUACUAAGUCAAAAUUUUGAAUCUGCAGUUGCCAGAACCUUUCAGUUUUAUCUUCACGUGGUUUGCUGCCCUGCCUCUGAUAUUUUGGGUAGCACAAGCAAUUACUAAUGCCAUAGUGAAAGACUUCCUAAUUUUGAAGGUACUUUCUUUUUCGUGUCUGUCAUGUGUUAAGGAUUGUUACCUAGAGUGCAGACUGAUGAAUCUUCUGAUAUUCAGGGACCAUGUCCAAAUUGUGGCAAUGAAAAUCUUUCAUUCUUUGGGACUAUUCUGUCAGUGCCUAGUGGUGGUGCCAAAAAUAGUGUGAAAUGCGCAAAGUAUGCAUCGGAUUAUUGUUAAAACUUGAUGUUAGUUCCAUAUGCUUUUAAGCCUAUAUUCUUAGUGUGUCUGAUGUUUCUCUUUAUUAGUUGUGGUACUGCAUUGGUAUACGACUCUGGAUCCCGGUUGAUUACAUUGCCAGAGGCAUGACUGAAGGCGACUCGGGUGAAUCACUUAUCACCUAUUGUACAGGUUCGGAAGCUGACAUAUAAUAGUUACCUGAUCAUUUUAAAAGCAAUGUUAUUACAAAGCCCUGUUUAACUUAUUUGUAGAUCUGCUACACUAGGGCAAGUGCAUUCUGGUCACGCACAAGGGUGACGGGGUGGCAAAACUAGCCCUGUUUUCCUUUCAUGCUCGACACGGCGCUUACCACAUAGUGGUGUUGUUCGGCUAGUUGCUCCGUACUGUGGAAUUUCAAUAAAACAAUCAUUAAAGAAAUGUGCUAUGGCGUGUACAUGAUAGUUAUGGAUACUUCUGCUGUAGGAAUAUGAAAAGUUGAGAAUCAUAAUGUACCUUCUAUAAUGUACCUUCUAUAAAUACUACUACCUCUGUUCUUAACUAUAAGACGUUCUAUCUUUACGUUAAAUGUCAAACUUCUAAGUUGACAAAAUUCAUAUAAAAACGCUCUAAUAUUUACAAUAUUAAAUAGAUAUACUAUUAAGACAUAUAUCAUGUAAGAUUUAAUAAAACUAAUUUGGAGAAGUUGUAGGCGCUGGUAAAUUUACCUAUAAAUUUGGUCAAACUUUAGAAGUUUUACUUAGAACAAAAUUAGAAUAUCUUAGAUGUUGCUAGAUUUUUUUUAUAAUUUUGAUCAAACUUUAAGAAGUUUUUACUUAGUACAAAAUUGGAACAUCAUAUAUUCAGGAAUGGAGGGAAUAGUAAGACAGCAGAUACGACCAUGGGAGUUGCUUUCGUCCUGUUAAUAAAAAUGUAGGGUCAUCUGUUACUGUUUGGAACUCGUGAGUAUGAACAUGCUAUCCACAUUCGUUGUUAAUUUUCAGAAUAUAUCUAAUUAAGGCGAUUGAAUUUAUUGUCUUGAGUCAUCCGUUAGAUUUCGGAGUAUCAAUUUCUCCCUGGAUGAUUUGAACAUUUGUAACAUAAAAAGAUGUUGUCUUCACAUUCGCUUUCUCAGGCGCCAGUUGUGUCUUAUCGGGAGUGGUGAAAGGCCUGCAUUCGUUGGACCAAUCUUUUUAAAGAGAAAUUUAUAUUUACCUUGGUAUAUACUCCCUCCAUUCCAUAAUACAAUGCACGCACACAUUUUGAGAUUUUGCAUUGACCAUCAAUUAGACCAACAAAAUGUGAAUUAUGCAUUAUAAAAAUAAUAGCAUUGGAAACAUCUUUCAGAUAUGAAUCCGGUGGUAUAAGUUUUAUAACUUAUAAUUCAUAUUUUGUUGGUGUAAUUGAUGGUCAAAGUUAGACCUCGAAAAGUGUGGGCACAUUAUAUUUUGGAACGGAGGGAAUAGCCCAUUAGAUCUCAAGUUCGAUGGCCUAUGUUUGUCGUUUGGGCUUCGUUUACUUUGGUCUCCACGAGCGAGGUGACAAUCAUGGUUGGAAAACAAAAACUCGUAACUCUUACUCCUUUACUAAAACGACGACAAGAAUUUAUAAUCGGAGGGAGCAGUAGAGCUGUAUCACUCUCAAAAAAAAGUAGAGUUGUAUCAUGCAAGUUUUUGUAAUUCUGCAUUAAAUCGAGUAUGUAUUCAUAUAAAAUUUCUCAAUAAUGAAUGUGUAUUUCAAAAAUAAAAAAGUACAAUAUAUGCCCUUUAGUUGUAAUAUAUUAUCUAAAUAAAUGAUUAUUUUUAUUAUUCGUACAACCAAAUGAAUUCUUCAUGCUAAGUAACAAGCUUAACGAGCCAACUUAUUAAGUUAUCAAGCCGAGCCAAGCUAGGGUUUUGAAGUAUUUAACGGCACAAGAUGUGUUAGAUUUGAUAUCAAAUAACACAAGACAAUUAUCGACCCUCAAAAAAGGAAAAAGCGUUAACGGAGUUUAGCGGCUUUUUCGGUUUGAUUGAGUCGUAAGACAUCUGUAUUGUUAAGAGGGAGUCCACAAACAAAAGUAAUCACCACUAGAGAAUUUACUAUUACAAGUUCACCACUGACGCAAAAUUAAAAAGCGUCACAACCAAUCCCUAUCAUGACGUUCCUUAUAAAGAGUGUCCUUGAAAUUUACUGACACUUCGCUCAUAGAAAGCGCCAGAUAGGAGAAGCUAAUUACUCUAACGCCUAGCUAUGCAAACACCAUGAAAAAAGCCACUACUACAGAAUCCUUUAUUUGAGACGCAUCAGAAAACCUCACACUGAUCAAGUGUUAGAGAUGACCGAGGAAAACCUUUUGACUCUUCUUCCAGGAGGCGUGUCAGGAAUAGUCUUCUCCGAGCCUCAUGGGUCGUAUCGGGGUAUUUUUAAUGACUUUAUUGGACCGUAAAAAGCGUCAGACCUGGUUAUCUUUGACGCCUCCUUCAACAAGAACUAUCGGUGAUGGUUCUUAUGAGAGAAAAAUUAGAGCUGACGUCUUUUUUCUGUCAACGUCAGGUCAACCAUUAUAAUUCUAAUCUAAGUCGCAGGAAAACAUUGAGCCAAUCUGAAUUUUAUUCAUUGCAUACAAGAUGUGUUACAUUUCAUACAAGAUCGACCGCAUUACAUUGCAUACAAGAUCUGCUACAUUGCAUGAAAGAUUUGCUACAUUUCAUAUAAGAUCGACCACAUUAUAUUGCAUUGCACACAAGAUCUGCUACAUUUCAUACAAGGUACACACAUCAGAGCAUUGUCGACAAGAUCAAACAACACACUAAUAUGUCAGCAACAUCAUCCAUGAGAAGCACAACGCCACGCUGAAGAAGGCGAGGUGGUGCACGGUCCGGGACAACAAGAGGAGUUGUUCUUUUUUUUUAGGGGGUGGUGGGGGGUGAGGAAAGAGGAAGGUGCUUAUGGUGGUGGAGGUAAUUGAGGCAAUGAAGAAGAACAAAAAGGUGAUUUAAGGAAUGUAAUCACGAUCACCAGGAUUAAUCUAGUCCCAAAAUCUUGCGGCAGCUCCUAGCGGCGCUCCGUUUCUCAAAAAAUUCCGUGCUUAUGGAAUUACGGUUUUUUCACCUAUAUAACUCCAUGCAAAAGGAGGGAGCGACGCGGCGCUCGAGGCCCAAAUGGCACGGCCUCGCCAUGGGGCCCACUUGGGGGUCCUCCUGGCGCCUCUCGCUUCGUUCCAGUGCUUGGUCUCUUCCUUUUCGCAUAAAAAUAAAUAUAUCCCCUGUAUUUUCACUUUAUUUUAUUUCGAUGAUUUCUUGCAUGCAAAAGACCAUAAGGUGUUUCUAAUAAAAAUAGCGUCAGUUCCGACAAUAAUAAUAAUUGACUAAUGAGAUUCCGGACAAUUUUCAUAUCAAAAGUAUUUGGAAAAGUCGAUACAUUUUGGAUGUAUUAGGUCCCCCAAGCUUAGCAUGUUGCUUGUUCUCAAGCAACUCAAGCUAUAAAGAAAAACUUUGACAAGUACUUUGCUAUCAUUAUGUUUAAGGAUCAAUAAUACUCGAGUGUGGCACUUCAUCAUGGAUAAAUAGAGCAAUAUCUCAAUCAGGUUCUACAAGGUUUAAACUUGUUGACUUCUUCAAUUUUUAAAGAGUACAUGAGGUGUGUUUUCAAGCGGGUCUGAAUUACAAAGUUAAUUUAUUUUAAAAAGAGGUAAUUGCACCACUGGCCCAACUACUUGAGAGGUGAGAGCAUUUUAGUCAAAUAAGUUGCAAAGUGAGAAAAACUACUCCUAAAAGUUGAGAUUCGGUAGCAUUUUAGUCCAAUUAGUCCGAAAGGAUACAAAGCAGCAACACAGAGCCCUUGGAAUUUUCACAAAAAAGCCCCUCAGACUGCAACAAUUUGUACAAUUAAUCACCUCUUGACAAUCCCCAACAAAAAUCGAAGGCGGACAUGGUGGCAAAGGUGGCAGAGCGCGUCCAGCGGGUCGGAUCAGGCGUGGUGGUCGGAGACGGCAACGAGGAGCUCGCGGCUGAACACAACAUUUUAAAUGAGUGCAAGGGGUUUUCAGCAAAAAACACAAACUGUUGGACCAACUAAACUGGACACGUGUUAACACCUGAUUGGUUUGGACCUCUAAGCAAUCCGAAUCUCAAAUUUUAGGAUUAGUUUUGCUCACUUUGUAACUUGUCGGACUAAAAUGCUCCCAUCUCUAAGUCGUUGGGCUACUUGUGCAAUUACCUGUUUUAAAAACUAUCUUCAGUUUCUUUUCAGGAGCCAUCCAGCUUUAUUUCUCCGGUGACCCUGUCGAGUUGGCAAACUGGUGCAGCCAUUGGACAAACAAUAUGUGUGUGAUUCAGUUUUUUGUUUCAUGCUGAUUAUUCAGUUUUUUGUUUGAAUUUUUCAGUUGGGUGUUUAGACGAUAAAGACUUUGCACAAGGUGCUUAAAUGACAGAAGGAAAAGGUGUGAUGUCACCGUUCAAAACUUGAAGACAACAUAUCAUGUGAUUUUCAAGUGACCAUAUCUUAACCUUGUACUGCUGUGUGCUUAGGCUUACAGUGUUCUCUAGGAUUUUACUGCUUACAUGGCAGGAGGAAAAGGUGUAGUCCUUAGGCUUAGUGUUCUCUAUGAUUUUACUGUUGUGUGCAUUCCUACAGGUUACCUAACAAGGAGUUGCAAUUACCUGUUCACAAUUUUUUUUUGAGAGGAGUACUUGUUGAUAACUAGAUCCAAACUUUUACAAAAAAUUUACGGGGAAAAUUUGUACAGAUUUCAACCAAUCAAAUUUCACCACAUGUUUGAACAAAUUUUUAAUAUUCUUCAUCCGUGAUAGAUAGGUUGUCGCAAGUGAUGGGCGCAGGUGCGCAGCAACGCAUAUAUUCUAGGAUUAAAACGUUCUUCUUAGGCUCAACAAGCAUAUGAUAUAUUCCCUCCGCCUCAUAUUAAGUGACUCAAAUUAGUCCAAAUAUGAAUGUAUCUGUUCUAAAAGAGUCAUUCACUGUUACGCACGGCAAGAACAGAAAGAUUCACUACAAUUGUCGUUACUAGCCGCCACCGCUAAGUCAAUCUCAGUUACAAUUUGAGUUCCCGCAGCAGACUAAUAGAUAAUCUAUUAAAAAAAUACUUGUAAAAGAAAAGGACAAAGGCUGGAAGAUCUGGUACUCCGUAGUACACAGUACCUUGCAAGUUGAGGCAAUUUCUGAUUUCGCGGAGUAGAACAGCGGCUAGGAGGCUGCACGGGACCGGCGAGUUCUGCUGGCAGCAGCUUGGUAUGCUAGUGUUCGAACCGGAUCCCAUGAAAUCUUUUCUACUUAUCUCUACUUAUAGAAUUUCCAUUUUGUGGUCAUAAAUUCAUCUCUCAUGCAUUUUCUCAUUUAGCAUUUGCAACUGACCUGUCCGAAUCAUGGUGACCUCACGUUUUUCUAUCACUCAAACUCCAAUCCCUUUCAAUACCUUCUUCCCUCUGCUGGCCUCGUCCCCCAAUCAACCCGCAGCUACCGUCUUUAUUUUCCAAUUCCCAAUUCUCCAUCAACCGGACCAUUAAUGCAGAUAAAUAAUAGUGAAAAAAUCGAAUAACCGGACCAUUAAUGCAGAAUAAAUAAUAGUGGAAAAAUCGAACAACCCAGAGUGUUAUGGUUCUGUCACAAUCUAAGGGUGCGUUUGGUUGUCCUUUACUUUUACAGAAAAUUGCUUUUUAUUGCUUUCGUUUUAGGGUCCGUUUGGUUUUGCUUUGCUUUGGACAAAAGCAGCUUUGCUUUUUUUGCUCUCAAAAGGCAGCUUUUCUGAAAAAGCAAAAAGCUCGUUUGGUUGUUCCGGUUUGCUUCUUCCUUCUUCUGCAUCCUCUGUCCCAGUCCUUCUUCAACCUCAGGCACAUGUGAGCCUUCAUGAGUCAUACGACUCCUCCCUCUUCCCCUGAUUCCUCGUCGCCUCUCCCUUCGGCGACCGAAGUGCCCCCAUGGCCGAUGGUUCUAGCCUUUGCCGGCCCUCCAUCGGAUCUCGGCCACGCCCCUUACCGGAUCCCGUUGCCUCCGUGCGAGUCGGUCGUGCCGCCUCCGCACGAGGUCGCCCUCCCGCCUCUGCGUGCGCCCCCCGCGUUGCUCCGCCACCUCGCGCGACCCCAUUGCGCUGGUGCCGCCUGCUGGUUGUCUCCGACCUCCACCACGCCAGGUUCUGCGGCUGUCGUUGCGUUGACUUCGAGUGGGGACGAACCCGUAUGCCUGCCAUGGAGACGCCGUGAAGGAAGGGGCUGGUAGGGGUGGCGCCAGAGUCCGUGGCUGGGAGGGGUGGCGCCCAUCCAUGAGCCAAGGCGGGCGGCGGCCACCAGAAGAGUUAGAUGGGAGGAAGUUGCGGGCGCGGCCGCCAUAGGAGAUAGAUGGGACGGGGAGGCGGCGGAUGGUAGGCGGCGGCGGGCCUUCGAUGGAGCCGAUGGGAGGGAGGGGAGGAGGACGAGAUCGAUUGGGGGAUGCCGAUCAUGGAGGAGGGAGAGACGGGCGGCGCGAUGUGAAAGGGAGAGAGCGACGAGCGCUGGGGGAAAAUAGAACGAAUCGGUAUGACUUAUGGGUGGCAGUGGGUAAUAAACCUGAAAGUUGCAAAGCAAAAGCAGAUGAAAGUAACUCAGGAGGUACUUUGUGAAAUGAACUAGAAAAAUCAACUUGCUUUGCUUUAUUAUGAAACAAAGCCCUUUGGUUAGCUUAUUUGCCUUUUAGAAGCAAAAACAGAAAAGCAAGCUAACCAAACGCACCCUUAGAAAUGCUUAUUUCGCUCAGGGGGAAUCACGAAGCUUCUUAGGUACCUGUUGCUUUGCUUUUACUUGCUAACCAAACGCACCCUUAGAAAAGUAACGCGGAGGCGGUGACUCCGGGGCUAUCUAGCCCCAUCUUCCCAGCCACAUGUUUCACUUUAGGCCCACCAAAUUAAUUAAUUUUGUCCUAUACUACAGAGCGAUUAGCAGGGAACUAAUACUUGUGGCACAGAGAGAUUAGCAGGGAAGUAGUACUUGUGGUAGGCACGUAUUUUUUUUAUUGACAACUCUUUAUUUUUCUCUGGUUCUCUCUCAUUCUAUGCAUCUCUGUCCCAUUUUCAAGUACAUUGUGGUACAUAAUAUGUUUUGAAGUACAUAUUUCGUACAUUAUGGUAAAUAAACUGUACCUUAUCAGUUUUCAAAUAUCUCGUAUACAUGAACUUAGGAGAGGAGUACAUCGUAUGGUACAUCACAUGUACAUUAUCACUUUUUAAGUACCUCGUUAAUAUGGAUUUAUGAGACGACUACAUCGUAUGGCACAUCACAUUUUUUUCAGGAAAAAACCACAGUACGUGACAUAUACUUGACAAGUACAUCAACGCAUAUCACAGAUACAUCGAGAUACAUGACAAGUACAUCAAGACACAUCAAGAUACAUGACAAGUACAUCAAGGCACAUGCAAGUACAUCAAGGCACAUCACAAAUACUCCUUCCGUUCCUAAAUUCUUGUCGCUGUUUUAGUUCAAAUUUGUACUAAAACAACGACAAGAAUUUAGUAACGGAGGUAGUACAUGACAAGUAUAUCAAGGCACAUGCAAGUACAUCAAGACACAUCACAAAUACAUUGAGACACAUGACAAGUACAUCAAGACACAUCAGAGACACAUCAAGGUACAUAACAAGAACAUCAAGACACAUGCAAGUACAUCAAGACACAUCACAAAUACGUCGAGUCACAUGACAAGUACGUGGGGUACAUCUUCGUACGUUAGCAUUAAAAUGCACAUUAAACUACGUCAAACAAAUGAAAUUAUACAGUUGACUACCAGGUACCUCUCAAUCCUCAAUCACAGUACCAAGUGUUAAGAAAAACAAAAAUGAACUCAUCCAUUCACAGUACCAAGUACCUAAGCCGGCACCUGGAUCCGCCGCACGGGAGGAGAAGAGGAGGAGCCUGGUGCGGACGGCUCAGUGGAGGGAGCUGCCACGAGGGAGGAGUGGGAGCCCAGCACGGCGGCCAUGGUGGAAGAGGAGGCGGGAGGGCGGCUCGAUCUGUCGCGCUGGAGGAGGGGCCCGGCGGCCGCAACGGCCUGCAGGGGCGGCGGCGGCGACUUCAGCCCGCGGCGGCGGCCUCCGAGGCAUGCAAGGGCGGGGCGGCGGCGACGGCCGAGACCCAGGCCCGCAGGGGAGGCGGCAGAGGAGGAGCGGCCCUCCAUGGCGCAGGCAGAGUGCACCGCCUCACCUGCAGGCCGCGCGGCGGCGGAGGGGCGUCGCUGGUCCGCCGGACCGCGCACGAGCUGAAGAAAGUCCAGAGCCGCUCGGACUUCGCCGACGAGAUCCACAAGCUCAAGACCCGCCUCAAGGACGCGCACCAGCGGGUCAUCAGUAUCCCCAUUGCCACCCUCCCUACCACGAAUUCGCCUGAGAGAUCGACACAGAUAUAGAAAGAGAGAGAGACGCGAGAGCGAGGGGAGAAUAAUGUGAGAAGACAAGAUGGAAGGUCUGCUAAUUAGUACUGUAUCUAUCAGAGGAUUAACAAACUUUGGGGGACACGUGUGUGGCCACAACGGUGGGGCUAGAUGGCGGGGAGUCACCAAGGACUUUGGCUUAGAAAAGUUGCUUUGCUUAUUUCGCCGCAGGGAAAUCACGAAGCUCGUUAGGUACCUGUUGCUUUGCUUUUACUUGCCUCAUCUUCCCCCCAUCGUCUUCCCCCAUCAUGCCUCGGCUUCCUCCACCAAGUCUGCCGGGGAACCAGGGUCUCCCCCUUUGUCGCCUACAAAUCCGGCUACCGCGACUCCUCGUCAGCCUCUGCCUGCUGUGUCGGCGGCGCUGCCCUCUCUCCUGCUAGUGACGCGGCCUCUGGAGGCGCCUCCCUCGCGAGCUCGCUCGGACUUGGGCUGCAAGGGAGCACGGGGCACAAGGGCGGGCCCGACAACGAAGAGCACGGAGAUGCCGAUGGCGGGGGGCUGGCGGCAGGGAGCAGAGGUCGAGAUGAAGCUCACACCGAAACGGGCGGGGUCCGGUGGCGGGCGCGGGAAGAAAAUUGGCCCCGGCGGCGGCGGGAAAUCGCGGAGCGAAGCGCCAUCGUUCGCGUCAUCUUCGUAGGAGGAGGCGAGGUCGGCGGCGACCGAGCCCGAGGUCGAUACUGCUCCUGCCGGUGGCAGAGAUCUCGCGGCGGGAGCUAGAGGCCGGGCUGCGGCGGCUCGGGCACGGCGGCCGGAGUCCAAGGAGGAGAGGGGCGGUGCCGAAUUCUAGAAUGGGGUAAGCAGAGCUUGUUUCUCGCCCUUCUGCUCUCUUCCUCGCGAAGAAUGCCUCGUCAGAACACUGCGCCAAGGACAAUGUUGAUAAAUUAGAUAAUUUCGAUCAAUAUUUAAUUCAGAAAGACAGUGUAAAACAUGUAGCACAUUAUAUCAUGCAAACUAGACAAAUUAAAUAGCAACGCACAGCAAUAAAACUCAUCUAAUUUCACGGCAUGAAUAAUAGAACUACUAAUCAAAAUCAGCAAGAAAUAGCAGAUUACGUACGGUGCUGUGCUCUUUUCUUGUGUUUGUUUGUUGAGGUCGGUGACGAGUCCGGUGGCGUCGAUGUUCACGCCGGCAGCAGCUGCAGCCUUGACUACCUCCUGAGCAGCGGCCAGUGCCUGCGCUUGCGCCUGUGCAGCAGCAGUUGCCUGGUCUUGGAGUUGGGCAGCCUGCUGCUGUGCUUGGAGUUGUGCAGCCUGCUGCUGCUGAGUUAAAGCGGCAGCCUGAGCCGCGGGAUCUCCGAGGUCGUCGGCCAUUGGUGAUGAAGAUGCCGACGAAACAGAGACGUGAAGAAGCGAGCAGUCGCGUGAGAACGCUCCCCAAAAACCUUAUCAACCGUCUCCCAGGCAGGAUCUCGAAGGUCGGGGUUCCGGAGGCCUGCUCUCCCGGCGAUCUGUGCACGCAGCCGACGGGAUGGAGCAGCAGUUGGCAGCGAACAACGAGAUUGGAUCGUGGGCGUGACGGCUAGGGUUGUGGCGUCGUUUUUCCGGAGUCCGGGGUAGUCUUAUUAUAUAGGCACGCAGGCGGACUUCGGUUCGGUUUAGGAAACCAAAACCGACUCCGCUAUUAUCGGGAUUUGUUACGCGUCCGCAACGGAUUCCGACUGCCAGAAAGAUAAGCACGACCCGGCACGGCUCGAACUCGAACUCGAUCCACGAAACGCGGCGCGCGCGCGCGAGUCGUGACGAGGCGAGGCGAGGCGAGGCGAGCGGAGGAGAAGGAGGAGGAGCGCGCGUAGGAAUUUCCCUUGCUCACUUGCUCAAGAGGUGAGAACCAACAUACCUUAUAUAUUGGUCCAACUCCCCUAAACUAGCAAUGUGGGACUAUUCCCACUUCCUCAUCCCACUACAUGAAUGGGCUUUUGAGAUUUUCCAGGAAUUAAUUUCAGAUUGGGCCUUGAGCCUAACCCAAAAUUCCAACAAUCCCCCACAAUAUCUCAUAAGCACAUAUAAAAUUGCCGUUGAUCUAAAACUCUGUUUUCGAUAUACCAGCGUUUCAGUGGAGACCGGUUAAGGUUGAACAUCCACCUAAACAAAUUGCUUCACUCACGCACAACUGAACAAUGGACAAACCUUGAAUUGUCAGUUUUCUGUGUUAGAGCUUCACUAAAUUGUUGUCCGGUACUGGGCUGCCGAAUGCUACCCCGCGGUGUGGAGCAUAUAAGUCAUUCUUCAGACCUUUUCAUGAGCUUACUAGAGACCAUCCAAAUCUCAUAGACUGCGACCAACAGUCAGGCUCAUAUAGGUGUGUUAUUUAGAGACUACUCUGUAGGACAGUAUCUCCCUUGCAAAUUAAUGCAACGCGUUAGAACACAUUAAUUUAAAAAACCUACCAUACAGUACACGAGAGUAAUGCAUCGUCAACGAAGUGGGAUAAAGAAUGUACACUCUCCUCAGUUAUCCAAUGACUUGUUUUCCAGGUCCUAAUUCACGGGAUCUCCGAUCACAUAGGUUGGUUUACCGCCAUGGUAACUCACGUGGGUCGCAAUCCCAUCUCCCUUGAUGCAGAUUCUAUCACAUUCCUUGAUAGACCCUUUGUAAAGGGAUCUGCUAGAUUUUUAGCCGUUGGGAUAUAUCCCAAUGCUAUUAUUCCGGAAUUUCUCAUUGCUCUGACAGAUUUCAGACGUCUCCUGACGUGUCUUGAUGACUUCAUGUUAUCUUUAGAACUGUUCACUUUGACUAUCACAGUUCAUAAGAAUCGCCGGUAUUGGUUUUUCAACAAUCGGCAAGUCCAUCAAGAGCUCACGAAGCCAGUCGGCCUCAACUGUGGAUGUAUCUAAUGCUGAAAGUUCUGCUUCCAUAGUUGAUCUGGUUAAGAUCGUUUGCUUGCAAGACUUCCAUGAAACAGCGCCCCCUCCGAGUGUGAACACAUAUCCACUCGUGGCCUUUAGCUCGUCAACAUCAGAUAUCCAGUUUGAAUCACUAUAACCCUCAAGUACCUUGGGGUAUCCAGUAUAGUGUAUACCAUAGCCCAUUGUGCCCUUUAGAUAGCGCAUGACCCUCUCGAGUGCACUCCAAUGAUCAUCUCCCGGAUUCUUAUUGAACCGACUCAGUUUGCUCACAGCAAAAGAGAUGUCAGGUCUAGUUGCGCUAGCCAAAUACAUGAGUGAACCAAUAAUCUGAGAAUAUCUCAAUUGGUCUCUUCCAAUUCUGUGAUUCUUUCGAAGCAGAACGCUUCGAUCAUAAGGAGUUGGAGAAGGUUUACAAUCAGCAUAGCCGAAACGACUCAAGAUCUUCUCCACAUAGUGAGAUUGCAACAAAGUGAUCUCAUCAUUGUCGCCUCUCACGAGCUUCAUGUUCAGAAUAACAUCAGCUACACCAAGGUCUUUCAUGUCAAAGCACUUCGACAAGAAAGUUUUAACCUCUUCAAUCAUUUUGAGGUUAGUCCCAAAUAUUAGUAUGUCAUCGACAUACAAACAAAGUAUAACUCCCUCACCCCCACCAUGGCGGUAGUAUACACAUUUGUCAACUUCUUUUACAACAAAGCCGGCAGAUGUUAAAGUUUUGUCAAACUUCUCAUGCCAUUGCUUAGGAGCUUGUUUCAGGCCAUACAGAGACUUUAAUAACUUACACACUUUGCCUUCAUGACCCUUUAUUACAAAUCCAUCUGGCUGGUUCAUGUAAAUUUCCUCGUCCAACUCUCCGUUAAGGAAAGCUGUCUUAACGUCCAUUUGAUGGACAAUCAGACCAUAUGAGGCAGCCAGUGAUAGUAAUACUCUGAUUGUGGUCAAUCGAGCUACAGGUGAGUAAGUAUCAAACAAAUCUUCACCUUCUUUCUGGGUAAAACCCUUGGCCACAAGUCGCGCCUUGUACUUCUCAAUAGUACCAUCAGGCCUAAGCUUUUUCUUGAAUAUCCACUUGCAUCCUACAGGUUUGCACCCGUACGGACGGUCAACGACCUCCCACGUACCAUUAGCCAUGAUAGAAUCCAUGUCACUACGAAUGGCUUCCUUCCAAUAGUCUGCAUCCGGAGAUGCAAAGGCCUCAUUAAUGGUUUUAGGGGUGUCAUCCACAAGGUACACAAUGAAAUCAUCACCAAAGGAUUUAAUAGUCCUUUGUCGCUUGCCCCUAAUAGGGGCUUCAUUGUCAUCCUCCUCAGGAAUCUCAUCACGUGUUUGUUCAAGAUUUUCCACUGGGAUAGUGGGUUCAGGAGCUACACCAUGAUCCUGAUGUUCCUCUGAACUGACGAGUUCAGCAGGUACGUCAUGAUCCUCUCUAGAUGUGCUAUGCAUAUCUCUCAUGGGAAAUAUAUCCUCAAAAAAUGUAGCAUCCCUGGACUCCAUAAUUGUACCGACGCUCAUGUCAGGUACUCCAGAAUUUACAACCAAGAAUCUAUAGCCAACACUUCGAAGUGCGUAGCCAAGAAAAACACAAUCAACGGUUUUUGGUCCAAGCUUACGUUUCUUGGUGAUUGGCACAUUGACUUUCGCCAAACAGCACCAAGUUCGUAAGUAAGAAAGUGUGAGUCUCUUCUUUUCCCAUAGCUCAUAUGGGGUGACUUCUUUAUCUUUUGUGGGAACACGAUUUAGGACAUGACACGAAGUCAAAAGCGCCUCCCCCCACCAUGCCUUGGAUAAACCAGCAGUGUCUAACAUGGCGUUGACCAAGUCAGUCAGCGUGCGGUUUUUUCUCUCAGCAACCCCGUUUGACUGGGGCGAAUAGGGAGGCGUCCUCUCAUGGACUAUGCCAUGUUCCUCACAAAAUGAAUUAAACUCACUGGAGAAAUAUUCUCCACCGCGGUCAGACCGCAAACGUUUAAUUUUCUUCUCAAGUUGAUUCUCGACUUCAGCUUUAUAGAUCUUAAAAUAAUGCAAUGCUUCAUCCUUUGAUUUUAAUAAAUACACAUAACAGAAUCUAGUCGCAUCAUCAACGAAAGACAUGAAGUAACGUUUUCCACCUUUGGUUAAUACACCGUUCAUCUCACAAAGAUCAGAAUGUAUGAGCUCUAACGGUGCUAAGUUCCUCUCCUCAGCAGCCUUGUGAGGCUUGCGAGGCUGCUUCGCUUGCACACAAGCUUGGCACUUGGAACUUUUAGCCACAGUGAUUUUAGGGAUUAAACUCAGAUUUGCUAAUCGCGUCAUGCAACCAAAGUUAAUGUGACAAAGUCGUGAAUGCCAAACAUUAGACUCAUUGUUAAUAGAAUUGACGCUGUUCACGACCUUAUUACAAAAAUCCAAAAGGGAUAAGCGGAACAAACCUCCGCACUCAUAACCUUUACCAAUAAAUUGUCCAUACUUAGACACGAUAACUUUAUUGGACUCAAACACUAACUUAAAUCCGUCCUUGCAAAGGAGGGAUCCACCAACAAGAUUCUUCUGAAUGGAGGGCACAUGCUGCACGUUCCUCAGCUGCACGAUCUUUCCCGAAGUAAACUUCAGAUCCACCGUGCCAACACCAUGAACAGAAGCAUGGGCGUCGUUCCCCAUCAUCACUGAGGAGCUGAUGGCCUGAUAUGAAGAAAACAAGGAAAUAUCAGCACACACAUGAAUAGUUGCGCAUGUAUCGACCCACCAAUCGGUGGACUGACACACAGAAAGUACAGUAAAUAAAUUAACAUACCUGCCUGCAUCUUCAUUGUUGCCAAUGGUCAAAUUUGCAAACUUUUGCCGAAUCUGUCCUCCUUUGCGCUCCUUGCAGUUACUCGCCCAAUGGCCAAGUCCUCCGCACACAAAGCAAGGAUCCUUGUCCUUGUUGCCUCCUUUCUUCUUCUUCUUGAAAGUGGUAGUGUUCUUUGGACCAGCAUUAUUGAAUGCCUUUCCCUUUCCCUUGUUGUUACUGUUGUUGUGGUUGUUCCUCUGAACCAUGUUGGCAGUGGACGUACCCUCUUGUGUGUUGCCUUUGGGGCCAGCAUCUUUUGCUCUCGCCUUCUCCUCAACAUCAAGAGUCCCAAUCAGGUUCUCCACAGAGAUUUCUUAUCUCUUGUGUUUUAGUGAAGUAGCAAAGUUCCUCCACGAGGGAGGAAGCUUGGCGAUGAUGCCCCCGGCGACAAACUUGUCGGGUAGUGGACACUUGAAUUGCUCAAGUUCCUUAGCCAUAGUCAGUAACUCAUGAGCUUGUUCCACUACAGAUCGGUUUGCAACCAUCUUAUAGUCAAAGAACUGCUCCAUGACGUAUAACUCACUGCCAGCGUCAGAUGCGCCAAACUUAGCAUCGAGCGCAUCCCACAACUCUUUGGCAUCCUGAUAGUGCAGAUAAGCAUCAACGAGCUUAUCUCCCAGCACACUACAGAUCGCACCAACGACUACAACACAAGCCUCAACAUACAACUGCUGAGAAGCAAUUGUUUGAGUCUUCCCGUGUUGUACCGCCCACCAUGCGCCCAUAGCCACGAGCCACAUAUGACAUUUAUACUGCCACCUCUUAAAGUGCAGUCUAGUAAACACAGGUGGUUUCAAUGCGACAGCAAAUUGAGACAUCGAAAAUUGCCUACACGAAUAAGGUUUUUGGAUUGUUGAUAAAUUAGGUAAUUUCGAUGAAUAUUUAAUCCAGAAAGACAGUGUGUAAAACAUGUAGCACAUUAUAUCAUGCAAACUAGACAAAUUAAAUAGCAACGCACAGCAAUAAAACUCAUCUAAUUUCACGGCAUGAAUAAUAGAACUACUAAUCAAAAUCAGCAAGAAAUAGCAGAUUACGUACGGUGCUGUGCUCUUUUCUUGUGUUUGUUUGUUGAGGUCGGUGACGAGUCCGGUGGCGUCGAUGUUCACGCCGGAAGCAGCUGCAGCCCUGACUACCUCCUGAGCAGCGGCCAGUGCCUGCGCUUGCGCCUGUGCAGCAGCAGUUGCCUGGGCUUGGAGUUGGACAGCCUGCUGCUGCUGAGCUAAAGCGGCAGCCUGAGCCGCGGGAUCUCCGAGGUCGUCGGCCAUUGGUGAUGAAGAUGCUGACGAAACAGAGACGUGAAGAAGCGAGCAGUCGCGUGAGAACGCUCCCCAAAAACCUUAUCGACCGUCUCCCAGGCAGGAUCUCGAAGGUCGGGGUUCCGGAGGCCUGCUCUCCCGGCGAUCUGUGCACGCAGCCGACGGGAUGGAGCAGCAGUUGGCAGCGAACAACGAGAUUGGAUCGUGGGCGUGACGGCUAGGGUUGUGACGUCGUUUUUCCGGAGUCCGGGGUAGUCUUAUUAUAUAGGCACGCAGGCGGACUUCGGUUCGGUUUAGGAAACCAAAACCGACUCCGCUAUUAUCGGGAUUUGUUACGCGUCCGCAACGGAUUCCGACUGCCAAAAAGAUAAGCACGACCCGAACUCGAACUCGAACUCGAUCCACGAAACGCGGCGCGCGCGAGUCGUGACGAGGCGAGGCGAGGCGAGGCGAGGCGAGCGGAGGAGAAGGAGGAGGAGCGCGCGUAGGAAUUUCCCUUGCUCACUUGCUCAAGAGGUGAGAACCAACAUACCUUAUAUAUUGGUCCAACUCCCCCUAAACUAGCAAUGUGGGACUAUUUCCUACUUCCUCAUCCCACUACAUGAAUGGGCUUUUGAGAUUUUUCAGAAAUUAAUUUCAGAUUGGGCCUUGGGCCUAACCCAAAAUUCGAACAGACAAUGCCUGUCCAAAGCCCUUGGACGACGCAGAGAUCGCCUCGGGAUGGCGUCGGACCGUGCGUUCGAUCUAAACCGGCGGGCCUGGCUUGCGACCAAGGAGUUGGCUUCGCUACUUCGGUUCCCUGGCGCCGAUGAGGACGCCGCUUUCGGGAGUGGAAAGCCGGUUAUACUUGGAUGGGUUAUGAACAUUUUAGAAAUUUAAUUUUUUUAAUUGGUUCACAACAGAGUUCUAAGUAGUUCACGACACGCGCUGGUAUAACCACCUUUCCUCGGUAGCAAUUUGUAUCAAAUGAAAUGAAACAAAUCUUUUUUAGAUUGAUGUUGUGUUCUUCCAAACGGACCAAAACGCCCAUAAAGAUUGAUCCGUUUGGGUCGCUCUAACGUGUUCCGUAGCGCACGUAUACCUUGCUAGUGAAAUAGUUUUGUUUUCACAGUGAAGGAGUGAAGCAUGGUCGACAUAUUGGGCGGUGGCCGCUGUGUGGUAGGGCGGGCCACGUGGUGGGGUUCAGCAGUUGGCCGCUAAAGACAGAGCUUACAACAUAGCCACCUGACAGACGUCGAAUAUUACCAAAUCUCUACCGAAUGCAUGUCCAUAUCCCGCCACUAGCCCCACAAACAUCCAUAUCCAAUUUCAUAAAGAAGGAUAUUCAAAAACAAAUCAACAUACAGGAUCCUUAGGCCGGACUGUCACAAACUGUGUACCACUUCGACCCCUAAUUCAGACCGGAAUCACCGGAUCCACUCACGCACGUGCCCAUAGGCCAUAGUAGAGAAAAAGUGCUACGGCAUUUGUUGUACGGAGUAGCUUUUUAGGUUUUUUCUAUCGUCAUUUAUGUCUGCGUUUAUUUUCUGUUAAUAUAAAAAAGAAUGCACUUUUUAGGCUCAGUUGGCAUUGCUAACUGUUGCGCUGAACUUAUUUUAUAAUAUGUUGUGGAAAAAUAUACAUGGAAGUAGGAAAAAGUUGAUCAGACAAACAUGAAAAUAUUGAAAAACAUGUGAAAAAACAGAAUUACGAGAAUCCACCGCAAUGGAAACGCAACUUAAACGAUCACAUGUCGUUCCACCUUAGGAAGAGCACCAGGCGAUCGCUUCCAGAUCAUGCAAAACACGUUCGAAAUGAUCAGAGAAGUGCGGGAAAAGCAGAUACCAAAUACAGAGGAAAUACAACCAGAGAAGUAAAACUGAGGAUAGAUAAUUUCGGUAACUGCGUAUCUGUGAUGCUUAUUUAAAGCUAAAAUAGGGAGGCCAUCCCUUGUUUAUGCUACAACCAACUUUUUGUCUUGUCUAAGGGGACUCGAACCUUGGAUUCAAGGACCCUCUUCACGUCUGGUCGGGGCCUUUUGACCAGCGACCCUCUUCAGUUAGACUUGGACUCAAUGACCCUUUUCGCGAAAGAUGGCAAACAAAAUGAUGCUGAAUGGAUCUAAAAAUAACACACAGUCAGAUAACGUAGCACAAGUCACUGCAAGGGCGGCAGAGUCAGAGCAAAAGCAUACCUCAGAGUUGUAGAACUUGAGCGGUCCUUUCGAUUUUGUAGAAUAAUCAUCCUCCUCAAUGUUGAAAACUGGAUGCUGGAAAUCAACAGGUGGUCCCUCCGUGGAGCAAAGCAUGAAACCGAUCACUCCACUGCAUUGGAAGCAUAUAUAAACUAAGCAGCCAACACAAGGGAAACCCGGCUCGGUCAUAUAGACAAAGGAUCAGUGGCUGAACAUACCUAGGGUAUGUCGGUACUGUUGUCCAAGCAUAGUUAACUGAGCCUUUAAAAACUUGUCGACAGUUGGUAACAAUAUCUUCAAUGAUGUGCAUAUGCAGCCAUAUGCUCUCCGCUUGAGUACAGACAACUCCACCUGGGCGCAAAGCUCUGGAAACAGACUGGAAGAAAGGCUUCUCGAAAAGCUCUUGAGCAGGACCUGUCAACACAGGUUAAUCGUCAACAAGAGCAGGAGGUUGAAUAUGCACACGAGUUACAACAAUCACCUAUUGGAUCAGAGGAAUCAACAAUCACGGCAUCGUAGGUACCCUCCGGGGCAUUUUUCAAAAAGGCAACACCUGCAUGAACAAAUCAAGAGAGCAUUCUCUGUUAAAACAUUAAGAGAGAAAUAAACAAACACAAAUGUUUAUCAAAUAGUACUAUAUCUCAAAGAAAAAAUUGAUUUAAAAGAACUAAAACAGUAGGCUGAAGACAUGACGCAAUUUCUAUCUAGGGAUAAAAAAAUAGGAUAUGAGUCAAUCAAUUAUGCCACCACACACAAUAUGGUAAAGAUUGCUGGAACCAUUGACAUCAUAAGCAGAUGUUAUCAGCCAUACUCCAAAUGUACAACACCAGUUCCAGCUAUACCAAAAUAAGGGGAGCACAUUGUCCUAAAAGCCAUGAGUAUGUGUAAUACAAGUCAAAAGUUCAAGUAUAUAUUCAAAAUCACAAUAUAGAACAUACUAAUAAGUUAACUUGCUUAUGUAGUAAUAUAUCGAGUCAGGUACACAGGUGCAAAAUAGAAGACUAAAUCAUUGCAUGAAACCCAAGUAUUGAAAUUUACAAGGUAUGACAUGCUACUUACCAUCUCCAAUGUGCAAGGACACACGAGAAUCUUCAAAUCCAAGAGCCAGAUGAGGGAAAAAUUGUUUGGAGACCUACAUAUUUGAACAGAAAAAAUUGCAAAUGUAAGUAUAAAGACAAAACUAUGGAUCAGGUUCAAUGAAUUGUUCUAUUAUUUUAAGUUAACCGGUCCCGGAUUUUAGAUACCACAGCAGAAUAUCAUAAUAAAUUAUUACAGGAAAUAACUAUUUUUUCAAUACUGAAGAUGAAAUUGCAGGAGCAACCUGCUUCUCAUUCAAAAACAACAAUCAACAUUCAAGUAGCAUGUAUCAAACUAGUUGCAAGACUCCCAAUUCAACAAGAGGGCAUAUCAAAGGUUUUCAGUUAGUAAUGUUCUUAUACGAUUAAAAUUGAUAAAGACUAAUUUGAACUUCACAAUAUCUGAGGCAAACUACUUCCUAUCGGUGCUUAUGCAAACUAGAUGAAUUCAAAAGGCACAGAAGGUAAGGUCUUCGCCUUUAUCCUGCUUGCAGGGCCUAAUCCUUAAUGUGGUAAAGAGGCUCUAGACUUUGAACUGUUGAUUAUUUUAUUGCUUUGUUAGUAAUGGGGUACAUGGUGUCCAAUUAUGGGAGGGACUGACUUCACCAAUAUAAUAGAAUCUCUAUUUUCCUUCAAAGCUACCUCUACAUAACAAUGCAACUGUUUCCCUAAUAAGAUAAAUCUCUAUCCCUUAACUUCAUUUGGUUCCAACUUGGCCCUACCAUGUCAGAUUUUCUGACGCUAUGCACCCUCCGGAUGGGCCAGCACAUAACACAGAUAAGGGAGCAUGGACAUUUAGGGUACGUUUGGAUGGUGACCAAACUCUUACCUACCAAAAUUUUGGCAUUGACCAAGAUUUGGUCCUUGUUUGGAUGAAAGCCAACAUUUUGGCAAGCCAAUAUCCCACUACCAACUAGUUCAUUUUUCUUGCCAAAACUGGCCAACUAAUGGGCUACCAAAACCAUAUUUGGCAUGGCAAACAUGGAAUCAAAUCAAACAUACCCUUAAAGACCCCAUACCCAAGUUAGAGUAUUUGUUUAACUCUACAGCCAUGAUAUCAAUAGUCAAGGGCUCAAGGCAAAUAUGCAUGUGAAGGAAGGAAAGAAGCUUACAUCCACCACCAUCUUAUCAAUUUCACAUAUGUCAAUUUGUUCCACUGAGGAAUAUCGUGAAACCUCACGCAGAACACCACCAUCUCCACCUCCAAUAACUAAGACCUGUACAUCAUCAAAGAUUAGAGACCAACUCUGUUAGAUGCAUGCACCAUCUGACAAACAUGAAUGCACAAAGUGACCUUGUAGCAAACUUGGCAUGACAAUUGCGUUCGGACAAAUUUGCAUUAUAAGCUUCUCAGUUAUACAGGUUGAAACUAUUUUUGAGCUGAACAUGACUAAAAAUUCUCCAAGUAAAUGACAAGGUAAAAAUUUCUUACUGUUCAGGAAAUGAAGAGGGGGGCAUAUGCUAUAUACUAGCUACUUUUGAGUGUACUAAGCUAUUAUAAGCCGUCGGAUCUUAUAUGUGCGGUAUCUGUGAGAUAGAAUGGUGGACUGCGGGUUCAUUUUGAUACAACUUAAGGGUGUAAACGGGAAAUGACCACAUCUGAGACAGGGAAGAUGUAGUGCGGGUUUAUUCUAACAUAACUUCAGGGUGUAAAUGGAAAAUGAGCAAAUGCUUCAAUCUGAGCCACAAGUUGAAAGUCAGAUGGCUCAUACCCCACUUAGUAGAUUAGUACACUCAAGGUAGCUAGUGGAUAGCAUAUGCCCCCAAUGAAGAGAGGACGAUGCACUCAAACAAGAAAUACUCCAAACUAAGUAUGAAACCAAACUACUACAAUGUUUCUUCAUUUUGCUUUAGAUAAUGAAUGACAAGUGUAGCAUGGUAGUCUUUCUUGCAUGUACUCAGUUUCCAUAUCUAAUGACACUUAUUUUCCUAGCUUAUUUCAUUUGAUAACUACAGGAUGUAGAAAAACUAAUAAAGAAGAACUAUCCUAUUGCUAUCUUUAAUUUGUGCUUUAUUUCAGUCAGCAACAUUGUCAUCAGAUCCUUGCAGUCCUUAAGGUAGACAAAAAAAAUGCAGGCAAAGGUACACAUAAUCAGGUAAGCAAGCUUAUCCCGGCAAGGACAAAUUGCCAUUUAGUGUGAAUAAUUCAACAGAUGUGCUGAACCACAAACAUUUCUAAGAAAUUAUAUUCCAUCGAUAAACAACCCAACCUGUAAAUUUGGCUGCUGGGUGCAAGUUCAAAUUACAGCAUUUGCUUAAAUUGCUCAACAUAUGCGCUAAACCACAAACAAGCCAACCUGUAAAUUUGGGUGUUGGGUAAUAACUGAGCUAAUAAAAAAGUACAGAGAUAAUCCACGCAUCGCUUACCUUCUUGGGAUCUUUGAUAGAGCAAAGGGGGAGGUGAGUAAUCAUCUCCUGGUAAGCACACUCAUCCCUCUCAGUUACUUGAAUCACACCAUCCAGGACUAGUACCUUCCCGUAGGUGGAGGACUAGAAAGCCAAACAAACAAUAAUGUUAUCACCUUCCACUUUGAUCCAAGACGAAUGAAUGACGGUUGAACAUGGUUAGAAAAGAAAGGUACCUGAAAAACCAACACAUUUUGGUAGUCCGACUUCCCUUGGAACAGCACUUUUUCCACCUUCAGCGAGUGUGCCUCACCUACCAUUUGACAGGAAAUGAUUGAUAAAAACAAAGCAAAAGUUUGUUUUGUCAAAAAAGGAGAGCAAAAAAACAAAUAAUGACACAAAGCACUCAUGGAAAAAUAACUAAACACACAAAGGCAUUUCUAAAACAAAAAGGCUACAAGAGCAGCACAAGAAGUCGUGGAAACAACAGCUAACACAAUAACAUAACAGUACUACGACUAAAAUUAAAUUAGUCUCUUAAAUUGGUAAAGAAAGUUAGCUACGCUAGUGAUAAGUUCGGCCCGUGACCAAUGAUGCAACAAUUUGAUCCCGUGCGUUACUACUGAAAUACGAACGAAUUUAAGUCGAAACUUGCAGCCCGGGUCGAACGAAAUUAACAGAACAAGAGAGAAGCACAUAGGCACGGCACAUCAGAGAAAACAAGGUAAAAAAAAAAGAGGGGAUAAGCCUGAGAGCGCAACGCACCAGGCCACAUGGGGCUAAUCUCUGAGAACCAUCCGGGGAUGACGGCGGAGAUCCCCGCCUGCUCGCCGGCUCCGUCCGCCGUCGCAGCGCCCUCACCCUCCCGCGCCCUCUUCGCCGCCGCCUCAGCCUCCAUCCCGAAACCUGAAAGCACAACAGAGAUGCCACAAAAGGCAUCAGAAUCAAAGUUGUCGGCAACAAACAGCUCAUCAGGCUAAAGACGGGCGGUUGUGGAGAGGGGGAGGACAAGAUGAACGGAGCAAACCUAGAGCACGACGACGAGUAGGGGAGACGGCGAGCUUGGUUGCUGGCUGGCUGGCGGCGGCUAGGUGGAAGCGGAGGAACGCUGUCAGACGCGGCCUGGAGAUUAGGGCUUUUUCCUUCGCCUCGGGGUUUUUGGGCUUCGCGUCGUAUAAAUAACGAGAACGCAUCGCCGUGCGAUUGUUUCCGGGUGGGGAAGCGCACGAGAGUCACACCUACUCUCUCAAUGACAGGCGGGACGCUGUAUUUGGUCGGUCCUAACUGUCAGCGUGCCUGGGUGUGAGAUUGUGGUUACUUGGGGUGCUCGCGUCUGUAUUCCUUAUUCGGCGAUGGGAAUAGGUGGGGCUUGGGGCUUUGCCCCCGAUGCGUGGGGGCCGACGGCUCUGCUGCUUUUAGGGUGAACUUUAUUCGAUGCUUUGAUUGAUAGGACUCCUGUCAGAUUCUCAUCGCCGUAGAAGAAAUACGCUCGAGUAAACUCCCGGGCAACCGGAUUUUUGACUUAAAAACGUGCUUUCCCUUUACCGCGAAAUAAUCCAUCCUGUUGGAGAACGUCUUGCAAAUAUAUCAUGUUGCCCGCGUUGCACUUGCACGAUUGCUAGUUAAGUACAAAUCCUAAGGCCGAGGAGUUAUUCGCUCCCUCGCGCAGGCAGUUUUGUUCUGGGCGAAUUUUUGCGUGAUUUUGUUAACGAAUGUGUGGCACUGCUACGCGGUUGACCUUUGGUCGCUUGUGGUGGGCCGUCGUUGGUCGGUUUGGGCAUGGUCAGGGAAGGGGGCACGUACGGGAUGAGCGUGGAUUGUUUGGUGUUGUUUGAUGGAGGGGCUGGGCGGUUUGCCGAGCGCUUGUGUGUCGACGCGUGGGUCGUGCACUGUCUUUUGGAGUCUUCCGGAGCACAGUUUGGAGUAGGUAAGUCCCGUUCUCCCCCCAAAAUCAUGCUAAGAAUAGUUGGGAUUUUCAGGAAAAAAUGACGUUCCUUUGAUGAGAAAUAAAAAGAAAUAUCGAGAAUUCACGUGGCUGAAGCUGAAGCAGCUACUUUCGAAGUAACAGAAAGAAAAGCAACGACUGAAAUGGGGGAGUCAGAAUCAAAAAGAGUAUUCCUCGCUUCUUUCUCUCAUGCAAAACCGUGCAUGAGACUUUCAUCUCGCACGGUUCCUAAGUGAUAAAAGAAAGAAAAAUUCGUCUUCUUUCUUUUUUGAUUACCUUCCUCGCAUAUGUAUAAGACCAAAUCCACUAUUUACAGGUUCGUUGAAUAAGUUUGUGUUGUGUAUCGUGACGCCGGCCGGAAGAGGAGUCACUCAGCGGCACAUCGGUCGGUGCUAAAGGGAGUAUAUCAAUGGUGACGUCGGCAAGGAUUAGUGCCGGCAUCCCUCCUCUACCAAUGGUCUGCCCCCUCCUUUAGCUUUUUCCAUCGGCCAUCGCUCCUCGAGCUCCAGACGUGGGCUGUCGCUCCCAGAUAUCUCACGGGUUUGACUCAUUUGACGGGCCUACCAGCUUGACUCAUCGAACAGUGCUGCUGCUCCCCGAGAUCCCGCUGCUCGUUGGGGCCUCCGUGGCGAGCGAGUGAUGGCAAGGGCGAUAGCGGUUGCGUUAGGUAUGGGGUGCACAUCAUUGAUCUUAUCCGUCGUCGGUGACCUUUUUUUUAGGGAAAACACUCCAUUAAAAUGGGACAGUUGUCAGAUUACAAGCCAGGUUAUAUUGGUUCGGUACUUCUCCAGGAACACAAGACUUCCAGAAGAGCUGCUAACCCUAGCGAACUGAGCAAUGUUAUGAGCUAGGGAGUUUCCUGCGCGACUAGUCCAGCUGACGCAGUGGGUACUGAAUGGCUUGAGAGAAUCCCUAAUCUCGACAAUGAGGAAGUAAAUGUUGGACCAAUCAGUGUGGGUCGAAGAAAGGGAAGAGCAGAGCGUUUGACAGUACAACUCAAUCUUCAGAUUUGCACCCGCUACAUUGCUUGCUCAAUGCUCUGAUCCCAAACAACACAGCAAAGGCUUUAGCUUCAGUUGUGUUUGCAUAGGCGGGCAGCUGACCCCAAGAAGAAGCAGUGAUUCUUCCAUCAACUGCUCGUAGCACAGCACCCCACCAAGUUUCACCUAUAUACUCCAAGAAACUUGCAUCAGUGUUUAACUUCUAGCAAUUUGAAGGUGGGGGCGACCACUUGCCGUCGGUGACCUUUUUGGUGGCUGGUUGGUUGAAACUUGAAAGACACUUCACUGGUUGAGAAGUACACGGUGUCAGAUGAGGCGUAUCACAAGCUUGGCAGUAAGUUCCGGGUGUAUCUUGUUUUACCUUUUUGUCUUUCAAAAUAAAUUUGGACCUUUCCUCUCAUGGAAUUCUCUAAAGGCUUAAACAUAGCUUAGUUUAUUCCUUGCACAUGUCUAUAGACUACUUAUGAUUUACACCGCAUUAUAGUUUUAGAAUGGUCAGGUUGCCUUGCAUCAUGAAUGAAGAAUCUUCUGCUCAUGCUACCACACUGCUUUGGUGCACAUCAAUGUUAUUAUGGCCUCAAAAAAUAGAUGUACUGUCAUUAUGGUAGUAGCGGUAACAUAAAAACUAAUAAUACAGUCCUUAGUCUGGUUAUUAUCGACUCCUAUGAAAUGUUUGGAUGUGGUGAUACACCUUAAGAAUUUUUGUGUCUCAUUUCCAAUAAGCUACAUAAUAACAUCUUUGAAUCACAUGUAGGCAGACAAGAGAGUAGUAUAAUUGCCAAUCAAACAAACCUUGCAUGAAAGUCAUAUAUAUGUGUGUCUUUAUAUAAGAAGUAUGGUAUGUAUUAGGUAUGAUGGCGUUUAGGGGUGUAGCUAAGUGACAACCAUGGCACCGCUAAGUGACAGUUAGCACCGCACCCUUGGAUUUGACGCAAGCCUAGGGGUAAUAAGAGGAUAGAUAUAGGGGCCAAGUGACAAAAUUGGCACGCAACGUGACAUAGCAGCCUUUUGAAGUACCUCCCCUCUCAACUUCAUGUUUUAUUAUAUGCUGCCCAUAUGGAUACCGUUCACAACACUUGUCUGUGAAGUUUCUCAUUACUUUACCACCAAAGAGAGAGAGUGCCGAGAGAGAGAGAGAGAGAGAGAUUGAGUGAAACCAUGAACACCGGUCCAUUAAUCACAUAAGUGUAAAUUCUAGGCUUCUCCUCUUGCACUUUAUAGGACCUUUAGAGGACUGGGACAUUUGUUACUUCCUUUACUUUUUCGUAAAUUAGUUCCCUAUUGCUACUUCAAUUUUUUUAGUGCACAUUAGAAUUGUGACACUCUGGCUUGAUAGAAUUUACCUUCUUACUCCGGAGGUACGAUACACAAUACUUCCACAUUGAGAGGUGCUACAACUAUCCACUGCGCUCGGGGGUUAUCAAUAUGCAAUAAUAAAUGGAAUAUUUGGCAUCGAUAGAGUUUCAGGAGGCCUCUAGCAGUCUAGCUCAGUAUGCCUUCUGGUUGUGCGAGCGAACCAUGUAUUAUGUAAAUAGGACAAAGCAUUUGCAUGAUUGUAUACUCCGAACAUCAUGAUAUGUUCAAAUGAACUUGCUCUCAGGCUCUAAAACGAAAAGGAAUACCCAUCAAACUGUAGUGUAAUGUCCCUAGAUUGCAAACAUUGGAAUUAGUUGAAAUCCCCUAAAUAUGGGUAUUGUAGCGUCAUUAUGAAUCACGAUGCAGAACAAAGAACAAGAAGUCCUUUACACUACUUCAACAAAAAAAAUCGCAUUGGGACUUCAAAUUCAACAGUGCAUGGAAUGGAUUAACCGAGAGAAAUCCCUUUUACACAGAUUAUCCAAAUCACCCCACUCGCCCUUGUUCUAUACGACGAAGUAAAAUUAACCUAGAGGGUAGCGGUAGGCAGAUCUGGGAGGUGGGUAGUUACUUUUGUGCUGGACGGAUUGGCACUGGUCGGGAUGGCUGCGGUUGGCGACGGUGACCGUGGCAUCAGGUGAGGUUGGCAAAGGAGUUGCUCUUGAAGGGGGAGUACAGGAUGGUGGGAAAGGCGAGGACGACACCGGCAAUGUUGGGCAGGUGGCGGUGGCCAAGAGAGGAGGGUGCUUGGAGGGGGAGAGAUUACCUUCAUGUUGGACGAACUAGCCCUUGCCAGAUGUGGCUGGGCAACGGUGACCAUGGCAGCGGACGAGAUUGGUGGUGCCGCUAAAGGGACAAGAGAGGCAAGGACGACACCGACGCAGCUGGGAGGCGACAGUGGCCAAACACCAGCUAACCGAGAGAGCUGAAGAGAGAGGAGCAUUGGGGAGAAAGAGAUGAUCGGAUCGGGACGGUUCAUGAUCGGGAGGACGCUGUGGCAGACUGCUAUGAUAAUUUCAAGGCAUGGAGAAAGCGAUGGUAUGGAGCGAUGAGAGUCUAAAAAACUCUUUGGCCUUAGGAUUUGUAUAUUAUUCUCCUCGAAUCUAUCCUGCAGUUCUUUUGAGGAGUUUUUCAAUAAAGUAAAAUGCACCAUUAGUCACUGAACUUGAGUUGUCUGUGCAAUCUAGUCCUCGUUCUCUCUGAAAAUGUUCAUCUGGAUCAUGAACUAAAAAGAUACAGCGCGGCUGGCCCACUUGCUGACAAUACCAGGGGCGACGCCAUUUCGCGGGAAAACCCUUCAUCUCUCCCCUUCCAACUAAAUCACAUCGUAGACUCCAUCCAUCCUCAUCUCAUCCCCAUCUAGAUCUCUCCUCCCCCAGGUUGGUGCUCCAACACAUGCCCAUCCCCACCGAUGUUCAACAGAACAGCAGCAGCUUGGUGCUUGUUUCUGGAGGUUGACGGCGGAUAGGACUGGGGCAAGUAGGACCAUGGUGGUUGACCGUGGAGAACUCAAUGUCGCCGCCGGUCGUGAUGGCGAACGCCAUAAUGUAGAGGCUCCUGCCUCAUGCUCACGGCCGCACGCCACCAUCGUGAGUACGAGGCAUGGUCGUGACCGCCGGCGCGGCCGUGAGUACGAGGCAUCUCGGCCGCGGUUGUCCUUCCGAUGCUCCUACGCACCACGUUCGGCUUCCUUGGUGCGCACGUCGUCGCAGGCACCGCAGUGGUGGAACCGUGGAAGGAGACGGGAUCCCGACGGGCGACGUGGCACACAGCGACGACGACGCAGAUCUAGGUCCACCCGCCGUGACGCUGCUACUGCCCCUGCUCGCGCGCCCUUGACCCGGUGGCUAGCGUGCACCGUUUGUCGGCCAUUGGAGCCCAGAUGCAGUGGGGGAUGUGGAGGGGAAGGUGAGGGUGAGCGCGGAGCUGAGGACAGGGUCGGCAUCGGCCAUGAGGGGAAGGGGAUGGGGAUGGGGGAGGGCACGCCGCCGCUGGGUUCGCUCGCCGCAACGCUGCUACUGGUACACACACUUGCGCGCCCUAGACGCCGCGGCCAUCACAUACCGUGUCGGCCAUGGCGGCGCCGCCCGCUCCCGGCACACCGACACCACCACCGCCCAGGAGGAGGAUGGCUGCCGUUGCACCCUGCUCGCGCCCGUGGAUGCCAUGGCGGUCAGACAUCGCGAGCUACUGCUGCUCCUAUGAUGGCGCAGGAAGGUCACUGGCCGACCUCUUUCUCCUCAUCUAGUUCAGGCCGGCUCCGAUGAAGCUUCGAAUCGCCGGAGAAAUCGGCAAUCCAUGGGAGACUUGGGAAGAGAUGCAGGAGGAUCGGGAAAAAGGAUGAGUCGAGGGAGGGAUGGGGUUGGAGAGGGGAGAGAUAUUCAGGGGGCUUAUCAUAAAGUGGUUGUAAUUCUCAUCUUAUCAGCAAGCAGGCCCUGUUAGUUCAGAUACGUGCCACGUCGGACGAACACGUAUACUGCUGUCAUAUAGAACCGUAAUUCAUUGUAUUUUUUAGUUCGAUGACUCACAUGAGCAUUUUGAGAGAACGAGGACUAGGUGCAUUUUACUCUUUUCAAUAACAUAUAACUAUUACAUUUCUUCUUGUAUUUUUUCCACAUGGUUUUAGAGGAGUCUCUAAAAUAAAUUGCUUGGAUGAAUAAAGCUGAUCAAGGAAGAGUAAUGAGAACCAAGAGUAAAGUUUUAGCAACCGUCAUUCUUUGGUCGGGAGAGACACCUCUCUCUCUCUCUCCCCCAAAAUGCAUCCCAUCCUUGGGCAUCCCAUUAAUUAUACGUACAAAUUCAUCCGUUGCUUCAUUUGUUUUUAUCAUUUGUCUUCCAUUUCACUACUUUUACUGCUAACAAUAAAUUCAAUGAUUUCCAGAAAUCACGGUGAAGAAGGUUGUUUCUACAAAUAUGAUCGAAACCAAGGGUGGAUCGGCAAAAGAUAUUGACUGGAAGACCCCUUGCCGCGUGCUAUGCGGGACAGUCACCAUCAAAUCCGCACCCAUCCUUUCCUCACAAUUUCUGCCUCCACGUCACCCAUCCCACCCCUCUCCCACACCAAUUAUCUCAGCUAGCCUGAAGCUUGCUCCGUCACCGAUAUGUGGGUCCCACCACUUUUGUCCCCACAUAGCAUCGGCACAGAUCACUCGCCUGGCGGUAAGUAACAGAGCAAUCAAGGGUCCUUUAUAAUAAAACCAAAAAAGACGAGGGGUCCCCUCCCGAUUAAAGUCCAAAGUCUUCUCCUCCUUCCUCCUCUCGCUAACUCGCGCUUUGACCCCCCAAUUCUCUAUCCAUUCUGUUCCCGACAUUGAUGGUAAUAGUUGGCUUUGCCGCCGCCGACGAUGGGCCUGUGCUCCUCCUCUAGCGCCGCCAGCCCCGCCGAUCCCGCCGGCGGCAACGGUAAUAAGGAGAAGGGGAGGAAGGGCAGCGGCAGCAGGGGGAUCGUGGCGUGCGGGAAGCGGACGGACUUCGGUUACGACAAGGACUUCGAGGCGCGGUAUACGAUCGGGAAGCUUCUUGGCCACGGACAGUUCGGCUACACCUUCGCCGCCGUCGACCGCUACUCCGACGAGCGCGUCGCCGUCAAGCGCAUCGACAAGAACAAGGUACGCGUCGCCAAGGAACUAGUGAUAUUUUGCGAGCAGUCGGGUCCAAAUCCGAACGAUUCGGUCAGCUGGCCUGGCCCAGUUUGUGUGGGAGGCACGUGGCUUUGCCAAGAAAAAUAUAAUGCGGGAAUCUCGGGUGCGUGUGUUACUGCAAAUCUUCUACCCACUACAAGUUGCUGCCAGUUUGCCCGGUAUGUGUUGUUUCCGGUGGAGUGUUUUGGAAUUUGGGUACGUUUAGAUACUGCUUACUAUGUAGAUGAUACCCCGUACGUUGUUGCGGAAAUUUUUCGUUACCAUAGUGGUUGAAAUUGAGUGGCAACGAAAGAGUAUGCAAAACUGAAAACAUGUAAUGAAAUUGUAUGAUAGAUUCUUCACUUAGUUGUGAACAAAUUAAUAAUGUGGUGAUGUGGCAUGCUUGCAUGUUGAGAGAAAUCAAGUAGUGGGGUUCUUUUACUUGGAUAUAGAAGAUUUAGCAAGAUGAAGAUAAGUAGCAGCAGGUAUGCAAUAUGGUUGCAUGUAUAGUCUAUAUAAAUUUAUGCUUUACUACUAAUACUGGCACUUGACAUAUGUCCAAAUUAGUAUAGAAACAUUUGUACAAUAGGGUAAAGGAACCUGCCAUCAGAUUUCACUUGAAUCUCAACUAACUGAUGUGGCCCAACAGGCCAACACAAUCCGUGACGAGCAAUAUUAGUUCCCGAGCUUGCAACAAACACUUCUUACAUGUACUGAAAAAUCCAAUCUUAAUGGCAUCAGAAAUGUAGCAAGUUACUCCCUCCGAUCCAUAAUAAGUGUCUCAGAUUUAGUACGAAGUUAGUACAAAGUUGUACUAAACCUGAGACACUUAUUAUGGAUCAGAGGGAGUACCAAAAAUGACCCUCUACUCCCGUAUGACCCUCCACUUCUCCAACACGAAUUUCUCAUAGUACACUAACCCAGUAGGCUAUUGAUAAAUCUCUUAGAAUACUGUAAUGCAAAUGGGAUGCGCUGGUGUCAGUCCAACCUACUCAAUAUGUGUAGUGUACAAUUAGGUAUCUUAAUGGGAGCAAUUUUACGGUACCUUGGUACUCCAAGAGCAUCUCUAGAAGAUCCCGUAAAAAAACGGAUAACGUAAACCGAAAAAUGUUUUAAGGUACCGAUUUGCCUCGGGCGGAAUAGAUCCUGCAGAUGUUUACCGUAAAAUUGAAUAUUCGGGUUUGAGAUAAAUGUUUGUGGGAUCUGUUCCGCCACAGCCCGCGCGAUACCAGAAAACAUUUUUUGGGUUAUAGCACAUAUAUCUCUUAGUUAAAAACUAGAUUACCUGACACUAACUUCUAACAUACCAUCUUGGCUUUUGACCUUGCAGAUGGUCCUUCCUGUUGCUGUUGAAGAUGUAAAGCGAGAAGUUAAAAUACUCAAGGCCUUACAAGGGCAUGAAAAUGUUGUACAUUUUUACAAUGCAUUCGAGGAUGAUAACUAUGUGUAUAUUGUUAUGGAGUAAGUCUUGGGAAUUCCCUCAAAUGUUCAUAAAAUCAGUAGAAAUUACAUAUCUUUGCAGCAGGCUUAGGAUUUUAGCCUGUGCCUUCAAACCAGGUUUGAAGCGAUGAUAAAUAAUCUCACAGUUUGAGAUUUUAGUUUCAUGCUGAUCUAAGGACAAUCAUAGUAAGGAUUUUUGGUAAUGCAUCAUUUCAGGCUGGCCAUUGUAAUAAGUAAUUCUUUUCGACAUUGGUCUUUACUACUCCGAUCCAAAGUAAUCGUCGCAGCUUUGUCUAGAUACGCAUGUACCUACACACUGAAAUGCGUAUAGAUACAUGUGUAUCUAGACAAAGCUGUGACAAGUAAUUUGGGUAGGAGGGAGUACUACAUUUGGACUGGCAUAAAUUGGGAUGCCCUAGAGAAAUUCCAGAAAUACAGUUGUUGUAAAAAAUGGACAAGAUUGUUAACAAAGCAUUUUCUUAAUUUUGCAGUCUUUGUUUUCUGUGUAUGUGUAAGGAACUGUACAAACUAAUGCAGUCUUGGACUUUGUUACAUGGUUUUGACAGAUUAUGUGAGGGUGGUGAGUUGCUUGACCGCAUAUUAGCCAAGUAAGAACUAUCAUAAUCUUUUGGAAAAAUUUCACAGCUCUUAGCUUGAUGACAGAUGCAUUUCCUAACUUGUUCUUCCUUGCCAACUUAUGAGCUAUACUAGGGUCCAAUUAGGUGCGCUAGUGAGCUCAAAUAGUGACUUUUCAUGGUUCAGUUAGGUGUGAUUUUCUUCCUAUCUUUCCUCACUGCAUGGCAAAUAAUGAUUUUUUGUUUCUAUUUUUCUUUUGAUUUUUUUUGUUGGAACAAAAUAUGCAACAGUGAUUUAUAUCCUGAUGAUAUUCCUUUCUGAAGGUUACUGUUUUGAAAUAUCUGGGCAUAUAAUGUUUCUACAUUGUAACUCAUCAUUCUAGAUAAGAGAGAUUGAAAGCCGAGUUAUUGUAGAUAGUGCCACAGAUCAUAAGCUAUAAUUUUGUAUGGAUAUAGUAUACACUGAUACAGAAUAGCUUAACUAGAUAUAUCACUGUGUGUUUUUUGGAAGAUCAUAUACCAUGGUUUUACUCUUUUCUAUUGAAACUAAAUGUUUUGCAUGCACAAAUAUGAAUUGAUUUCCCUAUUCCCUCUAAUAUCAUAAUGUCAAAAUGUCCCUGAGAUAGGAAAAUGGUGCACACAUGUUCUGAAGUAAAAGGAUAGAGAAUAUAAGAAAUGUAUCCGUUCAGCAAAACAAAACAUUGUAUAAUGUAUAACAUGUGAAAUAUAAAUGUUAGGUAAAGUGUCAACUAUUAAUAAUCAUGUUGAAUAUUAUUGUCUGAUAGUUCUCUUGUACACAAAACAUAGAAUACUAAUGUCUGAACAUGGUUGUUCUGGCAUGCGAAACAGAAAGUAAAUGCCCAUUGGUCCUUGACAUUAUCUAGUUCAUGUGCCGGGGUUGAACUUUGUUGUACACUUUUUUCUUGCUGUUUCCAAUUUGGUCACAUUAUGAGCUGUUGAGCAUGCAUAGAAGUUUGCUCAUUUCUUAAUAGAUUGUCUAUGUGUUUAUUACUUUAUUAUGGACCUCUAUUAAUAAAUGUCAUUAGUCAGCAUACAAAUAUUAAGAGAUGUAGUGAGUGAGUAAUAGCUUAGAUGGAACUUUCACAUUUGUUUAUCCAAAUGACACUAGCUAUCAAAUGUCAGAUAGCCUUCAAAAGAAGUAAUAAAUAUGCUCCGUUUUUCUGUUUGCAGAAAUAGCAACCAUACUGAUCUCAUGUUGUUUGCCUGCACAGGAAAGAUAGCCGUUAUAGCGAGAAAGAUGCUGCAGUAGUUGUGCGACAAAUGCUCAAGGUUGCAGCUGAAUGCCAUUUGCAUGGUUUGGUUCAUCGGGACAUGAAACCCGAGGUAUACUCUGAAAUGCGAUGGAACUGUCUGCCAAGAACUCAACAUUAAGAUUGAUCUGUUGAAAUGAUGCAUUAUUUUGUGUUUCCAGAACUUCCUCUUCAAAUCAUCAAAGGAGGGCUCACCCCUCAAGGCUACAGAUUUUGGCCUUUCGGACUUCAUAAGAGCAGGUGCGUGCAUACGUUGUAACAACUUGUGCUAUUUCACUUGCUUCUUAUGCAUAUGAAUUAUAGAAAUUGUGGCACCUAAAUUGACUUAUCUAGACUCACAGGGAAGCAAUUUCGUGACAUUGUCGGAAGUGCCUACUAUGUAGCACCAGAAGUGCUCAAGCGUAAGUCAGGGCCGGAAUCUGAUGUUUGGAGUAUUGGUGUUAUAACUUAUAUUCUGUUGUGCGGAAGACGGCCUUUUUGGGACAAAACUGAAGAUGGAAUCUUUAAAGAGGUCACUUUCCUAAACUACUGUUGUCAUACAACCAUAUAUUUACAUGUUCGAAUUCAUUUAAAAUAAUUCUUUCAGUUUAUUAAUGUUGAUGAUUCUAUUUAUUUCCUCUUCAAUGUUGCUAUAUAAUCUCGAUUUCAACUUACUUUCUAAUUGCCCCCAUAUCACAUCGCAAUUUUUUUUGUACCUUUUGAAAAAUUGCAAUUCUAGGUUGUUAUUAGAUUUUAAAAAAAACUGCAUCCAUGUCCUGUGUGUUCGAAACUAACAAAAUAAUAAUUUUGGUUUACAUCUAACAACAGAGGUGGAGCCAGGAUUUAGCACCUGGGUAUUCGAAACUAACAAAAAGAUAAUUCUUCACUGUCAAAUGCAAAGUUUCACAAUAGUGAACCCUCUGCCUCCAUGUCCUGUGUGUACGUGCUGCGACCCUGAAGCUGUUGAUGUGUCGCAGCUGCUGCCUGCUGGACCAGGAGGGGACCAGAGGCCCAAUUUGUUCACCCUGUGGGCCGUGUAGGGGUGGCUGAGGCCCAGGACUUCGCAGGAUGCGAAGCAGCCUGAUGAUGCUGAUAAACGUACAUUAAGUUUCCAAAUUUAGUACUGAACGUAUAUGUAUACUAAACAUCGUAUGUGCAAAAAUCAAAUGGGCAACAAUAAUCAUUAUUGGCUUGAAUACCAUGCAGUCCUAUCCUCCGUGGGUUGUGCUGAAGCAAAGUAUGUCGUGCUGUGAUCAAUCUAAAAAUAUAAUCCUUUUUGUCAUAAAGAUGUAAUUAAAUAAUUCCUUGUGCAGUUCAAACUAUACUAGUUUGACACCUGCACAAAUAACAGUUAUUGUAUCUUUAAAUAAACAGGCAAUCUAAUGGGGAGACGUGUGUGCGGCCGCUUUGUGAUUCGCGCGCGGGCAGUGCACGUCUACUUCUCUCUAUCUCAUUUUCUCUUCCGGUCUUUUUCUCUCUCCGACCUCAUACUUUGUCUGGUGCUCCUACCGAUGGUAGGGGAGUGACGGCUGUGGAGCAGAGCACGGCAGUUGCGGCGGCAGAGCAGGCAGCGGCACCGGAGAUUGGUGCGUGAUGGCAGGGCAGGGCACGGUGGUGCAAAAUGGAGCGUGGCAACGCCGGAGCAGAGCACGGCGUUGGCGUGUGGCGCACCGCCGGCACGACCACCAUGGACGACACGGGCGCCACCAUGGGAGCAGGAGCAUACAACAAUAACAACAAUGGGCAGGAGAGCUGCUGCAGCGGGCAGUCCUCCAGGCAGCGCAGCUAGCUGCUCUCGGCACUGGCGCCCCGCCAAGGACGCCAAACUCCGUGCGCUCGUCACCCUCUACGGGCCCCAGAACUAGAACCUCAUCACCGAGAAGCUCGACGGGAGAUCUGUUUAACUUAACUUAAAGUCCUAAAAUCUUAUACACCGCUAGCUGUUGUUUGUAUGGGCCGGCAGGGAAGAGCUGUAGGCUUCGGUGGUUCAACCUGCUGGACCUGAGGAUCCACAAGAGGUCGUUCAGCGGCGAGCUGGAGGAGUGGCUCAUGGUCGCGCACCGCUUCUACGGGAACAAGCGGCUCAUGGGCGGUGGCGCCGGAGAAGACGCGGGGUGACUCGAUAUCUCGCCCCCAUAUCGUUGUGUCGCGUCGUUUGUUCUGUUCUUCUCAUCUGGUCGGAUGUUGUGAGUCCGUGGCUCUCUAUUGCUUAAUACCUAGUUGCCAUGUCCAUGUCCUUUUUUUUCACACUUAUUUGAUGGUAGCUGCCAUGCCUUUUACCCUGUAAGUCGGCACAAUUUGCCUGGUAAGGUGGAACUGUUUACCCGAUAAGCACGAACUGUUUGCCCGAUAAGCACGAACUGUUUGCCCGGUAAGUUGGAAGAGUUUGCCCGGUAAGCAGGAACAGUUGACCGGGUAAGUACUAAGUAGGCACUGGUAAGUGGAAACAAUUAGCUUGGUGAGUAGGCACGGGUAGCCCGGUAAGUAAGCACAGUUAACCCGGUAAGUAGGCACAAGUAAUCCAGUUUUUUUUAGGAACAUACAGUAGGAAAAAAAUGCCUACUGCAACACAAGUAAUCUAGUAAGUAGAGCGGUAAGUAGCACAGUUAACCCGGUAAGUAGGCACAAUAACACAGUAAGUAGACACAGUUAACACGGUAGGUAUGCACAGGUAAAUUUGUCUACGCUGAAAAACUAAUGACAUUCAUUACUUGACAUCCAGUAGGCACGGUCAUCUUUAGUAGGCAAGUUUAACCCGGUAAGUAGGCACAGUUAGCGGCCCAUCACUAAUACCAUCCCUUGUUAUUUCUUGUGCCUGGUGUAUGGACUAGAAGAAAAAUAAUGAAGAACAUAUGUGCUUAUUUUCUGGUUUCGGAAGGCAAAUAAAAUAGUGACGAGGUUUUCUGGAGAACGUAUGGCAGCGACGAUGUGGAAGGUGCAAAUCAGAGCUUAAAACUGUCCAUGCCGUUGCGUACAAAAAGACUAAAGAGCUAUCGGGCCUGCACUACGCUUAAGGAAACGGCCGCUAUUGGUCCAGCGGACGUUGCUGGGCCACCUACGCUGGAUACACUGCACACGUUGGGCACAGGAGUGGGAGGAGCGAACACGAACGCUUUCUGCGUGUGGGGAACGUGGGGGGCCGCACGCUCGUUAGUGUGGGCACGGUCACCCCAUAGUUCAGUCCUUCAAUAAAUUUAUAUGUACUUAUGUUUUCUCAGGAUACAAAAUUUUUGUAUAGUUGACAAACUAUCUAUUCACAAGCAUUAUGAAGCAUAUAAUUGAAAAUGAAUUCUGCAGAAUGUGAAGUUAUGGGAUAGGUUCAAAUUUGGAGCCAAGAAUCUCCGGAGGACAAAAAAAGACAGUUGCAGUACACGGAUGAAUAAACUACAUAAAGCAACAAUCCCUGAAAAAGGCUCUUAAUGUUCACAAAUGCUAGGGCAUAUGGGUCUAGGUGGAAAACAGUCUAAUACAGUAGCUGUGCUUGUAGAAAAGCAUGAAUAUCUUGGUAUAGUCUGGUAAACUGUUUACCUGCUUGUAGUUAGUAUUAAUUUUCUUGUAUUGAUUAUUUUUUGUUACAGGUGUUAAAAAACAAGCCAGAUUUCCGUCGCAAGCCUUGGACGAACAUUACUCCAAGUGCUAAAGAUUUUGUACAGAAGUUACUAGUUAAGGAUCCCCGUGCAAGACUAACUGCUGCCCAGGCAUUAUGUAUGUAACUAUAUUUCAAUUUCAGGCAACUGAAUCUUAACCUUGCUAAUAUGGUUAUUAAAUACAGGGAUUAAGUAAUCAAACCUGUUAUCUGAGUGUGCCAUCUUGCAAACUCUUAAAAAGACUGCUGGAUAACUCAUGGAUGGAUCAUUUUUUUUUCUAGAAUACACUGGGCCGGCGUCAUCAUUAAUAGAAAGACAUAUUUAAGAGUAGUAGACAAACAAAUAGGCUCCUUAGAUUAAGACGUAAUGCGCGGUUGCCACCUUGUCCAUGUCUUAUUAGCAGUCAUGAUCGAUCAAAAGAUUGGUUUCGUACAUACUCACUGCGCUGUUAACUAAGUCCUUUGUUUAUUAACUUCUGUUGGGGUGUUAGGGUUAAGCUUUGUUAUUUUAAGUUACGAUGUCCCGCACUCAGCUUAUCAUACGUGCUGUAAUCAUAUGGCAUUCAUACCGCUGUCUUUUCUUUUAAUUCAGUUAUCAGUUUCUGUGUUUACUUAUUGGUUGCACCAGUCUAUAGAAUAUAGCAUGAUCAUAUCUUUUUCAUGUAGAAAAUCCUCUGUUUGUCAUGAUUGGACAUGGAUGGUACAAUAACGAAGGGUUGCUUCAAUAUUGUACUAUGGUUGCUAGAGAACCAGUGUGCAAACCUUUUAGUUUGUACCUUGGUAUAACAUAAUGUUUGUUUUAAUUGUGUAAUGUUCUGCUUUCCAGCACAUGAAUGGGUGAGAGAAGGAGGACAGGCAUCUGAAAUACCUCUGGAUAUAUCAGUAUUGCAUAAUAUGCGACAGUUUGUGAAAUACAGUCGUUUCAAGCAAUUUGCUUUAAGGGUGAGUUGGUAUGCCAGAAUUGGCUGAGAUAUUAGGCAUGAUUCUGGGAGGGGUGAUAAGAGUUAACUCAAAUGAGUUUUCUACAACUUCUGUAGGCUUUGGCAUCUACACUAAAUUCAGAAGAACUGUCUGAUCUUCGCGACCAGUUCAAUGCCAUUGAUAUUGACAAGAGUGGAACGAUAAGCCUAGAAGAACUGAAGCAGGUACAUUCUGUUGGAGCUCUUUGCUACAUUACUAUCUUAGUUGUUUAACUAAUAUGUAACAUUGGAAUCCAUGUAAUGAGUUUUCUGAAUUGUACCUUAUGCCUGAAGAACUAAAUGCCUAUUUCUUUUUAAGUGGCAAUCUGUGUGCGAGAUAGUAAUGGUUAAAAUUUAUUAUUAUUUUCUUUUCAUUCGUUAGUGCAGUCCAUGAAAAACUGAAGCAGGUAUUUAUGUUAGGGUUCACUCCUCAUUGUAACUUAAUUAAUUAAUUACUUCUGCAUCACCUCCACCGUAAAUAGAGACUUAGUUAUAUUUUGGACUUUUGAUACGAGUAUGCAAGUGACAACUUAUAAAAAGGAGCACUGCCCGAAGGUGAAGCCAACUCAUCUACUGUCGUGGGAGCCAGCAAGGUGGUGUUGGCCGAAGGGUCGGCGAGAGGUUUGGACGCACCACCGCAAGGUUCGACACUGGUGACAAGGGAGUGUGCUAGCAUGGCAUGGAGGCAGGGCACUCUACCAACUGGUUAGGCGAUGGUGAGGCCUCAGUAGCAAGGGGUACCCACAGUUCAGCCUGUGAUGGGUCCAAGCCUGAGCUUGUGUAGCAUGGAGGCAGGACACUCUACCAACUGGUUAGGCGAUGGUCUGAGACACCGGGGAGCCAACCUUUGCCAUGCACUGUGCCGGGGCGGGGGGCCUUCUAAUGCAAAGAGCAUACCGAUGAUCACCUGUUGUCAAUGUUCAGUUGAUUGCAAAUUGAUCUGAUUAACUAUCUUGAUUCUAAAAGAAUCUCUUAAAUUGUUAAUUACUCCCUCCGUUCCUUAAAAAAUUCGUGGCUUUGACCAUAAAUUACUAUGUCAAAGUGUGGUUUAUAUGACAUGAAACCACAAGCAUCAUGAAGUACAUUUGAUAACGAAUCUAGCGAUACUAAUUUCAUGUCAUAUAAGCCACAUCUUGACAUAGUAAUUUGUGGUCAAAGACUUGUCUUAAUGAAAGCUAAUAUGACAUCUUUUAAGGAACGGAGGGAGUAAGUUGUUAAAAUUAUGUUUGUUUUUUCUAUUUCUUCGAAGGAAAUUCUAAAACCUCUGGCCUUAUUCUUAAAAUUAAGAAAAGUUUCCUUGCAUAUCUCUUUUAUAUAUCAAAUUUGACCAUACAGUUUGAGUUUUUCUGUUGGAACCUAUUUGUUGUAGUUCAUAUAUUUAUAAUCAAGAUUGAUAUGUUAUAAAAAUAUGGAAUGUGCAGGCUCUUGCAAAGGAUGUUCCGUGGAGACUAAAGGGUCCUCGUGUUCUAGAGAUUGUCGAGGCGGUAUGUUGGCAUUCUUUACUGUAUUACUGCUAUAUUAUACAUAUCUGAAAUUCACAUGUUUUCCUUUAUUUUACUUCGUUCAUGUUAAGCUAAUAUCCUGUGGGUAGUAAGUAUCUACUGGAAGGGAACAUAAAUACUUUCAUAUUAGUCUUUAAAAUGUAUUAAAAACUUAUGUGAUUUUCACGGAUUGAUAAAUCCUAAUUAUCUAAUCAUUCCCAAUAGGGGAAAUGGACAAAUGAUAUCUCUUUUAGAUGAAACUAAACCCAGUAACAAGAAAAUGGAAUUAUGGAAGAUAGAAACUAUCAAGGAGGAUUGCAAGCAGGUGCGACUUGGUGAACGGUAUUGUUCCUGCUGCUGCUACCUAAACUUAUGUUUACAUUCAACCAAAAGGCAGUCUACAGCUGUUUACAUUUUUGUGUGCCGCACAGCAACGACCUUAUUUGGUUAGUCCUACAUGCAACCAAAAUAGAAUGGGCGAAAAUUUUGCUGCUAACCAAAAUCCUUUUCACUUGCUGAAGUUUGGUUUUUAUUAAAAAUAAUAUAAACAUCUUAUAUUUAUUAUUGAACAGAUCGACAGUAACACAGAUGGGUUAGUUGAUUUUGAGGAGUUUGUUGCUGCCACACUACAUGUGCAUCAGCUGGUGGAACAUGACAGCGAGAAGUGGAAGUCAUUGUCUCAAGCUGCGUUUGAUAAAUUCGAUGUUGACGGAGAUGGCUAUAUCACAUCUGAUGAACUGAGAAUGGUAUAGUUCUACAUAGAACCACCAAACUACAUCGUCUGUUGUACUAUCUAAAUUGUUACACAGUACAAGAGCUAGUCUGGUUAUUUAUGGAACUCAACUCAGGCUUCUCAUUAACUUGUUGCUCCUUGUCAACAGAAUACAGGACUGAAGGGUUCUAUUGACCCCCUCCUGGAGGAGGCUGACAUUGACAAAGAUGGCAAAAUAAGCCUUGACGAAUUUCGUAGACUCUUGAAAACUGCAAGCAUGAGUUCUCGCAACGCAACCCCAAAAAGCGUUUCCAAGUCAUAUAGAUUUGCGUAGUUCACAUAACACAACAAAGUCCUGUCUAUGCCUCUAUGGUGGGACUUUGUUGGCCAUAAAGGCUUCAUGAUGUAAAUUAUAUGAUCAUUUUGUCUGGGAUAGGCUUCGUGAAUUUUGGGCACAUCUGUGUGAAAUUUGGAAGAAAGAUACUGAACACAAGCGCUGCAUGUCAAGCUACAUUUCUAAAAAAAAAGAUGCUAAGAACAAACCCUGCACGACAAGCUACAGUACAGUAUAUCUUUAUUUCUUCAUAAAGAUCAUUUUGAUUUAAGAUUUAAUUACAAACUAUUCAAGCUGACAUAACUCACUGCCCUUAAGCAAGGACGUGACUGUUUCUUUUAGUAAAAAUGCACGUAAAGUUAGCCUAUUUCUAUAAAACUGUACUCCCUGCGAUUCUAUAAUUGUGCUAGCCAUGAUUUUAUUUAUUUCUUUUCUAAUUGUAGAAUUCAUACAAUAUCUAUUGAAGAGAAGAGAUUGAUUGAUACUUAAAAGAAUGAAAUGUGAUAAAAAAAAAAGACAUCAAAUUGUGGAGUAGAAUAAAUCGAUAUAUAAAGCGCACAUAUAUCUGGCUGCCUUUCUUUUUCUUUCUUAAAGCUUGGAGUUAAAAAAAAGGACAGAAAUAUGUGCGCUUUAUAGAUGGAUUUAUUUCACUAACAGGCGAUCGAUAAAGAUAAGACAAAUGGACGCAUCCUGUCACACCCAUAUAUGUGGGCGGUGCACGAGGGAGAAUGAAAGGACGUCCUAGCCUCCUAGGUAGCCUGCAGGUUCCUGGCUAAGAUCCCCUCGAACGUGAUGCCCGGCCCGAACGCCAGUAUGAGGCCCCACUCGCACUCCUGACCCCCUUCCGCUCCCGCCGCCUGCUGGAGCUCCCUCCUCCGCCUGCUCUCCUCCACCAUGUUCUCCAGCACGUAGACGAUGGUGUUGCUGCUGGCGUUCCCAAAGUCCCGGAGCGCGCUCCGGCUAGCGGUGAGCUUGGCGCCAUCAAGCCCCAGCCGCCCCUCCAUCUUGGUCAGGAUUGCCGGUCCCCCGGGAUGCACCGCCCAGAACAUGUCAUCGUACGUCAGCUGCGCGUGCGUGUGGCCGUCACCACCCUGAUCUCGCUCCUUGAUGAGCUUCUGGCAGAAAUCCUCCACGUGUGCCUCGAUGAUGUGGGGGAGCUCGCGGCCCAGCUGGAACUUGAUCCCUUCUUCCGUCAGCCGCCCGUCGAUCGUCUUCUCGGUGCCCGGGAGGAACCGCUGCAGCGCGGAGUGAAGCUCAAAGAGCGGACGCUCCAAAGGAGUCGGGUCCGUGCAGACGAUGGCGGCUCCCGCGCCGUCCCCGAAGAGCGCGACCCCGACGAGGUCGUAGGGCCGGUCGGGGCUGGGCGGGCGGAACCCGGCCACGGUGGUCUCGGAGGUGGCCAGGAGCACGCGCGCGCCGGGGCAGCUCUCGGCGAGUGCCUUGGCCACACGGAGCCCCGCGACGCCGCCCGAGCAGCCCGUGAACGCCAGCAUGACGCGGCGGACGUCCGGGCUCAGCCCCAGGGCGCGCGCCAGGUGCAGGUCCCCGCCAGGGAACCGCGCCUCGCUGGAGGACACGUAGACGAGGUGCGUGAUCGACGACAGCGCCCCGCCCCACGACCGGAUGCAGGACAGCGACGCCUCCGUCGCCAUCUGCGUCACGGCCUUGUUGGAGAUGUCCAGGCGCUGCUUCAUCGUCGGCAGGCCCUCCUGGGCCAGCUCCGGGUACCGACCAAGGAUCUCGUCCGACAUCACCACGUACCUCGUCUUCACCGUAGUUGUCUUGCCUGCAUAUAUGGGCACCGGAUUAAAACACAACUUGUGAAAUCGUUUUUCUUGUGUGCGUGCAUAUAUUGGUGUGUUAAUUACACAGUCUAGUGAGCUUCUCCUUGAGCUCGGGGUCGUUGCAGUUGGUGUUCCUCAUGAAGCCCUCCACCACGUAGUCUUGCAUCACCAGCUGCUGCGGGAAAGCGUGGCCCAAGGCCACGAUGGUGGCCUUGCCUGGGUUGGGAGCCAUGCACGCCGCUUGCUUCUUCGCCGCCGUUUCUACACCCGUGCUCACCAUGGUCGAUCGUGUAACAAAGGAUUUUUCUUUCUUUCUUUCUUUCUCGGUCAGAUGGAAUGUUACUGCAGCCAGAUAUUCAGACACUAUAUAUAUAUAUAUACUCUCUUCUUCAGCUCCCCUUUGCUAAAAUUACAUGUGUCACCCAGUGUAGUUGAGGCGCACAAAGUUCAUGGAAAGCAUGGUUGGUACAGAGCAGAUUACCUAUAGGUUCGCUGGAAAAUCCCAUUGCAAUUUGCAUGCGGGCUUUACAACCUAAAGAUGUAGGUGUCCUGUAGAUUUAAAUUUGGUGGAAUUUUCGCAACAUGCAUAUACUGAGACUAAUAUCAACUUGAUUCUUGCGUGCAAUUUGGUCCCUAUAUUCCUGAAAACGCAAUUGCGGGACCAAAAAACCCGCAUGAACAAAGGAUUCCAAAAGCCUGUGGAUAGACAGAUUCGUGAGCUGGGUGGCAUCUACUUGUUGGGGCUUUUUCGGCCUGAGAUGUGUGUAGUUGUACGUUUUUUUCGUUUUCAGCUAGAGUGGGCUAGAGUGUUUAUCAUUUUUGGAUCUGAUAACCUGUUCGGCCCAUUGCUUCCAUGAGUUUGUAUUGUUUGUUUAUUACUCUCUUCGUCCAACAUAUACGGUGUAUAAUUUUUAUUAACUGUCAAACUUGUGAAAGUUUAAUCGAGUUUAUAGGAAAAAGCAACAACUUUUAAAGCCACAAAUCAAGAUCAGUAGAUAUGCAAUGAAAUAUGUUUUCAUAGUGAGUAAUGCGUUAAUAUUUUUCAAAUUGUAGAUGUUAAUAAUUUUUAUGGUAAGUUUGGUUAGAGUGCAUAAAGUUUGACCGUUUUAUAUUUUGAAACGGAGUGUGUAAUUCGUUUGUGGUGGUGGCUGCUUUUGUAUAGCUGUAAAAUCUAACUAUUAUCAAAUUGAAAAUAGCUAGCUGUUAUAUUAUGUAAACACUCUAUUUUUAUUUCUAAAUUUAACAAGCUGAACACGACGUUCCCGGAAAAUGUUACUGAAAGUGUCGGCCGCCUCGGUGUUCUGGUACCAAGAUUUUGUAUCCCUGCUUCCGGCAGGGUCCCCGAAUAACCUUAGUUUAAUUAACUGACAUCUCUGGUUUCCUCAAAAAGAAAAGAAAAUGACAUCCCUGGUGUGGAUCUAAUCCCAGCACAUUAAUAUUCAAACAGAGGCCCUACAGCUACAAUGGGAGAACCUUGGAGUCAGUCAAAUCUGCGUCCUCUCGGUUGAUGGUCUGGCUGCCCUCGCCGGACACCUCCUCCAGCGACCUCCCCAUGGGCUCAGGCAGGAGACAGGUGAAAAGUAUCCCCAGCACAUUGCAGGCGGCGAGCACGAAGAGGGAGGCACGCACGCCGAUGCCCGACGGGUACCCACUGGGUGUCUCCUGGCUGCCGUCCGCCCUCUGUGCGGCGUACAUGAAGCCGAAGGAGCCGACGAUGGCGCCAACCUUCCCCGCAGCAGCCGCUAUCCCGUGGCACGUGGAGCGGACGUGUGCCGGGAAAAUCUCGGCCGGCAGGAUGAAGGUGGUGCUGUUGGGCCCGAAGUUUGCGAAGAAGAAGGUGAAGGUGUACAUGACGACGAGCCAUAUCCGGUGGCCAGGCUGGAUGAGGAUGUGGUAGAAUGCGGCGACGACGAGCAUGAGCACCGUCAUCAUGCCGAAUCCGAGGAACUGGAUGGCCUUCCUGCCGACGACGUCGAUGAAGGCGACGGUGAACCAGUAGCCUGGAAGCGUGCCGCAGAGGGCGAUGAUCGCCUGCGCACGGCUGAUGCGGUACGCUUCCUCGAGGGAGCUCAUGGUGUGCGCUUCGGGCACCCACCUGACUUCGCUGAAGAUCUCCUCCUGGAGGAUGUUCUGGGAGUAGAAGACCACGUCCAGCACGAACCACGACGCGACGGCGCCAAGGAGGUGCAAGCCGUGGCGGCGGGCGAAGCGGCCGGAGAAGACGCUGUAGUCGCCCCUGUCCCUGACGAUGCUCUCGACCUUGUCCGGCUCGCCGCUGAGAUCCACCCUGAGCACCUUGGACAUGUCGCGCGCGGCUUUCUCGGCGUCGCGGGCCACGAGCGCCGUGUAGCGCGCCGUCUCCGGCAUCAUGACCCGCCAGCGGUAGGUGAAGACGGCCGGGAUGGCGCCGACCAUGAGGAUGAUGCGCCACACGUAGUCGGCCUGCGGCGGGGUGGACGCGCCGGGGUCCUCCUCAUACGCCGGCGGGUUGAAGCGCGCCUGGAACGUGGCCGACACGACCAAGGUGACGAUGCAGCCCGCGAGGACGCCCAGCCCUUCCAUGGCGAACACGGCCGCGAUGAGGCUCCCGCGGGUCGUCUUGUUGGCGUACUCGGACAUGAUGGUCGCCGACAGCGGGUAGUCGCCGCCGAUGCCGACGCCGAGCCAGAACCGGAAGAAGCAGAGCGUGGCCAUGACGCCGUCGGCCGUGUUCCCGAACGACAGGCCUGAGAGGAAGGAUCCCAUGAUCAUGAGCAUGAUGGUCUUGCCGUAGAACUUCUUGCGGCCGACCUUAUCGCCGAGCCAACCGAACAAGAGCUGGCCCACGAUCAUGCCGCAGAAGGUGACGCCGUUGAUGGCCGCCUCCACACGCGGCGGGAGCCUCCCGGGGUCCGCCCGGCCAGGGACGUGGUAGUAGAUGCGUCCCAGGAGCUUGGUCACCAGGGUGAUGCAGAACAGGUCGUAGGCGUCGGCGAAGAAGCCCAUGCCUGCGAUCACCACCGCCCACGCGUGGUACGUCUGCGUCCGAGCCACGUCCAGCGCGUGCAGCACCUGCAGCUGCUGCUCCCACGCCAUCUCCGCCCCCUCGUGCACACUCACUCCUAGCUUCUUCACCGGUACGUGCAAGUUUGUACUUUACCUUGUAUUUUCGGAGGAACAGAGCCGGGGACUUAUAUGCCGGCAUGUUGCUUUGCUCUGUUUUGGUCGUGGCUAAUGGAAACAAUAGCAAGAUACGACGGGGAAUUGUAUAGCUGCAUGCCUGGCUGCCUUUGCAGCAUGUGUGUGUACAGGACAAGCGAUGCGGACCGAACGGUUCGAGUUGUUGUGCACGGUGCGGGAGAAGGAACAAAGGGGAUGGAGAAUCCAAGGCGCUGUUGGCAGCGCCGCUUGACUGAUUGCAGGGCCGGUGCAAUGCGGAAACAUAUGACACGGGAAUGCUGGUGUCUUGCCGAGUUGAUGCCACGAGCGAAUAAACGUUUCGAACCGCGUGGUGUUGGAGGCUAGCGAAGAGAUCCUUGUGGAAGAAAAUGCUUAUGGCGGACUCGUGAUUACCGUUGUUGGGCUGCAUCCUUCAUGAUCAGGGUGUGAUACAGGAUGAUCCCCUCUCCCCCAUUUUUUUUAAUUUUGCUGUUGAUGCCUUAACUGUUUUAGUAAAACAAGCUAAGCAGUAAGGUUUGAUUAGAGGUUUGGCUCCCCCAUUUUGUUUAAUUUUACUGUUGAUGCUUUAACUGUUUUAGUAAAAACAAGCUAAGCAGCAAGAUUUGAUUAGAGGAUUGGCUGAUCAUCUGGUCCCAAGGGGUUGUGUGAUUCUGCAAUAUGCAGAUGACACAAUUUUUUUGCUGGAGGCAGAUCUGGUUUGUGUUAGAAAUUUAAAGUUUUUGUUGUGUUUGUUUGAACAGAUGUCUGGUUUAAAAAUAAACUUUCAUAAGAGUGAUUUCUACUACUUAGGUAGUGCUGUUGAUCUGGGAGGUGCUUUAGAAGAAAUUUUUACCUACAAGUAGGGAUCUUUCCCUUUUAGAUAUUUGGGCAUUCCAUUGCAUUUCAAAAGAUUGGCAAAUAAAGAUUGGAAACCUGUGGAGGAUAGGGUUGAAGGUAGGCUUGCUAGUUGGCGGGGGAAACUGUUGUCCAGGGGAGGUAGAGUCACCCUGAUUAACUCUUGCUUGAGUUCAAUUCCCAAUUACUUUAUGUCUUUCCUUGAGAUUCCUAAGGGGGUGAUUAAAAAGUUGGAUUUUUUCAAAAAGAGGAUGCUUUGGCAGGAAGAAGCAGGGCAUAGGAAAAUCCACCUUGUGAACUGGCAAGACGUUUGUCAGCCUAGGGAUCAGGGUGGUUUAGUGAUUAGUGAUUUGAAAGUAAUGAAUUUCUGUUUACUAUGCAAAUGGGUUUGGAGGCUGGAAAACUCUAGUGGACUAUGGCAGAAACUUCUGAGGAGGAAAUAUUGCAAAGGCAAGCUUCUCCCUCAGGUUUCUCCUAGGCAGGGAGAUUCUCACUUCUGGUCUGGUUUGCUCAGAGUUAGAUAUGUGUUUUUGAGUUUCUGUCGAAGGAUAGUAGGCAAUGGCAAACGAACUAGGUUUUGGGAAGAUGAAUGGUGGGGUAGAUGCCCCUUUGCUGUAAAAUUCCCUAGGCUUUAUAAUCUCACUUUCAGUUCUGGGAUUUCUGUCCAUACUGUCUUCUCUGAGGGGUGGAGCUCCAUCAGGUUCAGACAAACUCUGGUGGGUGAAACUCUUAUUCAGUGGGAGGAUUUGAAGCAGUGCUGUAAUUUAGUUUCCCUGUCCAGUGGUAGAGACAAGCUUUACUGGAAACUGGGGAGUAAGGGGAGAUUUUCAGUCAGCUCUCUGUACAGGCAGCCGAAACUCUCCCAGAUCCCUUUUCCUUAUGGUUUCUUGUGGAAAGUGAAACUACCAUUGAAAAUUAAAAUCUUUCUAUGGUUAGUGAGUAGAGGUAGUAUUCUGACCAGAAAUGUUUAACGUGCCAGGGGGGAUAGACAAUGAUCAUUGUCCUUUCUGUUCUAGGAAAGAGACUAUUGGUCACCUGUUUUUCAGUUGCUCUCUAGCUCGUUAUGUUUGGCGUGUGGUCCAGGUCUGCUUUAACUUUCGUUCCACUCCUGUAUCGGUACAAGAUUUGUUAGAUAGUUGGCGUUUUCAGUUUAAUGUUCGAACGAGGAAGAUAGCUGUAGUUGGGAUAACAGCGGUUAUUUGGAUUAUCUGGAAAACUCGCAAUGAUGCUUGCUUCCGGAACAAAUUACCCCUAGAUCCAACUAAUGUUAUCUUUGUCAUUUGCUCUACCAUUGACUACUGGUCUGGUUUACAGAAAAAAGAAGUGCAGGAGGUGUUGCAUCGAUGCUCCCAGCGACUGUGGCGAGUCGUGGCUGAAGCUUUCAAUCGGGCACAGGGUUGGGCGCCGGCGACACUUCGCUUACCUCAAUGUGAACUUACCUUAUGAAGCUCCGGUGGAUGUCUUGAUUGAUGAAGCUAUUGUAUGAACUGUAGGUGUGAUAGUUCAGGUUGUCUGUAGUAGGUGGUUUUUCCCCCUCCAAGGAGUUGCGAAGGCACCUGUAGUGUUAGCUAUUGUGUAGUCCUUUGUAGUCUCCUGUUGCUCUACUUGUGUUAAGUUGGGAUAUUUAUGUUUGACACUGUGGGUUUCCUUUAAUGAAACCGGAGGACACCCCUCUGUUAUAAAAAAAACAUCCUGCAUGGCGUUACCAAUCUUUUCGACGAAACAAAAUUACGAAUCCAAACAUGGCCACCGAGCUUGUUGGAAGAGGAAAUCUUUUUUUUCCUUUCAGUUUUGCUAACUCUGAGGCGAAUUGUUUGGUUUCUUACGGUAAGAUUUAGCAUUAAGAUUUGUGCAUUUGUUCUUUAUUGUUAGAAGAGUUUGUUUGGUUGAGAGAUUCGUGAAGAUUGUUGUGUCCCUUCUUUUAUUAUAUUUUGUGUCGGUUUUUUCUUUCAUGCUCUUACAGUCUUUUAGUUAAGAGGUAAUAACACCCACAGUACAAGAACUUGAAUCGUGCGAGCAAUUUCAUAUAAGAACUUAAAAAAUGGGGCCAAGUGGUCCAAAACUUGCAUUGUGGGUUCAUUUUUGGUCAGAUGCGCUCCGGAGCCACCACGUGUCUUGCCAGCGUGGCAAAGCCACGGGAAGAGGGCUCGGUAAUUUUUUUACAAAAAACGCUCGUUUCCCUACGCUCUUGCGAACCCCCCCCCCCACACACCCCACAAGAUUCUUCUUUUAAUUUCUUUCUCAAAUUUCUUGUGGCCUAACCCUAAAUCCCUGAAUCCCCGAUGCGGCGAGGUAUAGGGCAGCGAGGGAGAGGACAGCGGCAUGGCCGACAUUGGUCAGCCUGGGUCGAGCCGACAGGGUGCUGUCACGGCGGGUAUACGAAGAGGUACGGGCUGGAAUGGAAAAUAGGAAGAAAACAUAGACAUUUUUGCAAAAUUUCAUUGACCUUGCAUUGCCUGGAGAUGAGGAAGAAAUUGUAUUUCAAUCGCAGGGUUUAAAAUGAAGAAAUGCAAACCAUCUAAACAGCCAACGUGGCUAAUUCGGACUAGUCUGGGCACUAAUCACCAGCCUAGAAAAGUUUUGGACCACUUGGCCCCAAUUUUCAAGUUCUUGUAUGAAAUCGCUCGCGUGCUUCAAGUUUAUGUAGUGCGUGUGUUAUUACCUCUUUAGUUAACAUUGUAAAAAAGAUUGUCUCAAUAUUUUUCCUUCUACCAUUGCCCAAAGGUUUGUGAGCAAGCACCAUCUCAAAAGAUGGCCAUGCCACCGGCCAGGAUGGAGUUUAGCACCACCAUAUGUUUAAAGUCCAGUUCGCUUGUCGACGAUGUAAGUGUCUUUAUCGCCAAUAAAGCUGCCACGAAGGCUUUUCCUUAAAAAAAGUGUCGACAAUGAACUUGACAAUUGGGACGCGGGCGCAUCCCACUUUCCGACAUUGGACAUCGGGGUGGGGGUGGGAGCAGUGGGGAGGAGAAUACAAAGGGAUAACACAAUCUAUGGUGAUCGAUACGUGAUUGAGAUGCAAAACUAGAGAACGUUGCCGCAAUUAGUGAGGAGUCAGGCGAAGGAGGCCACCAUAUAUCCCCAUGGCUGAUGUGGCCUUGAUGUUGCAUGGGGAUGACAUUGGGGAAAGCAAUUAGGUAAGUCCCGACGGUGGCCAAUUCUAUUGAGAAUAAUGGUGGAUCGAAACGAUGCAUAUGUAGGUACCACAAUACACAUAUGGCACGAUAGAUCGGGUGAACCAGACGACACAGAUCAAGUCCGCACGCAAACCCAAAAAUGUGCCAAUUAGAAUAUUUUUUCAAGAAUAAAAAUUAGAAUAAAGGGGAUUUUGAUACUUUGCCCUUCGUUUCCUUGUACUUGAAUGAUUUGACCUUUCUUUCCUUGUAAUAGAUUAUUUGCCCUACGUUACUUUGAAUAUUUGAUCAUUUAAGCCUUUUGGAAUUCUUCUGAUUUCUUUCACACUAUUUGAACAUGUUUCCACUCCUCUACUCAAACAUGGUUGCGUCGACGAUGCCUAUUGACGUGGUUAUGACUAACCGAGUACUCAACUUGAGGAUACCCACUAUAUUACCUCAUCGAGGGCCCCGAACCUGGAUAAAUACUUGUCUCUCCUUGUUUGUCAGCCGACAGGUUCGCCAACACACACGCUUAGCUUUCCUAGAUACAAGCUCUCUGAUAUGGACAUUGUCGAAGUCACCCACUACAAGAGAAAUAGCCCGUAGAGACAUUAUAACUUUAGACACACUUGGUACAAUGCCACAAAAAUGCCAGUACGGACAGUGUCGCUAUGUGUGAUGAGACACUAAUAAAACGUCUCUAUUGUUUUAGACAUUGCAUAGAGACACUAUACCGUCUCUACGUUCAAUACGAUAUUUUGUAAAGACAUUGCAUUGUGUCUUUAUACUUUUUAGACAUUUCAUAAAGACACUAUAUUGUCUCUACAUUCAAUGCGACAUUUUGUAAAGACAUUAAAUUGUGUCUCUAUACUCAUGUGCUAGAAAAUAUACAUUGAAAAAAUCAUGUUGAAACCAAUCCUCGAACUCAAGACCUUAAGGAAAACUACACACUCACCUAACAAUCUCAACCUGAUACCAAUUCUUGCUUAUACUUCUAAUGAAAUUAUUAUGAGUAGUCCGCAACAUGUCUCAAACUUGCUAAGAAUGUCUCUACACAACAUAAAAAUGUGUCUCAAAUAGUGUCUCUAACUAUACCGUAAGGUCAUUUCAUCAAGUAUCUCAAAAUCAUGUCGCUACAUGAGUCUUGUGACAAUCUAUUAAAUGCCUCAAAAAAUGUCUCUACACCGUAAUGUCUCAACUAGUGUCUCUAUAUUUAAGACAUUAUCCAUAGCGCCUCAUAGACCUCUACAUGAAACUUUAUCUCAAAAUUGUCUCUAGGUAGAGACAAAGAGUAUAUUGCCUCAAUGAAAAUGUCUCUACAAGACAUUUGUGUUGUAGUGACCCCUUCGUCACCUAUCCUUAAGCCAUCCAGCCACCUUCAGCAGGCAAUGCCGAUGUCACCACGACCAUACUUCUCUUGUUUACGGCGCUCGACGUUGUUGUGGCUGCCGUGGCUAGACAAAUUUAGAUUAGCCAAAUAUCAAAUACCUUUUUCUUGAGUUUUAGUGUGGUUUAAGCCUAAAUUUGCACUAUUAAAAUUUGAAAUUAGCCAAAUAAUUGGUUAGGGUUUUGCUAGCUCAGGAUUUGACGAAUUUUAAUAUAAAAUUAAAAUAAAGUUGUCUUACAAUAUUGGGCUGGCAAAUACUCCAUCUAAAACAAGGAGGGGACUAGGCAGCGGCGUGCCCUACCUAAAUGAAGCUAGAGGUGGUAUGGCCACGCCCAUAUGCCCUACGCGUUGGCAUGCUUACGAAUUCCCCUUUUUGUUUGCGAAUCCCUGUUUGUAUCCUUUGAGUGCACGCCCAUAAAUAGUGAUCAAAUCAAGCUUGGUGCUGCUGUGGUGUGGCGCUUGGUAAUGCUUCUCGUCAACCUUCCCAGUACCAGAUUCCAGGCUCGGUCGAGGUGGACCUUGGUUCCUCUUCGGUUUCAGCUGAGCUCCAUCUUGUUGUCUGCGUAGAUGGAGGUAUUGCUAUUUGCUUCAAUCGGUUUAGCACUGAAACUGAUCUUCAAGAAGAGUUCUCCGAGAAGCACCACAUGAUAGCUACCUCUGUCAUAUAUCCUUUGGAGCAAGAUGCUGUUGGGGAUGAGUAUUAUUCCAGUUGGUGUUCCAAUUGCAUUAUGAUUUCAAGGCAAGACGAUGAACAUGCAAUAGACGAUGAGCCUCAUCCAUCCGAGUUGAUUCACCAAUGGCAGAUGAGAGCGCCAUUGUCGAUGAUCCUUAGGUUUGAUGGAAGAGAUUGCAAUUUGGGCUCGGUGAAACUCCCUACUGAUCUACAACCCACCAAUUGUCCUGAACCUCAAGUGCUAUUGCCCGCACGAUUGCUGGGAGAGCCGCCGGUUCUACGGCUGGCACGCACAUGGGAGGUCCCCGAAGGAUGCUGUUGUGGUUGUGCGCCAGAUUUCUCACCUGGGCUGCCAUCAGGCUCCGGCAGUUGUCUUUUUCGUCUUCUGUAUGUUUGUUGUUCUUUUUGGUCUCAUGUAGUGCAAAAUGACUACGCUCUCCGUUUCAUAAUUUUUGUUGAAACAUUACAUGUAUCUAGACACUUUUUAGGAAUAGAUACAUCCAUUUUAAGACAAAUUUGAGACAAAAAUUAUGGAACUGAAGGAGUACUUUGUAAUCCCCUUUGUUGGUGUUAAAUAUAUUUCUAGCUUAUGCUUUCAAAUUUGUUUUGGCUUUUUUAGAUGAGUUACAUUUUGGCAUGCAACAAAACACUCCUUCUGACAACCUACGUUUCCCCCGUUCCGCUCUCGAGUCUCGACCAUUUUCUGCCCGCCCUUAACCCUAAACCCCUCGACCCUCGCCGCCGGCGAUCACUGUUCCCGACAGUUGCGGCCAUGUUCGGGACUCCCAGCUCAUCCCCCCUCUUCGGGACGCCCUCCUCUGCGCCCUCCUUUGGAACUCCCUCCACCACCCCUGCCUUUGGUGCCGCUUUCUCCGCGCCGGCAUUCGGCACGCCAUCGUCCACCCCCGCCUUCGGCACCCCAUCGUCUACUCCCGCGUUCGGUACGCCGUCCUCGACCCCGGCAUUCGGCGCGCCCUCUUCCACGCCGGCGUUUUGGACGCCCUCUUCGACCUCGGCGUUUGGCACGCCCUCAUCGACGCCGGCGUUCGGAGCGGCGCCAUCGCCAUCGCCGUCCCCGUUUGGGUUCCAGCAGCAGGCGACGCCGUCCCCUUCCCCUUUUGGGUUUGCCGGCGGGGGCGGCGGGCAGAUAACCACCCAGAUGGCCCCAGUUGCGCCGCUGCCGCUCUCCCCCUCCGACCGCGACAUCCAGGUCCGCAACCCUAUUAGAAACCUUGGCCUUCUUGAACGGCUUUAGGAACGAACGAUUCGAAAUGUUGGUAAUUUUUGAGUGCUUGUAGGCUAUUGUGGAUGCGUAUAAGGAGGACCCAGGCAACCCUCGUUAUGCUUUCAGGGUGAGAUAUAUCUCCUAGCAACUUGGCUAUUUCUGUUGUAAGGGAUUGUGGUUAAUACAACUUGGUUGACGUUUUUUGUCUGUAUUGAUGGCAGCAUCUGUUGUUUAGCGUGACAGACCCUUCACAAAGGGUGAAGCCAGUAGCAGCAUCUGAUGUGCGUUCUUGGAUGAAUUAUCUCAAUCAGUUUGUAUACUGUCUAUUUUGUGGUGCUGUUCCUGGAGAUCAUAAUGUGUUUUUAUUAAUUGUGGAUGUAGAUCAUGUGGGCAGAAGCGAUGGGGAAGCUUGAGUGCAUGGAUAGUGCAGAUAGGGAGAGGCUGUGGCCUCAACUUGUGCAGGGGUUUAAAGACCUGUCCGGUCGGCUUAAGGUAUACAAGUAGUGGGAUUAGGUGCCUCUUUAUGAAUGUGAUGAAUUUCUUUUCUAUGAUAAAUCACUGAUUUGUACACCCGCAAUAUGUAUGUAUAUAGUACCUACGCAAGUAGUUAGCAGUGAAAUUGAUCUGAAAUGCUGCAUGAACUUUCUAACUCAGCUUUGCUCUGCAUGUAUUUUCUUACUCAAUGCAAGCAAGUCUGUCAAAAAAAUUAGGAACAUUAAUUAAUUUUGUUUCCUGGCACAGUAAUAACUUGCAAAAGGUAACAUGCCGCAUUCAGAGGUUUAAAAUUGUAGCUAGGUUACUCAUCUAGUUUAAUUAUAGUUGAAUGUGCAUGUUUGAUAGAACAAAAGCUCAAUUCAAAUUUGUUGUCAUCUAUGCCCACAUAGUUGGAAUUAUUCUGUAAAAUUCUUGAUUUUUCUCAGUCGGCAAGUACGCCAAAACACAAAAUAUAGAGCCAAAAGUAUCUAUCACUCUACUAAAGUCAACAAAAAGGAAUUCCUUUUAUUGUGAUGCUGUCCAUGAUAACUCUGUUACCCUCCAUGAAUUGUGCGGAGAACUAAUGGCCUGACUGAAUGCAUCUUGCACGUUAUGCAUGUAUAUGUGUCUGAUACACCAUCAUGUAUCUGGACUCCUAAUUUGUUGCUCAAAUUUGAAGUUUCAUUUAGUUAACAUCAGAAUUUCAUCCAAAAGCAUCUAACAUUGUACUAUAAAAGUUAAGAAAAGGGAGUUUGGUUUAUUUAAUAAUGUCUGAUUCUGUGGUGCCCUCCUUGAUUUGUAUGUGCAGUUAAUAGUCCGAAUAAAAAUAAUGACUAUGUAUGCAUCUUCCACAUUAUUCUUGUAUGCAUUUUGAUAAACCCUUCCGUAUUUUUCUUGUAGACAUUUUGAUAAACCUUCAUGUAUUUGCACUAUUAAUUUAUUACACUAAUUUGAAUGGCCGUUAUGGCAACAUCAAAUUUCAUAAUGAUGUCUUACCUGUGUACAAAGAAUAAUAGAUGCGUACGUUAUAAAACUUAUGAUUUAAAAUAUAUAAUAUCUAGCAUUUGGUACUCCAGUGAAUAGCAGUUGGAUAUUUGCCGUUCCUGUGUCAGUGACAUGUGACCCUAGGACCUGCAUGUCAGUGAUGGGUGGCAAUACUGUUCUUUAGAGUGGAAAAAUAUUCCAUUUUCCUUCAAUAUUUUUAAUUUUUCUGUACUUCAAAUUAAAAUUGUCAUUUACUGCAUAAAACUUCCUUCCAAAUGUCAAAUGAAUUUGAUUUAAUCUUUCUGCUCCAUUCCAUGGUUGAAUCAGAUGACUAUAUCUGGUGUGUUGACCAGCCACAAGCCUAUAACUGCUAAUUGGAUGCAAUCUAUAUAAAUUUAUGUUGCUAACCGAUUACUGAUCAUGCUAAGGUGUCAAUUAUUUUAAACCAAAAUUCAGAUGAACAUCAUGUAUGGUUCAAUACCUCUCCAAUGAUAUUGAUGUUGAGUUUACCAAAAUUAUUUCAAACAAUCAGCACCCCUGGUCAUAUCGGCGAGCAUAUCAGGUGGAAUGCAUUCUGUGAAAAUUUUGAGAGCUCCAUGAUAAUCACACUCUGGUGGAAUGCAUUUUUGUGGAAAUUUUGAGAACUCCAUGUUCAUCACAUGUAAUGAAAAUUCAAAAAGUCCAUGAUAAUCCUUAUUUUUCAUGAUUAUUAUUUCAAAUGUUUGGUACAAUAUUGACCACUUAAAGUCAGAUGCAAAAACAGGUUGUUCUUGCUCAUCCAUCGGUGCAUCACCUAUACCCCCCUGCCCCCAAAGUAGUUAAUCUUUCAAUGUAGUAAAAGCAACUCAAAUAAUACACGGGGGUUAGAAAUUUCUGUUUUCUCAACUGUCUGAUGACUUCAUUAGUUUGUUACUCAUGUGACUUGUCAAACCAGGUGUGGCCUACUCUGUAUUUCAACAAUUCAACUCUUCACCUGAUGUUCUAUAAUUCUGCUAUAAUAUGUAGAGUGUCAGUUAAAUAUUUGACCAAAAUGGAACUUGUGAUGCCAUCCUGAAUGAGUUCACUGACAUGAAAUGUUGCUGGGCUCAUAAUACCAGAUAUGCAAUUGCAAAUAACCUGUCUUACCUACCGAUUCCGUAAUUUAUUAGAGUUUAUUAAAUCUUCUUUAGACGUGUAGUAUGUAUUCAGAUGUACAGGGUAUUCUCCUGCAAUUCAGCAAUUGACAGAUGUAACAUGUCAUUUUGCUGCAUGCCUGGUUGUAUGGUGUUGUCCUUUCUACCCUCAUCUCCAUUUAUUCCUUUUCUUAAUUUUUUGCUUUGUGUACUUGUCCCAAAAAGAAUAAUAGUUAAAAUAUUUAUCUCCCAGUAAUAUUGUUGUCAAGUUAAUGUGUUUCUCUACAAUAGUUCACAAUUUCAAUUGUUGACAGAAAUACAUUGACCCAAUCUAUCCACUUCGUUGUUCUUGUUCUUUCUCUUUGCAGCUUCAAGAUGAAGUUCUUGUUUCAGAUACUGAAAGAUUGAGCAUGACCCACUCCAAUGUCAAAAAGGUAUAAUCAUCUAGCAGCAUUUUCAUUUGGUUGUCCAGGAAUCAUUUAUUUACAUAACAAGGUUUUGAUUAUAGCUGCAAAGACAUUUCCAAGCUGACACCUAUCCGUGGAUCCAACGGUUGAAACAUCAAGAGCUGGUUAUUGAGAGGCGCCUCCUAAGGGUGAUAUUUCUUGUCCAUGUUUCAUAACAAAAAAUGAUGGCAAAUGGCAAUUCAUAUUCAUGCCUAUGUAACUACUAACAUUUAUGUUGCUGUGAACUCAUAAUAAAGAUCAUGAGAAUAGUGGAAGCGCUGGAGAAUAGGGGCUGCCGUGUUCCAUUAACGAAGGAAGAAGCUGAUCUAUAUGAAAGAUUGAUUGCUAUAACAAAACAGGUUAAUUUUCUUUAGCCCUCAUAUUAUUUCUGCAUUUUGGCUGAUUAUGUGUUCCAUUUAUUUGAAUCUUGUGUACACAGAUAAAAGGAACCGGUGGCGAUCUUUCGAGGAGAACUUAUAAUCUUCUUUCAGUUUCACGCCUUCUUGCAAGCACCGGUGGAGCUAGUGGGCCCACCUAUAUCCCAAGUUCGGCGAAGGUAGAUGAACAGAGUGUUACUGAACUUCUUGAGGUAGGGCCUUGGGCUUUUUAAUCCUCUUUGUCCAUUUUAUUUUUGAUGGCGUCAAGCUGAGAAUGUGUAAUUAUGCAAAACAGGCCUUGCAGCAACAAACGGAAGCAGUUGCCAAGUUGGGUAAUGUGUUAAAAAGGGAUACCAGGGAUGUCGAAAUCGUACUUUCAGAAGUGGUGGAUAUGGCAGAAGAUAGUGUUGGGAGGAGGGUAUUGAAGAUGUAAAACUGAAGUAAGGUCUUCAGUUUAGGUACAAAUAAGCAGAAGGUGAUCCUUCAUAUUAUCAAAGGUCAGAGCCUCCAAUGUCCCCUUGAAUAGAGAUCCUUUAAUGAUUGGAAUGUGUUCUCUGCGGUCUAGAUGAACUUCGAGCUUAACUGUUACUGUAGUGAAGGCAAAAUGAAAAAUUAUUUUGACACUUUGUUUUGGAUGGGUAAAUUGUGUUUUGGAUAGUUGGAUGGGCACCUAUUGAUGGCUCUGUUAAGGGUGAUAACCUUCACAUACCCUUUAACAGGUUCAAGAACUGAUCUCGAUUUGCUCUUAACCAUAUUGUUGCCUCAUCGAAAACCAUAUACCAAUUGUUGUGCCUUCGUAACUUUUUCUAUGAGAUUGAUUAUCAUGUAACAACAUUUAGCUGCUUUGGAUAUUUUUAUUGUAUCGUUGUAGCAUGAUGUUGAGCAAUAUCAGUGACUUGCAAUAGUUUGGAUAUUUUUAUUGUAUCGUUGUAGCCUGUUGUUGAGCAAUAUCAGUGACUUGCAGUAGUACUGUUCUCAUAUGUGAUUUCUUUGGUCGUGGAGAUUCGUUCGGAUAUCGGGAAUCACUAAACACAGAUUUAAUCCAGGUUUAGAUCCUACGCCUGCGGUCCUGCUUGAAUUAGAUUAUCUUGGUUUAGAAAGUACAAUUGUGUUUAUGGGUGCAUCCGGCAAGUUGGGGAACAACUUGAUUAGGGUCUAAGGGCAUCCGCAGUAGUAGAGUCCGUACUGACUCUCCACAUCAUUUAGAGUCAGCGAGUCAGCGGUAAAAUAAAACAUGCAAUGUCUUGUGUCUUUAAACUGAUCCUAGAUAAUUUGUUAGCAUUAAAUGUGAUGUUGUGCAAUGGUUAAAAGGUCGACUCUUAGCUGUCGAUUCUUUCCUUAAGAGUUUUGACUCUCAAUUCUCUUUUUUCUCCUAUUUCUCUUUUCCUCCAAACAAGCAAAAUUUAAAUAAAAAUUGGUUAAUAGUCGGCCAUUGCGGAUGCUCUAAGCAUUAUAAUUAGCUUUUGUGGCUCUUUGGUUGGUUAUCUUGUCCUGUUGCAGGGCCUCGGCCUCCUUUUUUUUUUUAAACAAUAUAAUUAUCAGGCAGACCCACCAAUUACAAUCAAAAGAAGGAAGUGAAUAAUCACCUUGCUUACAAGACCCCUUAGCAGCUUGCCUAACCAAUAGCUCCUUAGUCGAUCCCCUGACCGAGCAAGACCAUGUGUCCACUAACUAAUGUAUACACCUCCCGGGCACCCUCCAGGAGAAGUAAUCCGUGUUCCCGACGGCGAUGCGCGCCUUGUAGGUCUUCCAAUCCUGGAGCACGUUCUUGAGAUCAAACAGCUUGUUCUCCAGCCCCACACAGCAGUUGGCGUGCAUGGUGCAGAUCUUGCCCAGAUCCUUGCCGUGCUGGCAGAAGCCUCCGAAGUUGCUGGUGUCCAGGAACUGCACCUUGGUGCCAAGGUGAGCGGGGACUCCUUCCUUGACGAUCUUGUCAAACACGUACUGCUCAUGCAUCCCUGGGAACCGCGCCCGCGACGACUGCCAGUGCUUGUAGAAGCCGAUGGAACCUUCGCAGGACUUGACGUAGAGCAGGCCACCGUUGGGGUAAUUCCCGGCCGAGUUCGGGUCACCGACAAAGAAGUCCGAUGACAUCACAAGCUGUGCCGUCGGGGAUAUGUGCGGGAACGGGUCCCGGAACCACAGGAUGUCCACGUCCUGUAACAAACAAUUCAGUUAAAAAAAUGGGCAGGUCAAAACUCAAGAAAUUACAUUACAUUACAUUACAUGGAAUAAAUCUGGAGGAAUUAGUUUCAUUUAUUUCAUUAGACUUACGGUGAAAAGGAAGGUGUAUCCUAGCUCAAGGAUGGUCUGCUGGAACCUGUUCCUCUUCCACAUCAUCUCGAGGUAGUCGCCCUUCAUGUACUUCUGCUCAGAGGCGAAGUCCAUGCCUUCCACUCUGAACCAGUAGCAAAAUGGGUGCACGGCGUUGCAACGGUCGAAGGCCUUCUUGUCCAUGGCCACAACCAGCAGGUGCUUCACCAAGUAUGCCGUGUUCUCGCCGUGCUGGAAGCUCUCCAGGAACAGGUCCAGGAAUGACCCCGGCGCUGCCCAUGCCUCGUUGAGCGCCGUUAUCAGGACCGUCCGGUCUGCCGUGGACGCUCGCUGGAGCAGAUCGGCAAGAUCUUGAGGCUUGUCCUCCUGUUCAUUCAAACAUUUUCAUUUGCUGCUUAGUUUUGCGUGUAAUGUUAUUUUUGACAGAUCCGACAGAAAGACAGGAAAUUUUAAAGUCCAAAACCCUGUAAUCGUGCACACAAGAAGCAGGCUAUCGUUUGUGAUCAACUGUAUUUAACUAGGUAAUAAGAAUACCACUCACUGAUAGCGUCCUUAUAUACAAUGAUACAACUGGCUAGCUAAGCUGGCCAUGUUAAAUUGUUUGAUGCCGCCGUUUCCGUUGGCACACAUGUUUUGGAUACCUUUCACAUGGGGGCCGAUCACAUUCUUGUCAAGGCCAGAAUGCUACCGCAGCUAAAAUAAUUCUCGCAGAUGUUUGAUGUUUCAUAUCAUAUAGCCAGUCCUAACGCGUCUCUGAGGUCAUAAAUUUAAUGCAUAUGGUUCUGUUAAGCAGUGAUGAAGGAAGGUGCUCGGUGUUGUUUAUAUAAAAAGUAUGCUUCUAUUUUUAGUGAUACUUCUUCAAUUCUCCCGAAUCUUCCACUGAUGCCUUUGGUUAAAAAUCAUACAGGUCAAACAGACUUAAAGGGGGCCAACCUGAUCUAGUUCUGGAAUCACCAAUAGGAUUAAGAACGAUCGCUUUAGGUUGCUGAGGAUCUCUUCAUCUUAUAAACCACAGAAAGGUUGAUUCUUCAGGCUGGCAAACCACAGAAAGUUGCCUUACCCAUGUAGUGACUAUCAAAUUUCACUAGGCGGGCAAAGCUAUCACUGCUGUUCAACCAGUCAUAAGCCUUCCCAUUUAAAGUUUUAAACUUCUUCUAUCAGAUCCUUGGCCCCUCUUUGUUGGUUUGAAUACUUUACAUGUUAAAAAUUACAGUUAAAAUUGAUAUGCACAAUCUAAUUAAAUUCAGUAUAUUUUACUUAGCAUUGGCUGCUAAUCCUACGCUUAGGGUGCUUCUAUCUUUUUUAUCUUAGCAGUUAGCACUUAAUCUCACAUUGUUUCGUAUAACACCGAUACUAAGCAAAUUUCUCUCAGUUUUAGCAUGUGUUUAACAUCCAGAGAUGCGAAUGCGCACAGAAGACGUCAAUUUUUUGUCACAUAACUAGCAAUAUUAAAUUCUCUCAAAAGAAAAAAAAAGAUAAAUAGUUACUUUUUCUAAGCGACACUUAUUAUGGAUCUGAGAGAGCAUACAUGAAAAUACGUAUUAAACAUAAAUCAAAGCACAAAUUCGUAGUUUUUAACUUUUCCUGAGCAAGACCAAGAAGACAAAGACAAACCUGUUGCUGGGUUGCAGGCAUCACAAUCUGCUGCUCUGGCAUUUGCUCGUCUCUGCCGCUGCUAACCACAUCCUUCCUCUCCUCCUCCUCCUCCCACUUGGCGACCGCUUGCUUCUUAGCUGCAGCCCUGACGCUAUCCUCCACCUUCUCCUGCGUCCACCGCGGCGGCGUCGACCUGGCCGGCCCCUCGCCGAGGCCGCGGCGCACGGAGGUGUAGAACAGGAAGAAGGCCGUCGCGAGCGCCGCGCCGAGGAGGAGGGAGGUCGCCGACUUCGUCAUUGACCGAGAAGCACGUACGCGACGUCUGGGGACGCCCACGCGAUUGCCAAGUGAUCGGAGCAAGAAGCUAGACGGACGAUGCUCUAUCUAUGGCUGUGCAUCCAUAAGGUGCUGGUGCUUGUGCUGGCCGGGGGGGCACGUGCGAGGAACCUUGAUAGCAAGCGCAGCGGGGCGGAGGAGAGCGAGAGAGGGAGAGAAUAAUUGAGAAGAAGGUCGUUGAUCGGGUUGCUUGCGAGGCCAAUUGUCGUGGAGAGGGAGCGGGGAGGCUGCGUGUGGGAGUGGUCGACUUGGUCACUUGGGUGGGUUUGUGCAGCUGUCCGUACCGGCCAGUAGAAAAUGUCAUAGUAGGUGAGCCUGCGUGGCCGUCUAUUCCAUGGUUUGGUGACGCUAUUGCGGAGACCCGGCCGCAGGCCCACCAGUGAAAGCUGGGAAGUCAGUUUCAAAACGCUACUGUAUCUUUUUCAAAGUUCCUUCAGUAGAGGAGUAUUCGAGUACUCCUGCCGCCCAAACAACCGGGCAACCUCUCGGAAUUAAUCAACCUUAAAUUAGACGCGUUUUUUAUCGAGGAACCAAAGCUACUACUUUUGGAGCAUAGCAAAGUAUAAGCCCGUGAUCGGAAGGCAUUGUCUCGUCCUUCUCCUCUUCGCACUUUUCCAUUUUGAGCACAAUCUGCCACUCCUACGUACGUACUCCCUAUUAGUCUCCAUCUCAUCAAUCGCACACUCGUUGCCAGUUAUAGUUACCAAUGUCUAUGCCCGAUCUGAUCACUAAUUCAAGGAAAUGGUGUUUUCCUACUAGAGUUAGGCCAAAUUGGCUACUGGGAGGACACUUCAACACCUCAAUGAAUCAAUAAACAGUCAUCUUUUGAAUAUCACUCCUAAAUUAGAGCGUCUCGACUAGGUUUUCAUUAACCUAGCUUUGAGAAGAUCUCUCCCUCUACGUUUCAUCUAUUACCAUUUUUCCAUGUAGCUGCAUCUCAGUACCUCAGGAAAAAAAAAAUUCACCAAUGAGGACAGUUCCAUGUGGUCCUUAGGGCGUCUCCAAUGUAGACCGAAACUGGGUCUCAAGUACCAAACCAAUUCUUAAGGUUCGGUCUUAUACAUUAUAGCACGGAUCUUAAGAAUCUUAAGACCGGGCCUAAAGGGGGCCAUUCACACAUACCAUCAUGCCGCUUCCGAUGUGCUUGCCGUAGCCCGUCCAAUGCCUCGUGCAGUCGCAACACCUUACGUUCCGCUCCCCCUUCGACGAAACUUGGAGGUUGUUGUACAUAUAUUUCUUCUUGUAGGUCACCGUUCAAGAACGCUGAUUUCACAUCCAUAUGAUGCAGCUUCCAGGAUUCUUGAGCGGCCAAAGCAAUCAACAACCGUACCGAUUCCAUCCUUGCGACUGGAGCAAACACUUCCUCAAAAUCAACGCCUUGUUGCUGCACAUAGCCCUUUGCUACCAAGCAUGCUUUGUGCUUCACCACGUUGCCAUUGGAGUCUUUCUUCCCUUUCACUCGCUUCGACAACUUGGCCAAAAGGACAUGGUGGUUGGAAUACCGACGGUGGAUCAUGUUGAACAAGUGUGCGAUGGCUGCCUAGUAGGGAAGCAACGGCGAGCGCUGUUUCCCAGAGAAGCAAAGUACCGGGCAGAAAAGGUAUUAGAUUUGUUUCACGGUGAUCUGUGUGGCCCAGAUUCACCUGCAACCCUAGCCGGCAAUCGCUAUUUUCUACUCGUGGUAGAUGACUACAGUCGGUACAUGUGGGUUGUGUUGCUUAAAACGAAAGAUCAAGCAUUUCAAGCAUUCAAGAAGAUCAAGAUUGCUGCUGAAGUAGAAGCAGAGGCAAAGUUAAAGGCUUUCUGGACUGACCGAGGAGGAGAAUUUAUCUCACAUGAGUUUGCUGCAUAUUGCGAGGAACAUAGCAUGAAGCGUUUUCUGACAGCCCCAUACACACCGCAGCAAAACGGUGUUGUUGAAAGAAGGAACCAAACCGUGAUAGCAAUGGCUCGAAGCAUGAUGAAGAGCAAAGGCUUGCCGGGGAGGUUUUGGGGAGAAGCGGUGACUACAGCGGUAUACUUGCUAAACCAUGCACCGACGAAAAGUGUCAUUGGCAUGACACCCUAUGAAGCUUGGUGUGGAAGAAAACCUUCGGCCGAUCACCUUCGUACUUUUGGGUGCAUGGCACAUGUAAAGAAUGUUUCUGGACAUGUGGAAAAGCUGGAAGACCGGAGUAAGCCGAUGAUCUUGAUGGGUUAUGAAGCAGGCUUGAAGGGCACUCGAAGGCUUAUCGUGUGUACGAUCCACAAACAAGACAAGUUCACGUGGCACGCGACGUCGUCUUUGAAGAAGAGAGGGCAUGGGAUUGGUCCUCAAACAAAGAUGAGAAUCAACAAAAUUCGGAUGAUAUGUUUGUUGUAUCUUACCCUGUCCCUGAGCAUGCAGGUCAUAACCAAGGAUGUGGAGAUGGCCACGACCAUGACUGUCGUGGCGGAGAUUCACCAGGAACGUCGCCGGGCCGCGGCGCUACACCAGUGUUCAGCUUCAGUAGAGCACCGGCCUCAUUCUCUGCCGCGGCAGGUUAUUGCGGCAGAAAUCCUCUCCACCGAAACCAUAGUUUUCCUUGCUUGAUUGCGUGUAAGGGCUCGCGCUAAGUUGUAGAAACUAGGUCUGAUCUAACAACUGCUGAGGGAGUCUGACGCCCGCAUUGGCAUCAAACUCAUAUGUAUCAUCGCUAGCAUAUUUGUUGCUAGUGGUCAGAGCCAUGCUUGGUCCCGACAAAAGGGUUAUAUGUGUACUAGAGAGUUUCUCAAUCUUGCUAGCCUAGAAAAAUUUCUGCACCCUCGUCACCGAUGACGCAAGCCUAUUCUUCGAACUAGUCAUGAAUGGAUCAAUUACUUGUGGUGCCGGAAGCACUCAAGGAGCUCAUAGGGAACAUCGAGAAUGAGAACGGAGCUAAGUAAAGUUCAAGGGGAGCAGAAGAUAUAAACCCACUGACGGUGGUCUGGUCCCUUUAUACGUAAAAGGUCCACACUGUUCAGAUCAUGUUAAUAAAAGCAUAAAUCAAGGGGCGUCCCGCUUGCCUCCGCAUAGUUGAGAGAAGUGAAAUAACUCAAAUAGGUAGUGAACAUUGGAAAGAUUUGUUCACAUCACAUCCGCAAAAUCCAUUGGUACCGUUGUGGUCGAAGUUCGAGUUCACGAGUUGGCCAAGCGGGUUGCGAGUAUAAGCUUCGUUAUUAAAUUCGACGCAACCAUUGAUCUACCCUGGGGCAGAUGCUAAAGCCCUCUAGCCGCCACUCGACCCCGGAGUUCACAACAAAGAGGAAGAGAACGUGGCCAGAAGUUCCUCCACAGGUUACCAGCACCAUACCGAGACGAUUCAACUUGCCUCAAAUAUGUUUUAUGACUUAGCUUUUGUCACGACUGCUUUGUGGAGGCUGAUAGGAGAAUUGUUAGGGAAUAGUUAUAGCACCAUACAACUAUGCAGUAUGUGCGUUGUAACAAGGCCUAGUGGGCCUAGGAGUGCACAAAUCCUGAAACGGGCCAUAAGGGGAUGCACGGACCUAGUCGAAUACCAGGGGCCUGAAAGAAACCUCGCGAGUUACUUGGAAAUGAAUAACACAUGUUCUACCCGUACACCACCAUGAUACUUGCCCGGCGCAUCAUGUAGUUCUACUCGGAUACAAAGAUGCAAUUGCCAUACUGUGUAUAUAUAUAACAAAGCAGAGAGAGAGAGAGAGGUAUUCGAGGAGUGCAAAAUCCUAAUCCGCCAAGUUCCCUAGACUCACCGGGUGCCCCACCACACCACCCCUGCCCACGCGUUGUAAACACCAUUAUAGUUUGUAAUCCCCAUAUUAUAGAAUCAAGACAGGAGUAGUACUAUUACCCAAUCCAAGGGGUCCAAACCUAGGUAAAUAUGAAUGUUCGAUCCGUCAGUACCCUAGACGUAUCCCAACAUCAAUAUAAGUCAUGUACAGCAACCAUAUCGAUAGGAGGCUACGAUAUUUCAUCCGCCGACUAUAUAUUUGAAAUGGCAAUUGUUCCAUGGAACUGAAGAACACUGGAAAGACCGAAGAUGAACAUGUGUGUGCCAGAUAAGCAUCUGAUGCAACACAACAGGUUGCAACUACAGAAUUCUAACCAUUCCUAAACAAACUACGCACUUCGCUACUCUAGAAAACCGGACAGUGAUCUGAUACCUACAAAAUACAACUAUCAGAGAUCUAGAGAAGUUAUACUGGUGACACUGGCAAUGAGACGAAAGAAAUGAGGACAUUGUAGCUAGCAACCAGGAUUGGUGUCGGCAACAGUAUGUGCAGAACAUAACGGCAGGAACAAGUCCGUACUUCCAUCAGAACAAGUCGUUUCACUUGGUACCAUUCUCCCAUUCAUCCCGAUAAAUAAAUAAUCGGCACGGAUGUCUGAAUUUUCUAUCUAUCAUAUAAAAUGAAGCACCAUACUCCCAUCAGGACAAGCGAUUGAAGUAGUUAGAUAGCAACUACUACUAGGCAAGCGCGAGAGUGGAGAGAAGCUUGAUGCACUGGCUCUAGCUCUAGCACCUCUCAAGCCAGACAACGUUCCAGGGAUGCUGGUUUGACGUCGGAUGUCUGUGUGCGUGUUGGCACAUGCGAGUAUGGAAUGGAGCCCCCGGACAAUAUGCCGACCUACUUAAGCAUCAGACGCCAGAUGACAGCCUCAGAAUUCUUCGUCCUGAGCACCGGCGCUGCUUCGCAAGAUGCUGCCACUUGACACUGAUGGCCAUGCGAGGCACAGUCGCCAGGAUGGUUGCAGCAAGGCACAGUCGCAAUAUGCCCAUGUUUUUUUUUUGACCGGGCGGGCCCAUGUUCGUCGGUGGAAACCUGGUAAAUCGACUCUACAAGAAUCAGAUUUGAUCACAUCCCCUGGAGACAAGAGGAUUAAACAAAGAGAGAUCUCCCUUCUUCAUUUCCUUCCCCUCUUUUUACCAGUGGCAUGACACUGUGCAAAGCCACAUACCGCCUCCUCCUCCAUCAAUGCCACCUGUAGAAUCUCUCCUGCCACCGUUGUACCCCAAUCCGUUGCCACGAAAAGACAUCCUCGCUCCUGCACAAGGUGACAAGGAACGCCAUGAGGAGAUCCGAAGUGUGAGGUCCAAACCGUAGCAGGCUAGGGAUUCAAUCCUCACAGCGACAGCACAGGUAAUUUUAGGAAUCUACAAAGAAAAAAAGGCAUAGUUAUAAGCUACGAUAGAUAUGAUUUUUCCUUCUUGAUUUCCGUUACUGAUCGAGUAGGUGUAUAUACCCAGGAGGAGUUUUGCAGUGUCUGAGAGUUACAAUGUAUAAUAAAGAACCAAUGGCUAAUUGGUACAAUAAGAGAUGGAAGUAAAAAAGUAGUUGGGACACGCUUCCAUCCAGUCCAUCCAUCUUGACUUAAGUUUACCGCUCGCAUCUCAGCCGUCUCUUCUCUGAACUUCACACCGACACCAGUGCUCUCAUCAGUUCUUCAGAUAAUGGAUACUUGGGAUCCUGACAUGAAGGCGGUUGGGAAUAGAAAGCAGGGAUCAGGGAGGAAUGGUUGCCGUGAACUACCCAGGAGGCAGUGCAUACAAGCCCGAAUGUCACGGGAGGGGAACAGAGUAUGGUCUUGCUUUCAUGUAAAUCAUUUGCUUGUGAUCUGACGGCUGAGGAGAGAGGGGGAUGGGACACAAAACGUAGAGAAAUGGUUGUAUACCUAACAAUGCAGACAUGUCACUCGGAACAUUAAAGUAUACACAACGAUGGAAACGAUAUGACAAAGUGGAAUGUGCACAUCACAAGCAUGAUUCAUCUGGAAUUACUAAGCAGCAAACGUCACAGUUAGGGAGAAUAAAUGGCAUCUAUAUUAAGUUACAAAUAAUGAUAUAGAACUCUUGUCCAAGAAUGAUUCGCCUGCAGAACCUAAUGGUAAAUAUGUAAUGGUCUCACUAUGUUCUGUGAAAGCUGGAUCCCAUUUGAGCUAAGGGCCAGUUUUGCGAUGUCCAGGAGAGGAAUUGCAUGUCAAUGGAAGCCCAUUCGCCAUGUACAAAAUCCCGUAUAAUUUUCUACACAUAGUAUGCAUAAAUUUAUGUAACAUGCAAAUUCAUUGUUGAUAUCAAAGUGGAAGUUGACAGACUUAUCAACAAUACAAGAUUGACUGCUCGUCGUUUUAUUCUUGAUAUCAGGGACAAAUUUGAUAUUACAAUUUAGCAUGUUUAUGCAACUCUAUGUACCACAUCCAUGAAUUUUGUAAGUAUUUUUUGGAAAAUUUAUAUCAUGGAUUUUAUAAUGGGCAUGCAGGUUCUACUUGACAUAAAUAUUCGUUCCAUGUGACAAAUUUCUGUUGCAGCACCACCAAACAGGUCGUUAAUCAAAUAAUUAAUGCAUCCCUUUUGAAAACUUCUUCCUUCGGAUAUUCAUAUGAUCAUUGGUUAAAUCAAACAAGAGGACGCACAGGAAGAUGUUACCAUCGAAAGUCUUCUUUUUUUGGUGAGCAAAAGCUUGGACCUGACGAUGUUGCCUCAAAAUAGCAUCUGCUGCAUGCUAUUAAAUUAAGGGGAGCCAAUAACACCAUGGAUGGAAAAUCACUGUAAGCAACACUUUCCGAGAGAAGUAACACUUUUGAGGAAUAGACAUAAGCAGAGUGCUUCGUGAAGGCCAAUACAGCAUAGAUGUCUUGCGCAGCAUAUAUUGAGGAGUCCAUGUUCCAGGACCUUUCUCCUGUAGACUAUUUAUAAUAUAUGUGCUGCUUCUUUGUGUUAUAACCUCCAUGCUUCGUUUGCAACCUCAUUUUAGACUAGAGAUCCUUAAUGAACUCCAUGAUUCCCUCUUGUUCUGUUUCUACUGGGUUUAAUCUGCGAGUUCCUCUACUAUGUCUAGAUCACUGCAAUUACCGAUAUUCCUCAUUUGCUCUGAUAGUUCAUCCAAAACCUCAUAGAUCUCUGGUGCUAGAGGGUUCGACCUAUCUCCAACCAAAAAAGGGGCAAACCCAUUGCGAAGAUCAACCCAUGCCAACCCAGGUGCUUUUGUGACACCCAAGUCUCGCAUCAGUUUCCUGACUGUUGCUAGCUCAUCCCAGCAACCUGCGGCUGCAUACAUGUUCGCAAUCAGAACAUAGUGCCCAGCAUUCUCUGUCUUCAUCUCCAAGAGCCUCCUAGCUGCCCUUUCACCAAUUAUUAUGUUGCCUCUGUCAUGACAAGCCCCGACUAGUGCUGCCCACAUCAUGGAUGUUGGAGGGGAAGAGCUCUCAUUGAGCAUUCCUUCUGCCUUUUCUAGUAGUCCAGAACGUGCAUAUAAAUCAACCAUGCAAGAAUAAUGCUCCAUCUGAGGCUUGAUACCAUAUGAACUCGUCAUCUUGUCAAAAAGUUUUUCUCCUUCAGUCACAAGUCCAGAGUGACUACAAGCAGAGAGUACAGUAACCAUGCUUAUGUGGUCAGGCUUGAUCCCACUAUCAAUCAUCUGGUCAAAAAGCCGUAGUGCAAUUGUUCCUUUCCCUUGCAUCCCAUAUCCUGCUAUCAUCGAAGUGUACGAUAUCAUAUCACGGUCAUCCAUGGUAUCAAAGACAUUUUGUGCUACUGAGAGCCUCCCUGAUUUGGAGUACAUGUCAAUAAGAGAGUUCCAUAACAAGCGAUACCCUUUGAAUCCAUUCUUAACAAUGUGGCUGUGAAGCUCCUGCCCAUGUUGCAGGUUUGCAACACGGGCACAGAGAGCAAGAAGGGUUACAACAGUAACAUAAUUAGGCUGUACACCUGCGCCGACCAUUUCAUGAACAAGUCUAGAGGCCUCUUCUGCCUCAUCUGACAAAGCAAAACUAGCUAUCAUUGUAUUCCAUGUCACAACACCUGGGCAAGCAAGCAUUUUAAACAGCAAGCAGGCAGAGUCCAUAUGCUUGCACCUGGCGUACAUCGUGAUAAGUGCAUUGGCUACACUUUCUACCCCGUCACAGUUCAUGCGGACUGCCAACCCAUGGAUCUCCUUCCCGAGCCUCAACCAGCCAACCCGUGAGCAAGCAUUCGACCCAAUCACCAACGUCACGAAAUCCACUGCUGCACCAUCGCUUACCAUCUCCCGGAUAAGCCCAACAGCUGCCCUAUGGUCCCGUGUAUUAAUGUAUACCCCGGCAAUCGUGUUCCACGUCACUGAAUUCACCUCCGCCUCCUCCGCUCGCAUCCUUUCAAACAGUUCCACCGCCUGCACCCAUUGCCCGACGGCCACAUACGCUGAGAUCAUCGAGUUCCAUGAUACCACAUCUUUCUGUGCCAUUCCCUCGAACACCUUGCGUGCAGCAACGAGAUCCCCGCUCUUUGCAUACAUCGACACCAGCGCAUUCUGGAAAAACAAAUGGCCUCCCACCCCGGUGGCUAGACCGUGCAGAUGCACCGCCCGUCCCAGCGCUAGGUCUCCAGCCUCUGCGCAGGCACGGAGGACGGAUGGGUAGGUGAAGGCGUCCGGGAGGACGGCACUCCUGGCCAUUUGCUGGUAGGCGGCGAGGGCGUGGCGCGGGAAGCCGUGGCGCAGGCAGGAGGAGAUGAGGAUGUUGUAGGGGAGGGGGCACGUUGCGUCAGCGGCAAGGGAGGAGGCGAAGGGGAGAAGGUAGGGCUGGGAGGAGUAGAGCGAGAGGAGGCGGGGGAGGAGGAGAGGGUGGCGGGAGAGGCCGAGGGAGAGCGAGAGCCCGUGGAGCUGGACGCCGAGUCUGAGGUCCGAGCGGUGGAGGUGGAGGAGCGAGGCGAUGGGGCGGAGGAGGAAAUCGGAAGAGGCGGCGGCGGGGAGGCGGCGGCGGAGGCGGGAGAAAGCGAGGAGAGGGAAGGGGAGGACGCGGGCGGCCGUGAGGGUGGAGAGGGAGGCUAGGAGGCAGCGGAGGGAGUCGUCUUGGUCGGGUCUGGUAGGCACCGCCGGGGCCGGUGGUAAGAACGCCGCCGCGGCGGACAUGGGAGGUUUGCUUUCUCGAGCUUGAAUAUGAUGGAGGCUGCCAAUGUUGCACUUGCACAAGAAAGAGGACUGCACUGCCGCUACAAUUCGCCACCGACUUUCCGAUCAUCUUUUUUAAAGCCACGAUCAGUAUCCAUUUUACAACUAAUUUCAUUAACCUUUUGGUGCUGAUCUUGAUCAAAUUUGUGGUGUUUUAAUCUUGCAAAAGAGCUAAUAAGUGUAAAAAGGUUCGUACCUAUCAUUUUAUAGUCUUUUUUUUUCUCUUUUCCAUGAAAGAUGCGAAAAGGCACCGGAAUCACCUCAAACACACCAAGAAAUUGAGCAAAACGCACUUAGGACAUCCACAACGUGCUAAAACCAAAUAAUCAGCCCAUCACUAUUUGUCACUGGUGUCAAAUUGCUACUUCUCCACAAUGUGACGGGACCCACCAUACUAAAAUAAUGUGACGGGUGCCAAAUAUGGGACCCACCAUACUAAAUAAUGAUAAAAUUAAUGUUCUCUCUUCUACCUUGUCUGUAUCAUCGCUUUCCCCCAAGCCGCAGAACAGCCGCCAAACCUCCCGGUGACUUCGGUGUGAUAUAGCCCCACCUUCCUAGCCAACCACGUGUCCUCUUUCUUUUCUUGAUCCCAUGACACUACUGUACUAAUUAGCACUAACAGAUGCCCCCCUUCUCUCUCACCUCCCAUCCCUUCGUCCCUCUCCAGGAAGCCUCUGCACGCGACAGGCCAGUCCCAAAUUCCAUCCCGACUUCUUGGGCCUCCACCCAGGAGAGCUCUAAGCCGGAAGCACCUUACCCUUGAGCUCUUCCCAUGGCGUCAGCGUGGUGCCUUUUGGCCCCGGCCGCCGCGCCCGCGCUCUCGGUGUCUUCGCCUCUGCAUCCGGAGGCGUCUAUGUCGCGCGGACGGCUGUCCCGGCGAGGAGGCGGCACAGGUGGGACGCGCUCGUGGUGCGCAUGGCCCCCAAAGAGGAGAAGAUCACGCGGCGCUCGCCCUCGAUUUCCCCAUCCUAAUUCUUCUCCGCCCGUUCCCCUUCCUAGUACUCUCGAUAUUUUGUUAGUCCCCGCAUGCUGAACUUAAUGCUCCGGUUUGCUGUCUUGUGCGGGGCAGCUAGGAAGCGGGUGGUUUGGUUCUUGUGUUUUCCUUUUGAAUCUUCUACUGUGAUCUUGGUUGUUUUUGGAUAUUGUGAUUUCUUUUCGAAUCUGUGUGCUAUGAUUUUUAGUACCAUCAGGUACCAUGGUCAGAUGCCAUGUACUUAUUCUGUGCUCCGUGAUUUUUUAGUACCAUGCUUUAGUUAUCUUUUAAAAUUUGUUUGAUCUAUGUACAAUUAUUUGUUUUUUAUUUUAUUUUGCCGGGACACGACAAGGUACCUAAAAAUUGUUAAGGUACAGAUGAUGUACCAUGACGAUUACUAAUUUUGAUGAAUGGGUACAUGAGAAGUUACUAAGUUUUGAUGUAUGUUUGUACUUAUUUUUUCUUCAUGGUACAUGAUGUAUUUGUAGUGUACCUUGGUGUAUAUGUGAUAUGUGAUUUACUUUGUUGUACUUUUAUGUACUUUAAUGUAUAUGUCAUGUACUCGUCUGUUCUACAAAUUGGUAAAGUACUUAUCAUGUACCUGAAUAUAUCCACAAACAAGCCAUUACAGAAAAAAUGUGAUACCACGUCACAUGCAAAAAGUCAGAGAGAAAAUACGAAAAGUUAGAGAGACCAGAGAAGAGAGCAAAAGUUGUCAGAAUAACACAUGCUAAUCCCCACCUUUAACUUAAAGCAUAUUAUAUUAACUAAGAGAGAGAAGUGGGGAGAGGCAAAUGUGUGCCAGCGUGAUGGGGCU
rnacentral:lncRNA from 1 species